CCUUUAAUAUCUUCGUCCACCAAUAUUUACUGUGAAAUUAUGUGAAACAACUAUUGUUCUCCUAUAGAGAACGGUGUUUUUAUGUUUUUAUAUUGAACAUUUACUAACAACUGAAGCUUAAUGAACUGAAAUGAAUUAAAGCAUCUUAGACCUCCUUUAAUUAUGCUUGCAAUUUUUUGUGACGGAAUGCAGAGCGUGCUCACCUAAUAAAGCAUAUAUAGCUGCAGAUAUGCCCUGCACAUAAGCACCCAAAAACAGUGAUCUACUUGAACUAGAAAUAUCCACAGGAUUUUAAAUAAAAAAAAAAAAUUGACAUGUCAUGGCACAAGUAUCUAUUAACUACUGGAUCUGAUUUUAUCCAAAGCAAAUAUUUAUAUGGAAAAGUAAGUUACCAAUCCAAUGGUAGAAUAAAUGGACUUAAUGUGGAUUAUUAUAUAGAUGAUGUAUUACAAAGAGGAGGAACCAUACCAAAGCAUAUCCAAUAACAAGGGUCGGGGUCGGCUUAAUAACCUCAAGAAUUGCCUCUGCUUCCUGAAUGAUUUCAAAGUAAUUAUGUGAAAAACUCAAGUCGAGAUGUAACAGAAUUACUGCAAAAGAAAAUGGGAAUAUUGCACCGUUCAGGAACAAUGGGGAAUAGUAACCAAGGUUUAAGAAUUCUGAGAAAUAAAAUAUAACAUAUAAUAAAAGCCACGACAUCACGUCUCCAAAUAUUCCAACCAUGAGCAUAAAGGUUUAUAAUUACUUUAUAUUUUAAAAGAGGAAAUGGAUUUUAAAAUGAGAUAGAAUAUUCUUCGCAAGCAAUCCAUUAUGAACGCAUUAAUAUGUAUAUUUAUACGGAGCAUGAUUGAUAGAUGACAUUAGUUCUCGUAGCCCUAUUUGUGUACAGGUCUCAUGUGCAGAGGAAAUGAGAAAGUUUCUAAAGUUAGAUUGCACACUACAAAAACAUAAAAACUAAUAUAAAAAUAUAUAUAUAUUUACAAUGUAAUUGCGGAUAAUUUCCAUAUUAAUAAUUACCUCACUCAAAACUGUCAAAGCAGUCUCAGGUUGGAGUUCCUUGAUCCGGAGACUCUUCUUCGCCCAUGAUUCGAAACCACCUUUAACCAAAUAAGGUCUCUGUCAGCCAAAUAUUCAAUGUUAGGUGGAAAAGAAUACAUAUACAGAGUUUAUAUAUAUAUAUAUCUCAAAAGAAAGGGAAAAAACUGCAGCAUAUUACAAACUAGAGGGUUUGAUACUUUGCCUUCACACCGAGUCUCUUUAAGGAUCUCGCAAUGGCUUUAGACUGAGUGCCAUUCGCGUCCAUAAUGAUGACCUUUGAGUCUUCCUAGAUAUGUAUUGUUAGCAAUCAGCUCCAUGAAGCCAGACCAUAGAUCAUGCAUUUAAAAUAUCGGUAAAAGCCAAUAGACCUCUCUCAAAAUAUAGCACAAUUUGAAAUGCAUCCCUGAACUUCAAAAUAACAUUACUACCUAGCCUUAUAGUUUGUUUUAUUUCAAUACCUGUCUGCCUGAAUUUAACGGUACUUUUAACUUUUUGGACAGAAUACUCUGUGUCUACAACUACACAGAAUAUUCUGUUGCUUGAUUAAAUUUUUUAGAAUCUCCGAUAAAAGUUGCUAGGUUCUAAAAGUACAGCAGCUUAGAUAGUAAAAAUCACAAUUUUCUGAAUGCAAGUAUGCUAUUCAAAAUGCGCACUUAUUCAACCUAGGUAUGUAUGUUUUUACCGGAAUAUUGACAGGCAAAAUUCUAGUUCGUACUUUGACAAUUUUCAAAUUGCGGAUGACAACGGCAAUCAAGGCAUUCUCUACAUCUCUUCCACUCUUCAGCAUUUUUUUCAGCGAACCAUCAAUCUGAAGAUGAACAUGAGACCAUUUUAGAAGGGUGGAACUAUAAAGGCAAAGGCAACAGGAACAGGCUCAUAAAUCACAUUUACUACCAGUUCUCACAAAACUACAAGAUCAAAAUAACUUUUUACUGGAGUCCUGGAAAUUAGAAGAAUUUGAUAAAAUCGUCAAGUUUAAGUUAUCGAGAGUACCCCUUUCACAAGUUAGUAGAAAGAGAUUUUAGCAUUCACAUGCAUCAAUAGCUGCAAGGCGAGUAAUGAACCUCAGGAAGAGUCACACUGGCAUAUUUAGACCUGGCUCCACGACGAAGGGCGGGAACACCAUCUCUUUCCCUCAAUUUCUGCAUAAAUAUAACACAACCAUCAACAGGGCUAGCUGAAUUCACUUAGAUGUUCUAUCUAUGAAUUAAAAUUGCAGUAGUACAUGUUCUUAUUUUCAAAGCUACAGUAUUUGCAAGCAGGAUUAGCUUACAAUCGACACUUUCAUAUGAAUAACAUUAGGCAAAGGACCACUUAAUGAUUUAGAUUGUGCUACCGGUGUUAUUGUUUUGUCAACCCAAAGAAUAAUUGAUACCAAGCUUGUUAACAAGUAACGUAAAACAACAUAGCAACCAUCAGAAAAGAAAUAUAAGGAAUGCAGCGACAUCGAUAAUUACUUCAGUUGUUUUCUCCUGGUCAUGAAAUAGAAUGCAAAUGGUGAGACUAGACAUAGAGAGUAAGAAGGUUGGAAGAAAAAUCUAGGGAACUUUGAACUACUACAGGGGGAGAAAACAACAAAAACAAAAGAAAAGCUGAUGAAAUUUACAAUCUCUUGCCUCAGGCCGAACAUCAACAAGUACGGCAUUCUGGUCAUUUUUCAGCAGCUCAAAUGUUUCUUCAGGAGCCAAGUCACCAGAAUAGCCACCAUAAAUAAGCACCCAGUAAAAUGUCCUGAAAAGGCAAAAUAGAUCGGAAAACGUGAUAAUUUAUCGAGUUUACUAAUUAGUAAACAACAUGGUUAGGAUAAAACGGCAUAUAAAUUUACCCUAUAGUAGCUGAACUUCCUAGCAAAAGUGCGAAUUGGACAAUUGGAUCAUUUGGGUCCAAACCAAGAUUCUUUUCAAAUCCCUCAAUGAUGACAUAUACCUGCAUAACGGUAGGCGCAACAGUUUUCUUUUGGGCAUAAGACCAGAAACAUUUUAAACUGAGCGCAUCCACAAGGGUGUCAAUAUACCUGUUGAAAAGAAUCUCCAACAGGACUCAAAAUUUGUGAAGCUUUAUCUUCAGAUAAGUUUAAUGCAUCCCUAACAUUUGGUGGAAGCGAUGACUUUGCUGCUCCGUAAGAAUAUACCACAAAAGUAGCUGCCUUUCCCAAAGAUUCCUCAAAACUAAUAAUUGCCCGUCUAAGAACGUCAACAGCUACAGCACCUGCUCCAUACACAUUUUCCUUUAACGCACUUGACAAGCCGGCUAAUUGACCACCUGCUUGCUUCUUGGAUAUAUCAACAGAAGAAAACAAAUCACUAGCUACAUUAUCAACUGAUUUUGUCACACUUUUAACUGCAUCAGAAACUGAUGAUGUCAGCGAAUCAUACGUGCUCUUCAAAGCAUCUUGUGCUCGAUUUAUUGAUGUGUCGACAGAUUCAAAAAUUUGUGAUACCGAACUUCCAACGCUUUCUUUCACAUUUACUAUUCCUUUAGUAGUCCCCUCAACUGUAUCAGAAAUUGGAAUUGAACUCUCAGAAAGAGUACUUUCUCCCACAUUGGUGGUCAACAAAGAAUCAGAAGAUGCGGACUCGAGAGCCGCGCUUGCACUUUGAUCAGGAAAGUCAGGUAUAUUUACACGAUCAUCCCCACCAGGGAGGGCCAUGGAUGGUCGAUCCAAAUUUGUCACUUCCCUUGCUGAGUUGCAAGAUAUAUCUGGUUCACCGUUAAAGUACUCUUUAGGAAAUACACGUACUAUAUCAUCAAAAUCAUUCGGGUAAGGCGAGAAUAUUGAGGAAUCCGAGGAGCCUGACUUGUUGGGUAUAUCUGUGAUAAUUGAUUGCAUCGAUUUGGAAGAAUGAGCUCUGAAAGAUAAAUCAUUCAUAUGUGUCCCAUCUUGCAUACAAAGGAAGUGCCUCUCCUCAAUGGUCGAUCGAUCCUCUACUGUUUUCCGCAGCGAAUAAAAAGCUUUCGUUCCCUAACAACAAAAGUUGCAAAUGAGAACCAAGUAGUUUUGUUUUGUAAAAAAUGUUGCAAUGCUGCAAUCAACUACAGUCCUAAACUUCAGCAAUCUACCAGAGUCCAAAAAAAAAAUCUCACUCCAACAUCUUUUUCUUUUUUUUUUCUUUUUCUUUGAAAUAAGGUGUAUGGUUUUAAGCUUUCCUAUUAGAAAAUCUACAUAGAACCAAGAAUUUAAGGGCCAUCGGUACGGGCAGUAUCUACUGUGCCGUAUCGUGCCAAUAAGAUAUCGGCACGAUACAACCCCCAUGCUAAUUGUACAGCUCAAAACCCUCUAUUUUUUAAAUUAGUAAGUAAUUUUCUUAAUAAAAUUUAAAAGAUUUGACAAAAAUACAUAAUAAAUAGUUAUAAUAUUUUGUUGCUAAAUAAAUUAAAUAUUUCAUGCUAUUAUGUGUCAGCACAUAUGAAUAUUUUGUGACCGGCACACAUCAGCACGGCCCGGCAUGCAUUAUGCCAUACCGUGCCGGUAAGUUUCCAACAUGACUCUGUGCUACGACACUUAAAUCCUUACAUAGAACUAUUAUGAACAGCAUCAAAUUCAUAGAGAAUCAUGAAUGCUUAUGUUUUUAGUUUAGUUUGUUCGAUGCUCAUUGUUAUUAAAACCGAAAACUAAUCUAAUAAAAUUUGGUUCAGGAACAGUCUUAACACCCCAGCUCACCUGCACGGCGACGAUCGAGUGAACCAAGUCACUUGCACUGAGGCCAUAAAUUCAUCCCGUCAAAUCACAGAUUUUAAGAAUUGAUUUAAGGACCUAUUCGAACAGAGGGGGCUUAGGACUGAUUCUGAUACCACGUUAUGUAUACAUGUUAUAUAUAUCCAUAUCUAGGGCUAAUUCCUCACAUUAUAUAUAAACAUCAGGAUUCUAAUUUAUAUCCAAUUUGCGACUAAUAUCCUGAACAUUAAAAUUUAUAUCACUCCACAUAUAAUUAAAUUAAAUAAUAAGAAAAAAAAGGAAAAGAGAAGAAAAAAUUACCGGAGAAAGGGAAGAGGAGCAGUUCAAUGCGGCAGAGCUCACGGGCAACAUUUUUUUUUUUUUUUUUUUGGCACUAACCAAAUAAAUUACACAAUCAAAUCCCCAUCAUUUCACCUCUAAAAAAGACCCAAAAAAAAGGGGAAAAAAAAACUCCUCGAUCGAUCACUGGAACCAACAAAAACAAAACAACAAAAAAUCAGACGGGUGUUUGAAAUUCGAGUCCCUGAUUAAAAUAAAAUGGAAAAAAAAGGAAACCUUUUUGCUUGGGAGAGGGAAUGGGAGUAUGGUUUUGGAGUGAGAGAAAGGGGAUUAUUAUUAUUUAUAUUAUUAUUAUUAUUAUUAUCCGUUUGAUUGGCUACGGAUUCCCGGGAGCGGCAAGUACGAUCCGGAUUUUGCGGUUGUGAUCACGCACCGGAUCGUGUGGCUCCGAGAGCCCGCUAAUGAGCUCUUCCCCGCCACAUGUGCUCCUUAGCCCAGGAGACCCCUUCACCUUUUUAGUUUUGCGAAUUUAGUCCCUAAACGCUACGUUUUGUUAUUGCUAUAGUUGGAGGGCCAUCUCGGAAAGGAGCAUAGUAGAGGGGUAUGUUUUCAAAAUGAGUUUAGUUUAGGGGGCAAAAUGCAAUUUCUAGGCAUUUUAAGCUGUGAAGCGGAUUCGGAUCCGGGCACGAUACCUAAUACAAUGAUCGGAUUCGGAUCUUUUAUUCUUAAACCCUUGAUCGAUCGAUCGAUCGAUUCGUGUUCGCAUCCCCCACGACCGCGAUCGAGAUUUUUCUCUUUUUCCCCCGUUUUUUCGUUUUUUUUCUUCUAUUUUUCUCUAUAUAUAUACGGAGUGUGAUCUCUCUUUGUUACUUUGGAGAAUUUGAGGUACUCUUCACCCCAACUAUCAUUUUUUUUCUUGCAAUUUAUAUGCCUGCUAAUUGAAUCGUAGGGCAUCAAGCAUAUACUCACAAAUUUGUCUAAUUAUUUACCAUUUUUUUUUCCUGGAUCUCUAAUUUGUUAUUAUUUCUGUAGAAUUGGGCGAAAAAUUUGCUAGGAAGUGUUAUUUUUGAGUCGCUAGGGCACCGAAUAAUUAGUUAUUGUCUCUGAAUAGCAUCUUUUUCUCUCUGUAUCCUUGUCGCUUCAUCAAAUUUUUCUUGUUUUAUUGAGCGAUUACUGUGAGAAAAACCCUAGUUUCACUCAAUAAUUCAAGCAAAAUUGGUUUUUAAACUUUGCUUUAUUCAUAGUAGCCUAUAUUUUGAGUUCAUUACUAUGCUCUUAAUGCUUAUGCUAUUUUCUCUUUGUUCAAAAUUGCAGAGGUGUGAAAAAGUUGAGAGUUUUAAUACAAAAGAUGGUUCUUUUGUUCCUGCACAAACAAGCUACUGAUUGUGGCGACUUGGAUGCUGCGAAAGAGAGAAUCUCUCUUCUAAAGAAAGUAGAAUCCAUUAUCUGGUCGGUAAUAAAUUCUGGUGGCCGGUACGAGGCUCGCUUGUGGCUGUGCAAUACGAUCUCGGCCGUCCAUUCUAUCACUCCGUGUGAUCAGCGCGACCUGUUUGUCGACUUUGUGAAGUCGAACGUUUCGAAACAAGAUGUUGCCGUUCAAUUACUGCAAAUGAUUUUUGAGAAGAGACCGGAAAAGGUUGGGCCUAUAUUCGCGAGGAGGUGCCGCAUGCUCGAGAAGUUUUUUGAAGGUAAGUUUGCUCUUAUCAGAAGUUCAUUUUACGAACUUUGUUGUCUGGUGGCUUAGUUUUAAUCUUAUAAACCAGUGACGUAUGUCUGAAAUAGAAGCCUCGAAAUUUAAAUUGAUGUAUGAUCAAUUUUUUGUGAACUGCAGGGAACCCACGGCGCAUUAUGCAAUGGUUCGAUAAUUUUGCUGCUGCUGGUGAGUCGGGACAUAAAAGGGGUGCUAGAGCAAUAUCCCAGUUUGCAUUCGUGAAUCGUGACAUUUGCUGGGAGGAGCUCGAGUGGAAGGGAAAACACGGGCAGUCGCCAGCAGUUGUUGCGACGAAGCCGCAUUACUUUCACGACCUUGAUGUUCUUCGAACGGUGGAGAACUUUCUUGAAUAUGUGCCAGAUUUUUGGUCGUCAGAUGAGCUCGCUGAUUCCGUCAAAGAUGGGGAGAUUUUGCAAAUCGAUACCAGAUAUUUUGUCAAUCAGUUUGUGCAAUUGAUGUACGAGGAGAAAAGUGAAGAUGUAUGGAACGUCAUCGAAGAUUUUUUGACGGAGGAGCAAUUCUCGUCUCUUUCUCAACACCUCCUUAUUCUCCUUGAUGAACGGAGGCUCCUCGUUUUCUUGAAGUCCCUUGGGAGUUAUAUUAGGCCAAAUUCGCAAUGCAAAGAGUUCAAGUUCCCGUGUUGUUGGCUUGAGAUUCUUUUGUCAAAUAGUAACUUUUCAGCGUCUCUCGAUGACGUUCUCCUAUUAAAUGCUGCCCUUGCCAAGGGCAGACAGCUGUUACGCCUUAUCAGCGAUGAAGAACAUGAUGAAGAAAGGGAGAAUGUGGAAAAGCUUUUGAGAAGCUCGAUGACUUUCAGUGAAGCUGCUCAUCGGGCUUUCAUGAAAGAAUGUGAAGAAAUGAAGCAGCUCAAGGCAAUCAAGUACAUUGGGCUUCAAUCGUGGAUUCUCUACUAUCAAUUGUCGAAAGAAUGCGAGACCUCAAAAUCAUGUGAAUCUUUGUUUGUUGAGAACAGAAUAGGAUUUCACGUGGUUGAUGAUUUUUCAUUAGUAAGUUCAGAUCGGCCCUCAAAUGGAUGUGAUUUAGGUUCCGAUGAUGAGGAUUUAGGGAGAAAAGGCCACAAGAAGAGAAAAAGGGACAAGAAGAGAAGGAGAAAGAAAUGCAAUCAUGAUGAAAGCAGUCCGGAUCAUCUAAUGGAUUUUGAAAAUUCGAAUGGAUGGAGAAGCUCGCAAUCAGGGGCGAGGAGUUGGCGGCUCUCAACAGACAACUUUUCCUGCGUAUGGAACAUUGUAUGUCUCUAAUAUAUUUAUAGCUAUGGCCAAAACUCUCUUGUCACUCUAAUUAUUUCUUUUAUUUGAAUGUAUCUGUGGACGGUUGGACGUUUGAUUUCUCAUUUUCCUCUCUUUGCUACUUCUGAUGGAUUCAUGCAUGUCAAACAGGCCGACAUACCUGAGCAUCUUUCCAUGCACUACUUUAGAACAUGGGCAAAGUGGCUUCGCUCCAAAUGGUAGUUUGCAUUCCAAAAGGAGAAUAUACAUCGUACUAUCAGCGGUAAGAGUAUUUCUUCCUUUCCCUACCAUCUAGUGCGCGCACGCACACAAAACAUGCACAUACAUGGCUCUAUCAUCUGUUGCUUUUCUCCCUUGUUCUUGUUUCCUUCUAAUGAUAUCUAUUGUGUUUUAUCUGCUUUCUUUGGUUAUUUUUCAGGUCAAUUGAACUUGAGAAAUGGGUUCAUAAAUGGUAUAAAAAACUCCACUUCUACAUUUCAUAUGCAAGAUUACUAUACGAAACUCUCAAGGUCAGAACCAUUCAGAAAUUUCUUAGUUUAAAUUUUUGAAAUUUGCCAUUUUACUGCUUGCUACUGAUAUAUACAUAUAUAUUUUUUUCUCAUGAGGCAAAAUUGCAUCAGAAUUAGAUAAAACAUAAAAAACUGAUGCAACUAAGGACAAGUCUCUUUAUGAUAUUCUCAUAAUUGAUAAAAUAAGUAUAUGAACAGUUACUGAUGUGUUAUUGAUCAAGUUCUAUUUCAUCUUUUCCAGUUUCUGGAGAUUUCGUGAUCUGAGGUCGCAAUCGUGGCACAAUGAAGGGUAUUUAACAUUUGGCUCAGAAUGGUUAAAUUGAUCGAUAAAGAUGAGUUGUGGCGCAUGCGGCGCCUGCCACUCGAGCUGCAGAUAUUGAAGCAAAUGUGUUUGUUGGAGAUUCACUAAUAAACCUCCUAAUCUUCCAACCAUUUGUAACUCGUAAACCGAGCUUAUAUUAUGUUUGUAAUCACAAUUUUCAUUUAUUUUACAUACUCAUAAACGAUUGUAUGAGCAUAGGUGUAACAUUGCACUUGAGAUGGAUCUGAAUUCGAAAGCUUUUUUACAACAAUGAUCAUAAGUUUGUACAGUAGUGUUGUUUAUUUGUAUAUUUAUUUUUGGAGGUAAACUGAUUUUGGCCUUGGUGUGGUAUACAUAAACUCAAAAUUUUAUGCAAUUGCUUAUUGUUGGAUAGAUUUUGUAUUCGUUGUUAUUUUUAGUUUGCUUGUAUAUAAUCACAAAAAUAAAAUAAUUUAGAAUAUUUAGUUCAAUUAUCUAAUUAUAAUAAUGUAAAUUAAUAAUAUAGAAAUUUUAGUACAAUUUUGGUUUUAAAUAAUAGUACACCGUUCAUAAAAAAAGAACUCGUGCGGGGCCCACUUCAAUUUUUUCAAUUAACCCCUUUCUUUUUUAUGUAUGCGCAAUUUGGGCCCAAUCCCACCAUCGAAAUGAGCUCGCUCUCAUCUCUCCUCUCCUUCCGAUCCCCAAUCCACUCUCGAGGUAGAUUCGUUCCCCCCGGAUCUUUUUCUCUUCCCCUCCUCUUCUGAAACCCUAGUUGUUGAUCUCCAGGUGCUCUUCUCCGACGCUUCGGGGGGACGACGACGAUGAUGAGUGGCACGGUGGACCCCCGUUGCUCGAUCGCGCCUCGGGCCUUCGAGUGCUUGGAUGGGAUCCGAACCCUAGCGGAAUCGGGACGCUAUAAGGUACAAUUGCUUGGAUUUGUGGGUGCGGGUGUCGCUGUGGAUUUUGAUUUGAUUGUGUUGUUUGGAAUGAUUGUGAUCAUCUUUAUCGUCUAUGGGUGUACAAAGUCGUUAAACCAAGUGCUGUUACUAUAAGAGCUUCUCUUAACAGCAGAUGCAGAAGCGCAGUAGUUAUUAUUAUUAAUUUGUUAAUUUGUCCGACGUUCUUCGGAGAUAUUAUUGCUUAAAUUAGCUAUAAAAAUCCCAUCAUUUUGCAGUUUGUGCUGCGGAGUUUGAAUUUUUCAUUGGAUUCUGUUGUUUAUUGUUAUAAUGCGGAAGCAUACAAGCUGUUCGAUGAAGUAAUGUUACUACGUCAAAGUCUCCUUAACAACUUCUCUCCAAAGCAGAUUCGGAAGCUCCGUUUUGGAGCUUCAACUUUUGGGCCUCGGAGUUAUAAUGUUUGUAAUUCAUGUUUAUUAAAAUAUGACAGGCUUGGUUCUUAGAUCAAUUUGGAGUCCUUCAUGAUGGCAAAAAACCGUACCCUGGCGCCAUUUCUACAUGUAUGUUUAUUCCGCAAUUACACUUGCAAUAUUAUUAAUUGAUAAGUGUUAUUUUCUUUUUGCCACGUGAUAAUGUGUUUUGUUACUCCGUAACUUUGAUGUGAUAGUAGAGAAUCUAGCAAAGCAUGGGGCGAAGAUGGUAGUUAUAAGCAAUUCUUCCCGGCGAGCAUCUACAACCAUAGAGAAGCUAAAUAAACUUGGCUUUGAUUCUUCUUUGUUCGUCGGGGCCAUCACUAGUGGAGAAUUGACGCAUCAAUACCUUCAGAGGUCAGACGCUAUUACCUUGGAUAGAGAUGUCUAUGAUUAUAUAGGUGGAGAGGAGAAAUUUGGAAACAUUUGUUAACCAAGCAGUUAAUUGGAAAUAACUUACAAUGUUCAAAGAGCAUGCAUGUGGGAUGCUUAGCCUAAAGUGGCUUUAGUUUUAUCCUGAUUUACUGCAGCAAACAUACAAGCAACAAAAUCUAAGCCCAUAAUUUCUUGAAGGAAAAGAAUGGUUUCAGACCAGUGAUUUGCAAUUAAGGGAGCAAAAGUCACUUGGUUCGGAACCUAGUUGUUACGAUACUCAGUUGGACUCAAUUUAAUUGUUUAUUCAUCUAAACUCAGUUAGGCUUGUUCUCAAACUUUGUUUCUGAAUUACAAAUUAUAGGAGGGACGAUCCAUGGUUUGCGGCUCUCGGAAGAAAAUGCAUACACAUGACGUGGAGUGAUCGAGGUGCAAUAUCUCUUGAGGUAUUCAUUAGAAAUUAUGAUUCAAACUUCUUAGAAGUAUUUUUCUUCCUUUUACCAGAAGCUAAUGCCUUUCACUUUAUAGGGCCUAGGCUUGCAAAUUGUGACUGGUGUCGAUGAUGCUGAUUUUAUAUUAGCUCAUGGAACUGAAGCGCUUGGGCUUCCUUCGGGUGAUGCAACGCCCAUGUGUCUUGAGGACCUCGAGAAAAUAUUGGAGCUCUGCGCCAACAGGAAAAUUCCUAUGGUGGUAGCGAAUCCAGAUUAUGUAACUGUGGAAGUUAGAGCUUUGCGUGUCAUGCCUGGUAUGAUUGGGACUUCGUCCUGCAUUACAUGUUGCGUACCAAUGUUGAAAUUCCCAGUAUUGAUAAUAGAUCCAAAUACACUAAGGGCCUGUUUGGCCAGGCUGACAUGCUGCUUUUAUUUAGCUGUCAAACCCUUCUCUCUGAGCAGAAUUUGGGGGCAUAAAAGCUCAUUUAGCUUCCACGGCAAAAUGCUAUACUACUGCUUCUCUGAACAAAGAAGCUGUUUCAAAAGCCAUCAAUUACAUUUCCGUUGAGCGUAAUCAUUUGCUUCUUUGUAAUUUUUGAUUAAAUGGUCCCUUUUUUUUUAAGGUACACUGGCAGCUAAAUAUGAGGAACUUGGAGGUGAAGUGAGAUGGAUGGGAAAGCCUGAUAAGGUAAGGUAAACAAUCUCUUUACGAGAUGGCGAACUUCUAUCUUUUGCUUCUCUACUAACAUGAUGCUAAUACCUUGUUUCAGGUGAUCUAUGCAUCAGCUAUGGCCAUGGCAAAUGCGGAUGCCGGUGAUUGUAUUGCCGUUGGCGACUCUCUCCACCACGACAUAAAGGGCGCGAAUAGAGCUGGAAUCGCUUCGGCAUUUAUAGCCGGCGGAAUCCAUGCAGACGAACUCGGGCUCAGUUCAUUUGGAGAAGCCUCCAGUUCUGAUUCAGUCCAUACACUGUCCUGCAAAUAUGAUGCUUAUCCAUCUUAUGUUUUGCCUGCUUUUACAUGGUAGAUGAUUGCUUGGCUUGUUGUAAGCACUUUUUAGGACCCAAUUGUUGCAACUCUAACAAUUUAUUAUCACAUUACCCGAUUGUUGAACUAAGCACUUUUAGUUUUGGCAAUUUUUAUUUGAAAUAUAUCAAAAUGAUUGGUAUGAUUUAUGAUUUUUCACAUUUAGGAUGUGCUCUUAGAGGGUUAGGUUACUAAAUUUUCCGAUAUAAAAUUAUUUCAAUUGAAACAAAAAAUAUAAUACAGUUAUUUUUGCAUUAGUCCUUGGCCUCUUAAGUAACUCAUUUUGUUUCAUUUGAAACGAGAUUGAAGAAUUAUUUUAUAAUAAUAAAAUUUGAUUUUUAUUAGCAAGCAGGGACUCAAAUGUAAUAAAUGUGAAUGUACGGCUUCAGAUUACAAUGUACAGGCACCUAAUUACAAUAUCGCGAUAGUACAGGGACUAUCCAUACAUCUUACCCCAUAAACCCUAAAACCACUCGUCACCUCCGCCCCCACGAGCUCAGAGUGAGCGAGAGAGAGAGAGAGAGGGAGAGAGAGAGAGAAGACGAUGUGGAGAUCCAAAGCGAGGGCUUUCCUCCUCCUCAAACCCUCGAUCCUUAGGUCACCACCAUCCCAGGUACUCUCCAAAACCCUAACCCUAAUCCCAGCGCCACCUCCCAUGCCCACCCCAACCCAUUUCCGCACCCUCAGAUCCUUCUCCUCGACCAACCACGCCUUCUCCUCGGAUUAUGACCCCAAAAACCCUAAUGGCUCUUCAGAAUCGGCGGCGUUUGAGGCCGGAGGUGAGAACCCUAGCGGUUCCGCUUUAAAUGAGAAGGAGACCAGUCCUAACGAGGUGGAGGGCGAUAGUUUGAGCUCUCUUUGGGAGGAGAGCAUUAAUGGUGAUGAUGCCGAUAGCAUCUUCGCAGCGGAGUCCAAAUCCGUAGUGGGAGCUGCAGAUGAAUCUGAGGAGUUUGAUAUUGACGAGGAAGUUGAUCACAUCCGAUCUGUUAUAGAAACUUGUCCGGCCGAUCAGAUAGAGAGGACCUACACAAAGUUGGCAUUUCACAUGACUGAAGAGGUCCUCUCUAGGGUUUUCAAAACCACACCUUGUUCCGCCGAAAAGUUCAUUGCUUUCUUUAAAAUUGUUGCGAUAAAUUAUCCUUUCACGAAGAAUUUGAGAACCGUGGGGUUUCUCGUCGAUGCAAUUAGCCUAGUGGAUGAGCUUGAAAAGAAGGAUGCUUACAUGUUGUGGGAUUUGAUUAAGGAGAUAGGGAAAGAGAAAGGGUUGGUUACUACCGAGGUUCUUAACAGUUUGAUCUCCAUGUUUUGGAAGCUGGGGAAAGCGAAGGCUGCUCUUGAGGUCUUCGAAAAGUUUGAUGAGUUUGGGUGUAGCCCGGAUGGGAAUACUUACUAUUUCACCAUCGAAGCACUUGGUCGGAGGUCCAUGAUUGAUACUGCUUGGUCUGUUUGCGAGAAGAUGAUCAAUUCAGGGAGAUUUCCUGAUGGCGAGAAGAUGGGUGAAAUUGUUCUCUUCUUCUGCCGAGGUGGAAAGCCUAAAGAGGCUCAUUUAGUCUAUUUAGCUGCAAAGGAGAGUAAGGUCUCUCUAUCGGCAUCUGUCUUCGAUUUUCUGGUCGGUGCACUAUCUAAAAAAGAUGAAACCAUUUAUACCGCUAUGGAGUUACUUGAAGACUAUCCAAAAGAGUCCCUUAAGUACGCGAAUAAGUCUUUUGCUUCGGUUAUUCAUGGUUUAUGUAAGGUGAAAGAUGUAAAAGAAGCAAAGAAGUUGCUACUUAGGAUGGUAAAUGUAGGGCCGGCACCUGGUAAUGCGGCGUUCAACUAUGUUAUUACCGCACUCUCUAAAGCAGGGGAAAUGGAUGAUGCGAAGAAUCUAUUGAAAGUAAUGGACAGCAGGGGGCUCAGACCAGAUGUUUAUGCUUAUACUGUUAUAAUGAGCGGCUAUGCGAAGGGCGGCCUAUUGGAUGAAGCCCAUGAAAUCCUUCGUGAAGCCAAGAGAAUACAUCAAAAGUUGAGUCCUGUUACUUACCAUAUUCUAAUUCGUGGUUACUGCAAAAUGGAACAGUUCGAGAAGGCCCUUGAGUGCUUAAAUGAGAUGAAGGAAGAUGGUAUGCAGCCAAACACAGAUGAAUAUAACAAACUUAUCCAGUCUUUGUGCCUCAAGGCUAUGGACUGGCGCACGGCGGAGAAGCUCUUGGAGGAGAUGACGGAGAGUGGACUCUAUCUUAAGGGGAUAACGCGUAGUCUAAUAGCAGCAGUUAAGGAACUAGAAGAGGAGGAAAUUGGACCGGCCAUCAGUGCUGAGACGUAGUUUCUACAAGAUACAAUUUGUUUUGGUAGCUUAGGUAGCUUAGGCUGAUGGCUUUUGUUGUUGCGGCAUUUUUCUCGACUUGUGCAGGAUUAUAAGUUCUACUUGUUAAAGCUAUCAGGAAAUUUCUGCGCUCCAGUCAACUGCUUGGAGCUUGUAAGAAGCUUCUUUUUGUUUGUUUUAUCCAUGUUGUUCUAAUAAUUUUGCGUGUAUUCUACAUUUUAGAAUGACAGUAAAGUUGUUAUUCAAACCUAGUUAGAAGUUGCUGAUUCUUUUUCAACUUCUUUUACUGCAUACAAACUUAAAAACAUUCAUUGAUUUAAUAUUGUAGCACUAUUUUAUAUUGCCGGAGUUCACUUUUGUAUGUCAGUAGGGAAAAAGGACUUAGAUUGUGAUUACUCUCUAGUCCAAUUAUCAUAAAUAGUUCCUGCAUUUUCUGUAUAGAUAUGGUUUAGGAUAUAUUACAAUGCAGAGGUGCUUGCAUGUUCUGACCAUUUGACUGGUUGUACCAUUUUCAGCUCCAUUUAGUUUUCGUCAAAUUCACGGUUUUUUACUUGCAUAUCCUUUAUAGUUUGAGCACUUUAACUUCAGAUGGUGGAAAUGACUUUUGCCUCAACUAUCUCCCCGAUUGAAAUUGAAACACGUUGAGAGCCUGCUAUUGUAUGAUAAGUUUUGAGUGAGUAUAACAGUUUAAUGAUGGAGCAUAAUGUGGAUGUUUAAUCAUCGCUCUUAUUCCGGUGGAAACGGCUGCAGCAUUUGAAUCCUUGGUAAGGGUCGAUUAAGAAUCUAUAUUUCUCAUUUGAUUGAAGUUUCAACAUUGGUUUCUUUAGGGCACUCACUCAAUAAGCUCUCCUUUUGCUUUGUUUUUGUGAUUGGAAUCGAACUAUGUGUGCAUCGCAUGGGCGAUAUCACUGGUUUGGUAAGAAGACAAAGUCAACCAGAGUUUCUCUUAUUUCAGGAUAUGCUGGGAGUUUGAUCUAUCGGAAUUUGGUGGUCAUAUUGAAGAUGCGCAGAAUUAAAAUAUAUUCUGAUUGGCUCCAAGAUCUGGUGGAGAAAAGGACAAGUAAUCUCUUACCCUGUUUUUCUGAAUAUUGAUACUGACACCUUCCUAUACUCUUUUAACUACAAGCCAUGUAUCUACCAUAAGUAGGUAAGGAAUGGUAAAUACCAAUUUCAUCCAAAAUGCCCCAGCUUUUCCUUAAUUUGCAGAGUUACUCUAGCAAGAAGCUCCUAUUUUCAUGAUAAAAAUGGGUAUACUUUUAUAGUGUUAUAUUCGAUAGUUGUUUAAAUUUGAGAGAUGCUUUGUACCUCUUUUAGUUAAAAUUUAGUAUGAUGCAUCUUAUAGGACAUAUCAGGCGCGAGCCAUUAGAUCUAUUAUUAUAUGUCUUUUUCCCCAUAUUUUUUAUUUUCUUUUGUACAUGGAUCCAAGAUUGGACAUCACAUGUGACCCUAUUUAAGCACAUUGCUUGUUUUUUGGAUUCAACAGGCCCCCCCCACAUGAUCCGUUGUAACCGGAUCUUAUACAUACUAAAUUACUAAAGAAACAUGGUUCCCAGUAUACAUAGAAAGAGAUUAAAUAUCUUUCCAUACCUCUUUAUUCUCCCAAAUCAAAGUGGAGUUUGCUGCUGAUAGUGAAAGCAGGAGAAUAUCAUCUUUUCAGAGUACUUGUACCCAGCAAUUCUCCACUUAUGAUUAUACAAAAUCCUAAUUAGUUCACUCAAAGUCUAAAUAAUGUAUAAAUUUAUUUAUUAAUACGUCAAUACUUUAUAUAAAUAUUUUUUAAGGAUAUAUAUAUAUAUAGUGUGCGUGUUUCUGCAGAGAUUGUUUCUGAGUUCUGCAUACACAGAGAUUGUUUUGUUGCUAUACAUAUUACAUUAUAGCAUAUAAAUAAUAAAAGGGAUAAUUGCCUAUAUAUCCUUCAAAUUUUCAAAAAUAUCUUUUUCUUUUUAUUUGUUUCCAAUAUACCUCUUGUAUGUACCUCUGCUAUUCAAAAAUAUUUCUGCAGUCAUCACUCGUUAAAUUAUUUCGAGUUAAACGUAAAAGGGAUAAUUGCCUAUAUACCCUUCAAAUUUUCAAAAAUAUCUUCUUUUUUUUUUGUUUUCAAUAUACCUCUUGUAUGUUCCUGCUAUUCAAAAAUAUUUCCGCAGUUAUCACUCGUUUAGUUAUUUCGAGUUAAACGUGAGUUAAAUGUCUAUCAGAAUUUUUUUAAAAAUCAAAAUAUUUUUUUAUCUUUAACUCAAGGGCAAAUAAGAAAAGUUGGUAAUGAUAGAGGGGUAUGUUUGAAAAGAUAAAAAAUUAAAAUAUUUCUUUUGUCCCUAACUAAAUGGCAAAUAAAAAGAGUUGAUGAUGGCAAAAGGGUAUAUUUGAAAGGGUAAAAUAGUAAUUUUAUAAAUAUAACGGCUAUUGUUAAAAUUUAACUAUAGAGGUAUAUUUGAAAUAAUUUGGAAUGUAAAAAAAUAUUUUAAUAUUAGUCUUCUAACAGGAUAAAUCAGAAAGUGAAAAAUUUUUCAGGAAUAUAUAAAUAAUUGCUCCUAAAUAUAAAUAAUAAAAUUUGUGGUAUUAUAGGGGUACCCAUAAGGUACUCGAAGCAUGGAUAUUACAUAUUUGUGGUAAUUGGGGGUACGCGUUAGAGUCUGCGAAGCUUGGGCGUGACGCGUGGCAUCUUUUUGUUCGAAAUGGUGGUGGGACCCGCAAAAGAGGGACCUAAAAGGCUAGAACGCUACUCACACUGCCGAACAACUACCCCUGCUCCCAUGGACCCGGUCUACCAUGCUACUAAUCUAUGAUUCUGUGGCUCAUUCAAUUAUGUAAAUUUACAUAGCUUAAAAUAUAAAAAAAACUAGACACCCUUUGUGUUAGGGAUGGUUUACUUUUAGAAGAUAUAUUCGUUUUAAUGAUUUAUGACUUUUAAGAAAUAUCACACAUUUAAUAUUUAGAGUAAUAAAUUUGUUACGAAAUUAUCAUAUCACUUUGAGUUGGCAAAAUGUCAAUUCCCACAACCUCGCAUAAUAAAAGACUUUAAAAUGAUCUCUUUUUUGUUGAUCUAAUGAGAAAUGAGAGAUCAGCAUAUUCUAAGUAGAAAAUAUGGAGAAUUAUUGAAAUACUGCAAAUCCCGAACAGCGAGCAUGCUAGAUUUUUUGUCUUAGAAAAAAAAAAAAAAAGUGGUGCACAGUGGACCGGGUUCACUUUUUAAUGGCAACGGCUCCUUCGCUUACCCCAAAUAGAGCCCCAAAAUGUUCCCUCGUGGAUCUCUCUCGCUUUCUCUCUCUCUCUCUCUCUCUCUCUCUCUCUUACUCCAUCCCGAGCUCGCUCUCUCCCAUUCAUGGCGAAUGCGAAAAAUGGGAGCUGCGACGGAGCUCUAAAGGAGGUGCGGAGGAGCGAUUUCCCGGAGGGUUUCGUUUUCGGCGUCGCCACUUCCGCUUACCAGGUAGGUUAAUGGUGGGGAGCUUCCAUUCGAUUAAACCCCUCUUCGAACUCCUUUACUGUUUCCCCAUCUCCUUUUCCCCUUUCUAUCCCCUUUUUGAUCUGUAUAUCUUUGAUUGUUUCUGUAUUAUUGCUAAAGUUUGAAUUUUGGAUGUUAAAAAACGCAAUUUUGGAAAUUGGUACCUGAGAUUUGAUUGAUGUUUUGAUGUUCCUAAUCCUAUCUUGCAGUAUUGUUGUAAUGAGUAACUGAAGUUUUAAAAUUUUUGCUCUACCAUUUAUAACGCUUCUAUGGAGUGUGUUAAGUAAGAUUAGAUUACAGGAUUUUGUUAAAAAUGUUACGAAUCCUGUGAGGUGUAGUAGUAUAAUCAAGAUAUUAAUAAGCUAUUUCGAUAGUACAGUAGAGUUAGGUAAUUAAAAAAAAAAAAAAAUCAAAGUUUGUAAGUUUGAGGGACCUACUUCAAAAGGACACUAAAGAUUGGGUGAGAAAAAUCAAAGCUCAAACUAUUUCAAACCAAUUCUUAAUGAGAGGUUUUGAAGAGCAAUCGAAGCGUCUCUAUUGUGAUAUCUACUUGCUAAGCAGUGAGAUGGGCAGGAUUGUAUUUUACCAAUCUUAUUGUGCUCGUCGUUGAGAGAUUUGAUCUUGUUGUUGUGCGUAGUGUUUGCAUGUUGUUCACUGCAAUUCACGCCGUGUCUAUUAGUACAUCAGCAGUUCAGAAGAGCGGCAUUCUGGGGACCGCUAGCACUACUCUAAUAAUAAUAUAAGAGCUUUAUUAUAUAUUUAAUUAGCAAUCCAUUUAUGUUCGUAGGUUGAAGGGGCAAGAAGAGAGGGAGGCAAGGGUGACAGCAUUUGGGAUGUUUUCUGCGAGAAAAAAGGUUUUCAAUUUUGCCUUGUGUGUGUGUGUGUGUGUGUGUGUGUGUGUGUGUGUGUGUGUGUAUAUAUAUAUAUAUAUAUAUAUUUCUUCUUGCGAUUCUAUCAACUUCCUAGCAUUGAUAGGAUAUUACUAUUAUCAUCAGAGAAUAUCAUGGACAGAAGCAAUGGCGAAAUUGCAGUGGAUCAAUAUCAUCGCUAUAAGGUUUGUUAUCAAUAUUUCUUCACUACUAGGUUGAUUGUUGGAGAGAAGAAACACAUUCAUUGUAGCAUCUCCUUGCUAGAUUGCAUUGGAAGUUGCAAUUUUUUGAAUUAUAUCUUUCCAAAAAGGAAGUAAUUAUUUUCUCCAGUUUUCAUGGUUAUAAGUAACUUUUUUUCUAUAUGUUAAAGGUGUUCUGUUUGUUAAUAUUAUGACCUUGCUGGAAGCAGGAAGAUGUUGAGCUUAUGGCCAAGUUAGGCUUUGGCGCUUAUCGAUUUUCCAUAUCUUGGCCUCGCAUAUUCCCUGGUAGGUUCACCAAAAUAAACUUUGAACAGUCACACUUUAUUAUGUGUUUUUGUAAAUGAUGGUCUUAAUAUUAUAAGUUCUCUCAUACUUGCAGAUGGUCUGGGAACUAAGAUCAGUGCCGAGGGGGUCGCCUACUAUAACAACCUCAUUGAUUCCCUGUUAGAGAAAGGUUGCUGAUGAUUCAUUAGUGCCUUCAAAUGUUUCCAACGAUACACCCACUUACAUGUUUUGGCUGCAGGUAUUCAGCCUUAUGCGACUCUAUAUCAUUGGGAUCUUCCUUAUAACCUACAUAAUUCUAUGGGAGGAUGGCUAUCUGAGAAGAUUGUGUAAGUUACUAUAGUUGUCAAGAUUGUAAAUAUUCUGGUAGUUCUUUGUAGGUAAUUGGUUUAGGCGAAAGGAACAAAUAGAUUUUUAUUUGGUAGUUUUAGUGGAAAUGGAGUGGUGGCUACAUUUUCUCUUUUUUUUUCUUUUUAAUUUAUUUUAGGUGUUUACCUUGUGAGUUGUAUUUUUUCUGAAUUUUGGUGAAAACUGCCCAGGGAAUAUUUUGCGCUGUAUGCAGAAGCUUGCUUUGCCAAUUUUGGAGACAGAGUAAAACACUGGAUAACAAUCAAUGAACCUCUUCAAACUGCUGUAAAUGGUUAUGGUGUUGGAAUUUUUGCUCCUGGAGUACGUGAAGAUACAUCCAUCGAACCUUACUUGGCCGCCCAUCACCAACUCUUGGCCCAUGCUGCAGCCUAUGCUGUGUACAAGGAGAAGUUUAAGGUAUGAGCAUUUAUUUGUGCACUUCGCCCUAUUUAGUUCUCGUGUUUUUAGGAUAUAAUCUAAUGGAAAGGAAGUAAAUAACUGGUUCUGUUAACUUAUCAAAUAUCACUUGCUUGCGUGUGAAAGUAUGCAGAAAAUAAGUAUAUGCAAGAAAAAUAUUGUACUAGCUUUUAAAGCAUUUUCUAUGUUAUUUUCUGUAAAUCAUGGUGUGGAUUAUUAGAAUUAUUUUGCAUGUUUAGGCUACACAAGGUGGUGACGUGGGGCUGGUUCUUGAUUGUGAAUGGGCGGAGGCAUUUUCAGAUAAAGAAGAAGAUAAGAUUGCUACAGAGAGACGGCUUGAUUUUCAGCUUGGCUGGUAUAUUAUAAUAUUUUCUCUAAGCUAGUCCGUAGAACUCUUCUGAUAUAUUCUAUGUAUCGCUUUUCCGAUCACUAACUGCAGAAUUUCUUCUGAUAAAAAACUUGAUAUAAAGCCUAAUUCUUUCAUAUAGUAUUUUGUGCAAAUUUUAGCCUUCGAUAUGGUUCCUAUUAAGGGUAUUUUUACAUUAAAUUGGUAGGUGAAUGGUAGGAAUUACAAAACAAGAGGCUAUACCAAUAACUCUCUAAGAUCUUUCUAGCUGAUUUGCUAAUUACUCUUUCUUCCUAUUGAAGGUACUUGGAUCCGAUCUUCUAUGGUGACUAUCCUGCAGUUAUGCGACAGAGGCUAGGAGAUAAACUUCCAAAAUUAUCAGAGAAAGAUAAAGAACUGCUGAGUAAUGCGAUCGAUUUUGUCGGUCUGAAUCAUUAUACAUCAAGGUUUAUUUCUCAUGUGCAGAAGCCACGAGGUAUUCAUUUCUACCAGGUGCAAGAAAUGGAAAGAAUAGGUACUUGCGCAAACCAUAAUGUUUUUGCUCUUCGGUUAUUUUCUUCCAGUAGGUUCUUACUUGUUUCUUUAAUUUGCACAUUAAUUAUCACAACAAUAGUCUCCGCUAUUGCGUAUACAAACCUAUUUUAUUAUGGUUGAUUACUAAUCAUCUAAAUAACUUUCAUUAUCAAUUAGAUUAUAUUCUUCUUGCAUUGUAUUCAUCUUACAUUAAACUAAUUCCCUCGGUCAUUUGUUAUUGGCUUCAUGCUUCUUUUGCAGCUAAAUGGAACAAUGGUGAAGUGAUUGGUGACAAGGUAAGAACAAAUUCUACCCAUCAUCAAUCCCCCCUCUCUCUCUCUCUCUCUCUCUCUCUCUCUCUCUCUUUCUCUCUCUCUCUCUCCACAUUAGUAAUCUGGAAAAUGCUUCAACUUGCAGACUUUACAAAUAAUGAACAAGAUUCUUAUAAUUUAUUGGAGUCUUAUCAACUAACCAAAUAUCUUUCUACAACCAGGCUGCGUCUGAGUGGCUUUACAUAGUUCCUUGGGGCAUCAGGAGAACCCUCAAUUAUAUAGCAACAAGAUAUCGCAAUCCCAAAAUAUAUGUAACCGAGAAUGGUAAUGCUCCCUAACGUAAAGGGGUGAAGAUGCUUCUACAUUUUCUUCCAUAAUGUUGUUUAAGCAGGAGAAUUUUUUUAAUUUAUUUAUUUAUAAGCUAGUUAAUUAUUGUUGAGACACUUUUUAUUAGGCAUGGAUGAAGAAGACAGUGAAAUUUCGACUCUCAGUGAGGCCUUAAAUGAUAUAAAGAGAGUGGGAUAUUUUAAGGGAUAUAUUGCUGCAGUUGCACAAGCAAUAAGGUAAAACUCUGCUUCCUUUUUUCUUCUUUUUUUUUUUCCUUCUCUUAAACUUCAUAGUCCAAUCUUGCACUCCCUAUUCGAACUUCGAAGUUGCAGAAUCCCAUGUUAAUAUUGCAAUUGAAACUUCUUCGAUCAACAAAAAGUUUGGUGGACUUUGAUAAUCCUGUGUGUUUCUCCCUAUGGAACAUCUUUUACUCACAAACCAUGGCCCACUCGUGGUCGAUGUGCCUGAAUUGCAGUAGCAUGCAUGUCAUGUGUUCGUGUAAUUUCUUUUCUUCCCACCGCACGGAGCCGUGGACUUAAAAAGUUCUUUUUGCCUUCCGCGGUUUAGUCGCAAAUCCUAGGUCUAAGUUUUUUUCUGCAAAUUGUAUUCGUAGAAAUCAAAAUGAAAUGAUGUUGACAGAUCCUCUCUACAAAAACAAUAGCAGUAUGAGAGCACAAGACCUCUUUUAACUGGUUUUCUUCAUCAUACUGCAGGGAUGGCGCCGAUGUUCGAGGAUACUUUGCAUGGUCCUUCUUGGACAACUUCGAGUGGGCUCAAGGAUACACCAAGCGGUUUGGUUUGGUCUACGUCGACUACAAGAACGGGCUCACGAGGCACCCGAAAGCGUCGGCGCUGUGGUUCUCUCGCUUCUUGAAGGGUGAAGAUGAUGAAGACAACAACAAUACUGAGAUCAACAAGGGUUAACUCUUUCUAUGUUAUUUCGACUUAUACCGAGAAAUGAGUGAUGAACAAAUUGUGGAAUUUUAAUCUGUUUGGCUCAGCUUUUUUCCAACAGUUUCUAUACUUGAGAAGUAGAAGUCAAACGAUUUGGCGACAAAAAACACCUAGAAAUUCUCGCUAGAAUGAGAAUUCUUAAUGGGGUUUUUGGCACUCUUUUGCUUCAACAAAGCUAUUGUGAGAGGAUUUUAAUGUAAGAACAGUUAGAGCUUUUAAACAAAGCACUUUCUCAGGUGGAGCUUAUUCAAAAGCUCCACCAGAGUGCCAUUUUCCUCUUUUACUUAGUGGGCAUGGAUUGUGUUUGUGAUGCCCCAUAAAUAUCAUGUCCCUUCUCCUUCAAAAGAUGCAAUAAUUUUUUUUUUUCUCAAGCAUGAUUGGUUUAAUUUAACCCUUAAUAUUUGGACCCACUAGAAAUUUCUUUUCUCUCUCUUUUUUUUUUAUAACUUUUGUGGCCCUCAAAAGGGGGGAGAAAAUUUGACCAAGUAAAAUUAUGGAAAAUUAAAGCUGCAAAAUGUAAAAAGUUAAAGAGUGAAAAGCCACAAGCCUACAACAUGCACCUCCUUUUUUUUGGUCCUUUUUUUAUGAGGGACCAUUGCAUAUGUGUGCAUAUAUAGAUUGUUAUGAUGUUUUUUGUCCUUGUUGUCCUUUAUUAAGGAACGUUAUGGGCCUUGAGAAAGUAAUGAAUCAAUAAAAACAUAAAAAAGUCAUACAUAGGAUUGUUGGUUUAUUUCCCAAUAAUGAAAGGCUUUUUCACAAUUAGAUAUCCUUCAAAAUUACAUUGUUAAAAAAAAAGAUACACUCAAAACAUGAUUGCAUCUAUAGUUAUUUAGCUUUUAACUCAUUUUGUAUAGUAACUGUUUUAGAUUUAUAAUGGUCAUUUUCCUUUUUAUCUGCUAAUAUUCUACAUUUUUUAUGGAAAAAAGAAUGUGGUAUAUAAUUAAAGGGUAUUUGUUCCAAUAUGAGCUACUUUUAAAAAAUAAAAUAAAAUAUUAUUUUGGAGGAUGCUUUAUAUAUAUACAUGCAUAAAGGUACAAUGCUUUCACCUUGAUUUUGUAAUCAAUAUAUAUAUAAAAAUAUUAAUUAUAAUAAAAGAGAAAUCUCAUAUGAUAUCACAACAUUUUAUGAAAGCAAGUGAAGUUAAAAAAUGGGUUAAUUUCAUACAGGUUCCUACAAAUAUAGUAAAUGACAAAUAUAUUUCUACAAAGUUCAACUUUUUCAUAUAUUAUUUCUGCAAAAGUUCUGAUGUUUUCAAAUAUAUUCAUGCCGUUAGAAUUUGUUAGAAAAAUUUAGUUAAUCAUAGGUUAAAUAUUUAAUUCUGGUUAGUUUUUGGCAUUUUUAUCUCUCUUAUAUUAUACUGUUAUGACUUUUAAAAUGACAUAUUUGUGAUGGCAAAAUUGAAAAUAUAAAUAAUUUUCUAAUGAUAACAAACUAGAUGGAUAUAUUUAAAAACAUUAGGAUUUUUGUGGGAACAACAUAUAAAAGUUGAACUUUGUAGGAAUAUAUUUGUCAUUCACUAUAUUUGCAAGGACCUAUAUAAAAUUAACCCUUAAUAUAUAUAUAUAUAUAUAUUCUAGUUUAAUUGUAGUACNUAUAUAUUCUAAUUUAAUUGUAGUACAACGCACGAUUCCCUCAACAGUAACAUAUAAGAACAUUGUGAUUGCUUCUUAGUGAUGUAUUGGAUGUUAGCUAUUAUCAUUUGUGGAGAAGCACUUUUUCUCUCUAAAGUGGCUUGAGCUUUUGAUUAAAGAAAUUUAAUGAGGUACAAUAAUUUGCUUACCUUUUCACUGUUAGAUUUUGUGGCUCCAUAAUAGAAACAAGUUAGCUAGGGGAAAGUUAGAGAAAUAUAUAUGUAGCAUCCAAUGCUACAAUAUAGAUUACCUAUUUUCAUUGCAUGGAUAUAACCAUAAAUAUAGUUCAUAUAUAUUUCACCUCUCACACAAGGCCAUCCAUUAGCAUUUUUUCUGUAUGUUACCAUUUCCUAAGUUUCUAGAUAUUAACCAAUUUAUUACUAGAACACGAUUAUUAUGUAGCUUAAGCUUCUAGAGAUAGUAUCUGAAUAUGAGUUUCUAAGUUCAAAUCUCAUCAGACUUCUAGUCUCAAUCAAUUUUCUCUCAUAUAAUCUAAGUCUACAUCUUUGUCCUAUCGAAAUGCGGAUCCUUAGUUAGUGGUCAAUAAGAUCAGGUAUUUGAUGUCCCAGUGGGAGAAAUUUCUUUCAGCUAAGUAGUUCUUUCGUAAAUUAUAGUUCCGAUAACAAGUGUGUGGGUGUGGCUUAGUAUGUGCAUAUUCUUUUUUUCUAUCGAAGUCUAUUAUCUUUUCUAUGUAACCUAGUUCAUCAUCUUAAUGAAUGAAGUGGAUAGUGUGCUAUUUUUGUCCAAAAUAAAAAAAAAUUGAACUGAAAUAUGAGAAAAAGAAAUUAUUUUAAUAAUAUUUUUCAAAACAAAUGAGUAGCAUUCGAGAAGAACUCUAAAAUUGUGGGGUAGCAUAUAAAAGGUUGCUAUUCAUGCCACCAAAAGAAACAAAAGAGAAAUGGAAAAAAUUAUGGACUCAAAUGUUGUUGGCAUUGACUCAUUAUUAACAUAUGAAACAAGUAACCAUCAUGAAUGUUCUUUAUGCUCUUUUAUACCAUUAUUAUUUAUGUAUAUUCACCCUCUUACAAUAUUAUAUAUAUAUAUAUAUAUAUAUAUAACCUUCUCAUUUAGAAAAUAAUAAUAAUAAUAAUAAUCCUAUAUAUAUUUAUUUAUAUAUAAGCAUGUUGGUAGUUGGGCCCUCUCUCCACCUUCCACCCCCUUUCACCCAAAACCCUUUGUUUAUGUGGAUUAAGUCCUUAAUCCCUUGUUAAUUAAUCAAUACCCAUGUGUAUUUGGAAGGUAAUAAAUUAAGUUAUGAAUAUUCAAGUACUUCAGCCAAUAAUUGUGGCAAAUAAGCCAAUAAGAUCUAUGCGAAGGGACAAAUUACAUAAAGAGUGUGUGGGGCUACAUAUGUGUAUGGACUAUAGAGUAUAUAUGAAGGGCAUGGGCAUGAGUUAUUAUUAUUAUCAUGAAACAAAAGGGCUAGUUGUUGCCCAUGUGGAUUGGGGAACUAACUAUUUCUUUGCCUAUCUUUCAUUAGCAAAUUUAAUUAGGAGGGGUUAGAAGUGUAAAAAAUGCAAAUUUAAUUGUGCUAGGCUUAGUUUGGUAUUGAGCUCUAUCUGAUGUUAUUAGAUAAAAUAGAGUUGGGUAAAAAUAUAUAGGAAUAUACUUCUGCGUUUUUCGAUGUGACCGCAAAAAAUUUAUCAUAACUGACUCAUCGCGAUAUGUGGAACGCAAUAUUACGUACGGAAACAAAUAUGACAUUUUUUCAUCGUACUUUAUUGCUUACAACACGUAACAUAAUCUCCCCGCAAUAUCAAACAAAGCCUUAAUAAAUUAAUUAAGCUUUGGACAGAUGUCCUCUUUCGGAAUUUAAUUACUAAAUAAUAAUUUUUGCUAGCUAGAGUAUGAUCAGAUUUAUUAAAUUUGAUGAGAUUUAUAUAGUCAAAUAGCGAUCACAUUCAAUAAAUUUAUUAGCACUAUUAAUAACUUUACCUUUUCAAAAUAACUCCACUUGACAAGUGAUUUAUCUUUUCUUUUCUUUUCUUUUUUUUAAGAUUAAUCUCCUCGUUUGAUUCUCGAAUCCAUGAACCCUCCACACCCCACACAAGUGCCCUAACAUUGACUUAUAAAAUGAAAAUUAUCGAUGUUGAUCCAAACUAUUGAAAUUUUUUUGAGAAUAUUAGAAAGCCCAAAUUUUUAAAAAAAAAAAAAGAAAAGAAAAAUGUUACCUAUUUCAUUAAUCAUUUGGAUUUUUAUGAAAGUGCCUUUCAUAAAAAGUUAUAAAUAUAUUAAUGAUUUUCCUUUCUUAUUAAAGUUAGGGGUUUGCUCCCACACUGUUUUGUAACUGUUGAGAUACUUAAUACCUAAUAAUUAAAAUAUAUCACAAUAACUAAUAAUUAUUUUGUUCAAUUUUUUUAAGUUUAAAACGCAACAUAUCUCUGAGCAUAAGAACUUUUGAAAUUAAAGCUAGCUAAAUCAUUAACUGCCAUACACCCAAAACUAAAUUGAUCCACAUGCAUUAAAGCAUGAAAUAAUUAAUGAUGCAUUACUCAUCUUAAUACAGAAUCAUAAUUAAUUAUAUAAUCAAAAGAAACAUUUUUCUCAUAUCAUAUCCCAUCAUUGUGUCCUGUCGAUUUGAUUGCUGAGAAAGAAUAUUUGAAGUGGAGUAUUACUGUUGCCAUGUCAUAAUCAUGCACACAUGGUCCAUAAAUAUGUAGUAAUCGAAAUUAUUAAAAAAAAAAAGAAGAAGAAAAAAAUGAAAAAGAAAAGAAAAGGCUACGUUGGCAUUUGAAAAGAAUAUCUAAGCGUCAAAAGCUUCAUUUGUGACCCCUUUGACAUGGGUUCCUUUUUUCAUGUUACACAGAACGAGGACAAUAUAUAUAUUUGUAAACUAAAUAACAUAAAUAAAUUAAUGUAGAGCCAUGCUAUAUAUUAUGCUACACCUUAAUAUGUAGAUAUAAAUAUAUAGAAUAAUUAAGUAAUAUUAGAGAGAGAGAGAGAGAGACGAAUGAGAGAGAGAGAUGUGCUAACUACUAAAGUAACAACAAACAAAAUUGGUCAGUAUUGUUUAUGUCGUGGUUUAGGAAAAUAUGCGGGCCCUCUCUCUCCUCUCUCUCUCUUCUUUGUAAUAAUUAAUAUAUAUAUAAUAUAUAUAUAUAUAUAUAUAUAUAUAUAUAAUAUAAUAUAAAAUUAUAUAAAAUAUAUGAGUAUAGUACUAUAUCUGAUGUGGAAAGAUAAAGAAUCUGAUACUUACGAUUUUUUCAACGUCUUUAGAUUAUUUUUAACUUUUGGAUUUAAUAUUAGUUUACCUUAUGCGAGUAACUCUAGAAGUAUCUACUCAAUUCUUAGGAAGCAACUGCAAUUCAUGCCAUACCAUACAAUCUUGAUCCAAAGAAUAAGUUCGAAAAUAUCAAAUUGCUCUUAUACUAGGCCAAUAGAUAGUUACUCUACCUAUAUAUAUAUAUAUACUAUAGAUAUAUAUAUAAUAUAUAUAUUAUAUAUAUAAUAUACUAUAUAGUAUAUAUAGUCCAGGCUGGGAUACUAUCGAUAGCACCAAGCGUUUGGUACUAUCAAGUUUUCCGCAAUUAGAUUUAACCUUUUGACUAUUUUCACCUAUUAGAUUAUACUAUUAAAUCAAUAACUUACUCAAUCUUCGGAGGUCGACAUCAUCAUAUAUAACCAUAUAUUUUUUUAUCCAAGGGCCGAAAGCUUAAUAGCACUAAUAAUUUGGUGCUAUUGAUAGUAUUCCAGUCCAGGUCAUAUAUAUAUAUAUAUAUAUAUAUAUAUAUAAAAUACUAACCAAUUAAUUACAUAAUAUUUUAUAAUUUUUAGUGUCAUAGGGAUUGGUGUGGUGAUUCUGCGUGGGAGAAACGCAUACAUAGCACAUGCAUGCAUGCAUGCGAGUGUUUUUUCUUACCUUUUAUAUAUAUAUAUAUAUAUAUAAAAGCAGUUCACUAAUAAUUAAUUGAUUUCUGAAUCCGAGUUUAAAUUUAAAAAUUAAAUGAGUCCGAGGCUAAACAUUGGAGGAGGAAUAAAAGUUAAUUUAGAGCUAAUUAAUCCCAUGCAUAUAUAAUAAAUAUUUCGCUUAUAAUAAGCAUAUAUUUACUUAUGUAUAUGCUUCUGUACAAGGAUUAAAACUUGUUCUUUUCUCUAUAUUACAAUCAUCUAGAAUAAGUAACAGUAAAAAAAGUUAAAAUUUCACUGUUAAAAAAAUAAAAUAAUAAUAAUAAUAAUAAUAAAUCUUAACUUUUAUUCUCUUUACUAUGCAUGCUACGAGGAGUGUCCUUUUGUGGACAAGUGAGAUGUGACCUUUUCCUACCUUUCUAUGUUUGGUUGUCCCCAGCUGGAUAUUAUUGAACCGUUACAUACACAUAUUAAUUUGGCUUUUGCUUUUUAGCUUUUUGUUUUUGUUUUUUGCUUUUUUUGCUUUUUUUUUUUUUUUGUAGAUACCGACAUAUAUAUAUUUACAUAGUAUUAUACAUAUAGUUAUCAAAUUGGGAUUGUUUAUAUGUCAAUAUAAAUGCAGCUUAAGUAGCUAAUUAAAUUCAUUAUAGAGUACUUUGAAUGUUAAACUCAUAGUUUAAAUCUUUGUUUCACUUAAUUUCUAUAUAUUUAAUUUAUGUUUAUGUCUUAUGGGCGAGCUUAUCGUUUAUUUAAGAAGAGUGGUACAAAGUAGAGAAGUUAUUUAAAUUCUUUUACUUGUAUCAUAUCAGAAUAUAUAUUUAUAUAAUAUGAUCAAAUUCAGUCGAUAUAAAUGAAAUUUUUUUACAGAAUAUUGAGAGAUAAGAUAAUCUAAACAAAUAGAUAAGCACAGUAGAUUUUCCUAAAUAUCGAGCAAUAGAAUACAAUGCAUGAUUUUAGAAUAUAUUUAUUUAUUUAUUUCCGAGUUAGGCAAACUAAAUGAAGAAACAUAGGCGAAUGUUGCCAUUAAUUAAUAAUUCUCUCUCCUAUUAUGGAAAAUAAUGCAGUUAACUAAAUUAAGCUACUUAUAAAAGAUCUAGGGAAGAUGCAUGUUAUAUUAAUUAAGAUCAAUGUAUAUUAUUACAGCAUUAAUUUAAGAUCCAAAGAUGGAAAAAGAAAAAGUGAGGUAGGAAAGAAUGUUGUGACUUGUACUUUGAAAAAAAGAUAAGAAGUAGAUCGAAGGAGGAGAAUGCACGAAACUUAAAGAAGGUAAUUACAAGUAGAAGUUGGUCCCUUUUCACAAAAAAAAUAUUUAUAUACUUUGUACGUACUUCUACCAUGUAAGACUACGUAGCCAAAAAAUUAAGAAAAAUGUUGGAUUAGUACAAAUGUUAUGUAUAUUUAUACGUGUGUGAAUACACAUGAUAUGUAAUCGAAAGGUCAGAUAGAAAAAUCGAGCUAGCUCAUGUCAAGUCGAUCGGUAAAUCCAAACCUAAUUUGAAAUAUCAACACAUAUAUGCAAUUUGAUCUAUUUUCGACUCAUAUCUGGGUCUUUAUUGGGAUCAGAUCAGGUCUAAUUGUGCGUAACCAUGUGUGAGUACCAACUCUAGCUAGUUAGCUAAAACAUGGACUAAGAUUAAUCUUUAAUCACAAACGUACUCUGAAAAUAAGUGAAAAAAAUAAUAUUUCAUUUCUAUAAAACAUUGUAAUUAAUAGCAAAUGUAAAAUGAAAAUUAAUCAUGAACCAUAUGUACAUUUAUGCUACAUCUUCAUAUGUCCUGUGUUUUUGGUAUUUAUGUGUACUUCUUAAACGUUGAUCAUGAGCAUUGCAUGGCAUGUCUCAGAUGCUCAUUUUCUCACAGUUUCACUUUCCCCUUGUUGUGUACUAUCCUUUUGGGUUCUUUUUUUUUUUUUAUUUUUUGAGAUAAACUUCAAAUGUCAUCGUGUUAUUUUGGACGUUCUUACUUUAAUAUCCUAUAAUUUUAUUUUUUCUUUUUCGUUGGCUACUAGUUAUAUCAUAUAUAUAUAUAUAGUAUAUAUAUAUAUAUAUAUAUAUAUAUAUAUAUAUAUAUAUAUAUAGAGCUAGGCUGGAAUACUAUUAAUAGUACUAAUGACUUGGUGCUAUUAAGUUUUUUAUCUUUGGAUUAAAAAAUGUACGGUUAGGAUGAGGUGAGCCCUCUAGGGUUGAGUGGGUGAUUAGUUGAAUAGUAUAAUUGAACGGAUGAAAAUGAUAAAAGAGGUAAAUCUAGCGGCAGAAAACUUGAUAGCACCAAAUGUUUCGUGCUAUCGAUAGUAUCAUAGCCGGACUCUAUAUAUAUAUAUAACUUGCACUACAACAAAAACGGUCUAUAGCGACACUUUUAAAUGUAGGUACAUGUCAAAAAUGUGUUGCUAGCUAAAAUUACCGACACUUUUAAAAAGUGUUGCUAUAUGUGGGGUCGCUAGGUAUAUAGUGACAGUUAAAGAGUGUCGCUAUAACCUAAAAGAGUGUUGCUAAUUUACCAACACUUAUUUAAGCAUUUAGCAACCGCCGAAACUCUAUCUCGUUGGCUGCGGUGGCGGAGGAGGACGACAGAAAAGGCUCUUUGUCUAGAAUUUCAGUGGAUUGAGUGAAGAGAGAAGAAAAGAUGGUAAUUGAUUUUUCUUUUUUUUUCUUUUCUGUUUGUAAUCGGGCCAAAUGGAUUGGAUGUGCUGGGUUGAGUAGAGUAAUCUUUUAUUUUUGGUUGGAUUGGGCUUUAUAUUUAGGCAUUAGUAGAUAUUUUUUUAAGUUUUAGGAUAAAUGGGACACUUACUCAAAAGUGUUCCAAACAUGUGUCCCUAUAACCUAAUUCUGUUGUAGUGUUGAUAGCACCAAAUGUUUCGUGCUAUCGAUAGUAUCCUAGCCGGACUCUAUAUAUAUAUAUAUAUAUAUAUAUAUAUAUAAAACAUCAGAUACCCUAUCUAGAUUUAUCAAAUAUUCACUUUAGUACCUUCUAGUUUUAACUUUGUCACCGAUUGAACGAAAAAAAAAAAGUGGGGAGGAGAAAAUAAAAGAAGAAAAAAAAACUACGGGGUACUAAAUUGAUAUACGUUAAACCGCAGGGUAUUAAAAUAAAAAAGUACAAUACCACAUGGUAGUAUUUAAAGUUUUCUCCUUUUCUUUGAACUUUUCUUUCUUAGGUUUCUCCUUUAAUUAAGCUUCUCAUUAUGCCAUUAAUGAGAACCACAAAACAGAAUUAAUUGAUUUAUAUAUGUGAACUAGAAAAGAGACACAUCCACUCUCUAAUUAAUUGUAAUUAAUACUUCACAAAUUUUGGUAAGGCCUUUUACAUGUGCCCUUGUGUCACAUCAAAUUUCCAUGACAAUUUUCCCAAUAGUUAUUUAUUUAUUUAUUUAUUAGAAUAUAACUUUGAGAAUUGAGGAGUGAUUGGAUAGUAGAGUUUGUUAGAGAUAUUCAUUAUUCAGUGACAUGAUUUGAUUUGAAAAGAUCUCACAAAUGUACUCUGAAAAAGUCCUUCAAUUAAGUUAAUUAAGGCAUUAAAUUUCCCCCAAAAAAAUUAAUUAACAAGAAUAAUAUGAACUAAUGGUUAAUUAAGGGUAAUUUGGGAGACUCUUCUAUAAUCUUCUAUACAAGAAUUAAUCUCCACCAAACAAAACACUGAACUGUAAAACAAACGCAACUUUUGUUAAUAUACGCAUAUAUUAUAUGCCAUAUAAAAUUAAGGGAUAAUUGUCUAUAUACUCCUCAUGCGUCUGAAAAUAUUCGAUCUAUCCUUUUUUUUUUUCUUUCUAAAAUGCCCCUCAUAUGUUCCACCGUUAGUACAAAAUAACCCCGCAGUUAUCUCCUGUUAAGUUAAUCUGAGUUAAACGUGAGUUAAAUAUCUAUCACAGUUAAAAAAAAUUAAAAUCUCAAUUUUGUCCUUAACUUAAGGACAAAUAAGAAAGGUUGGUUACGGUAGAGGGGUAUAUUGGAAAAGAUAAAAAGUUGAAAUACUUUUUGUGCCCCUGACUUUAAGGGCAAAUAAGAAAGACAAUGAUAGUGGAAGGAUAUAUUUGAAAAGGGCAAAAUAGUAAUUUUACAGAGAUGACAGUGUUACUUAACAGAUUUUAACUCUAAGGGUAUAUUAGAAAUAGGUUGGAACGUAGGAGGGGUAUUUUCAAUAUUAGCCUUCUAAGAGAAGUAAAUCGAAAAGUCGGAAACUUUUCAGGGGUAUAUAAGAAAUUGCCCUAAAAUUAACAUCUUAAGAUCAGGUCAAGAUCAGAUCAAAAUUGGAUGAAUAAAUUUGUGGAUUUGAGUUCUAGUUGUGAGAAUUUUAAAAUAAAAUAAAUAUUUUUUUUUACCACUGUAAAUUUUUUUUUUUUUUUUUUUUUGGGUUGCUAAAAAACAAGUUUUCUUGAGGGGACAAGAUGCUCACACUUCACAGUAUCUUAGAACCACCCACUUCCACGACACCGACCCUCCACGUGGGUUUUUAUGGGAGUGAUAAUACACGCCCCAAAUUACACAACUCAACGCCCCCUAGCGGCUCUUUUAAUUUCCGAUUCAGCACCUAAAAUGUUGCGUCGAUAUAUCAAUGGCCCUUUUGGACGGGUGGUGAAACCCGUAAGACGCGGUAACUAUAUAUAUUUAUAUAUACGUAUAUAUAUAUAUAUAUUUUCCUCUUGCGGGGGGGUUGCAACAUUAUAGUUAGUAAUAAUAGUUGAUCAAUUUGGCUACGUAACAAUGAAAAAAUUGUACCUGUGUGGGAAAAUUUAAUGAGAAAAUAGCAAACAUUGGUGGAGCAUUUAUUGUAGCUAGUGUAUAGCUAGAAAUUUUUUUAAGAAACUAUUACAUUAAAAUUUACUCCAAAAAAAUGCAGUAAAAAAUAUUAAGUUUUACAGCUUUAUUUUGUAAAAAAAAUUGAACAUAAAAAUAUUUCUUUUCAUAGAAUCUGAAAAUACUUUUUGAAAAAAGAAAAUUUAUUGUGAGAAAUUAAAUGAGAAAUAAUUAUUUUUUGCCAAAAAAAAUAUUUUUUAAAAUAUUUCUGAAAAAAACUAAACACCCCGUUUGGGUAAUUUAUGGGUAUAGUUUACUAGUUAAUUUGGACCCUUGGUUGAAAUUCUAUAAACUUAUAGGUGCACUUGUAUGUCGCGUAUAGCAUAAAUCAUACUUAUUUUUUUUAAUUAAAAUUUAUUGUAUAAAAAAUAUGGAAAGAAAAAAGAUAAAUAAGGAAGAACAAUAAAUAUAACUAUAAAAAUAAUUUUUUUUUAUUUAACUAUGUCGUGGGCUCAUAGUUUUUAUUCGAAGAUAAAUUUAACUUCAAAAUUUGAUACCGUAAAGAUAAGUACUAAUCAGGCUUUUGAUGGGCACAUAGAUGGCUAAUAAGUUAGAAUUAUUUGUAGAGAAAUACGAUGGAAGAAGAGUAGAUUAGUACGUAGGUAGAUAGGUAGGAGAUCUAGAGCAGUAUUAUAGUAUUAUACUAUUUGUUACAUGGCCCAGAGGGAGCAAAACAAUGUGCGGUCUACAGCUGAACACGGUGAACCAGGUACAAGCAACAAUUCCUGCGCCUGGUUGUGUAAAGGGGAGGGGUCAAUCAUUCUCAUGCUAUGUUAUUCUCACUCGCCACAUCCAUUACGUCACCUCAAUCUCUCUCUCUCUCUCUCUCUCUCUCUCUCUCUCUUCUCUAACUUCGCUCUCAAUCUCUUUCUUCUCGCUCACUCGUCCCAGCUGAAGCCUCCCCCACCUCUUCUUCCUCCUCUUUCUCACUCUCUCCAAACACUUUCAAACUGCAUCUCUCUCUCUCUCUCUCUCUCUCUCUCUCUGUUGCAAAACUCUUCUCUCUCUACCUCUGACCCCUCCUCUCUCUCUCUCUCUCUCUCUGCUCUCUGAAAGGAACCACACCACAUACAACAAAAGAAGCAAGCCAGCAGUUACUUAAGCAGUAAACGACACGAACAGCUUUGCUUCUGCAUGCAUUCCCUCACACCCACCUUAUUAAGUAAACAAAACACCGUCUCCUAAACUCUCUCCGCUAACCCUCUCUUUAACUCCUCUCUCUCUCUCAUCUUCUCUCUCUCUCUCUCUCUCUCUACCAUUUCUUCUUCUCUCUCUACAAACACCCACACCCACAAAUGCCUCUCUCUCCUCUCCUCUCUCAUCUCCCUCCACCAACACCCACCACAGCCCAUCGCCAUUACAACCGAGAUCACUCCCAUGAAGCCUUCUUCCCCGAACCCUCCUCCCCACCAUCACAGGCCCCCCCAACUCCUCGCCAUUCCCUAAAUACCCCUCCUCCUCUUCUUCCUCUUCCUCUUCAGGUUCCCAAAACGCCCCUCCCUUCUUCCCUCCUACCCCUCGCCUACUACUCCUGCUGGGGGGGUUCCUCGUCCCAACCACCUUCCCCGCCAACAUCUCCUCCCUCACCUUCCCCCGUUCGCAAACGACCGCCGCCGCUCCUCCGCGUCGAAGCUCGUCCCCGCCAUUACCUCCCUCCCUCUGCCCUCUCCGUCUCGCCCUCUCCGCCGCCUUCUUCUUCGACCCCCGCCGCCGCCUCCGAAUCCGACUCCGACUCGCCGGAGCGCGGGCGCGCCGGCCCGGCGAAGACAAGCGAGCGCGUCGAGAGCCUCCGCCUCUUCCCCCCGGCGCCGCCCUCCGACUCCCCAAAAGCGCCCCCGCCGCCGCGCAGCCCCCCUCCUCGGGGCCCCCGAGCUCCGAGUUCUACUACCUCGGCACCCUCGCCAGCUCCACUCCCAUUUCUCGAACACCUCGCGGUCGCCGGGCGCCGGCCCAGGAUCCCCUACCGCAAGCUCGCUCGCCGAGCCGCCACCCUCCGCCGCUUCCCGCCAGUUCCGGCCCCCGCCGCCGUACGCCAUGAGCUCCGCCGCCGACGGGGGCUUCUCCUUCCGGGGACGAGGAGUACUACUCUCCCAGGGGCUCCUCCGCCGCCGAGAGGGCCAAGCGCCGAGGACUUGCGGCCGGCGGCGGCGGCGGCGGCGCCUCCGGAACUCGAGCUCGAGGAGGAGCUUCGCGGCGGCGCCCCGGAGCUCCACGCUGAGCACCCCUUCGUACCCCUCCUCCCCGCCCCUCCUCGCCCCCCUCCGGGUCGAGCCCGCGCCACUCCAGCCGCAGAUUCCGUCAAAUCCAAGCCCGAGAACGCCCAUCCCCCCAACUGGGGUCUCCGCCGCCCCGCCGCCGCCCCGCCCACCCCGGUGCUUCGCCCCUGACCCUUCCCCCGAAGAGGAAAUUGCCAUCCCGUCCCGCCUUCUUCUCCGGUCGAGAAGGAGGAUCCGGCGAGAUACCCUAGGAUCUCCGACUACGCCGGGCCGGAUCCGCGUGCCCAGAAGAGAAUUGAGGGUUUCUCGCUGAAACCCUUCGCCAAAACCGGCCCUCCGCCGCCCCCGCCACCUCCUCCGCCGCCUCCCGUCGGUUACUGGGAGAGUAAGGUUCGAAAGCCGCAGCCGGAUCCGCCGCCGGUUUUGAAAUCCAUUGAUGUGAAGACUCCAAAUGUAGCUCCUUUCCCUGCUGAAUCUCUAAACGAGGUUUCGGAGAAGAACGAGGAGACCCCGCGGCCCAAAUUGAAGCCUCUGCAUUGGGACAAAGUGCGGGCGAGCUCCGACCGCGCGAUGGUGUGGGAUCAGCUGAAAUCGAGCUCAUUCCAGUGAGAAUUUCAUGGAAUUUUUAUGCUCAGAUGAUCAAAAUGCUUCCUUUACUGUGUUCCCUUUUCUUAUCAGCUCAUAAUUAUAUGCUUGAUCUGUUUUUCGUUCAUUCACAGGCUCAACGAGGAGAUGAUCGAAACCUUGUUCGUCUGCAAGGAGACGAACAAGCUCGCGAAGGAAGCGACCAAGCGCCCGAUUCUGCCUCUGCCGAAUCAGGAGAACAGGGUGCUCGAUCCGAAGAAGUCGCAGAACAUUGCGAUAUUGCUGAGGGCUCUGAAUGUGACCAAGGAGGAAGUGUGUGAAGCCCUCUUGGAAGGUGAAUCCUCAACUUCUCUGGAAAUUAUUUUAAUUAGCCUUUAGCCAUGCAAGUUUUUCACUUUUGCUUUGAUUAAAUUUGCUAGCAUUUUGAUGGUUUUGAGUCUAAACUUAAUGCAUUACUGAUACUCUUCUUAUUUUGCCUUGUAAUUUCGUACUCAAUACUAUAGUCAAGAGAAGCUGCGUGAGCUCGGAUUUAAGGAAUGUAGAGUCCUUUACAGUUAUUUCUACUAAUAGCUAGAUUAUUAUUCGUGCUUCGUUUUGUACUACUUAUUUAACCCCUUCAUUUCCAUUUCCAUAUAAUUUAUAAAUUGAUCGCUUGCUCCGAAACAGGUAACACGGAGAACCUGGGAGCUGAACUGCUAGAAACCUUGCUAAAGAUGGCUCCUAGCAAAGAAGAGGAGAUCAAAUUGAAAGAAUACAAAGAUGACUCUCCUAGUAAGCUUGGUCCUGCUGAAAAAUUUCUCAAGGCGAUGCUCGACGUACCAUUUGCUUUCAAGAGAGUGGAUGCAAUGCUUUACAUUGCUAACUUCGACUCGGAGGUCAAUUACCUUAAGAAGUCCUUUGACACUCUCGAGGUAUGUCUAGUUGAUCGGCUAUGUUACUUCUUUUAUAUACUGAAAUGUAUAUGUAGGUUCAUAAAUUUUAGUUUUUUUUUACCUUGAUUCAUAACAUUGAGGAGCUUCUCUCUAUCUUUAGGUAGAUUUUUCAUUCCCUUGCUUUUCGUUACGUUAUGUUAUCAUUGAACAGUGCUAUUGCUGCUAAUUCUCCUGUUUGAUUUUUUUUCUGCUUAGUUUAGCUGUACAAACUAUGCAAUCUAUACCACAUAGUUGUCGAUAUGGUACUCUUAUUGUCUCGGUUGAGCGAAAUCUCACUUCUUACGCUAGAAGGUUUAUAUUGCUUUCUUUCCUUAGCCUUUUGUAGAGCUUAGGACAAUUUUUCAUAGUAGCUUAUUUUCCCUUAAUCUUGGGAAGCUACAUUGGUUGGGAAGCAUACUACUACUGCAGGAAGCAAAAGAAAAAGGAAAACACAACUCAAAAUGCAAUUUAUCGCUAGAUCAUCGCAAAAACCAACCAACUUCAUGUAGGUGCUUAAUUUAACAAUAGAUGGGUGAAAUAGAACUAUGUUGGAUUUCUUCUUGCUUGCUUUGUGCAUGUGAAAGACAUAUCAGAUGAUGUGGAUUUACUUACUAGAAAUCUUUCUGAUUUUGUUGUUUGAAAUUUGUCCAUAUUUUUAUGAUUUCUGAUGGAACGGAUUUUCUGCCUGUUUUUCAUACAUGAUUACUACACUGUUUAUCCUCCUUUUGCAAUGAUUAUUUCCCCUAGCUAGUUCAAGAAACUAGGUGAAUCUUUAUCACGAAUUCUGCAUUCAUGAAUUUAUACAACAUCGUAUAAAUGAGAUCGACAAAUUUUUUUUUAAAAAAAGAGGAUCAACCAGUGUGAAACUUGAUCACAUUCACAAAUCAAUUGAUUAAUCAACUCCUUACUUGCUAACCCUCCUUGGACUUUCUCAGGCUGCUUGCGAGGAGCUGAGGAGCAGCAGGCUCUUCCUGAAGCUUCUAGAAGCCGUCUUGAAAACUGGGAACCGUAUGAAUGUCGGAACAAACCGCGGCGACGCCCACGCCUUCAAGCUCGAUACUCUCCUCAAAUUAGUCGACGUCAAAGGCACAGAUGGCAAGACAACCCUUCUUCACUUUGUCGUCCAAGAGAUCAUUCGAUCUGAGGGCUCCCGCCUUGCUUCCGCCUCUUCGUCAACGACCAAAACUCAACCAAACACACUUCAAGAUGACAUCGAGUGCAAGAAACUCGGCCUUAAAGUCGUUGCCGGCCUUGGAAACGAGCUCUCUGACGUCAAGAAGGCUGCCGCAAUGGACUCAGAUGUGCUCAGCAGCUACGUGUCAAAACUAGCCCUAGGAAUCGGGAAAAUAAGCGAAGUCCUUCGGCUAAACGAACAACUGGGUUCAAAAGAGAACAACAGGAUUAAAUUCCACGAGUCGAUGAACGGGUUCUUAAAAAAGGCCGAGGACGAGAUCAUAAAGGUUCAGGCUCAUGAGAGUGUGGCACUUUCUCUGGUGAAGGAGAUAACCGAAUAUUUCCACGGAAACUCCGCCAGAGAGGAAGCUCACCCUUUUAGAAUUUUCAUGGUGGUGAGGGAUUUUCUCGCUAUUCUCGGUCAGGUGUGCAAGGAGGUUGGCAGGAUCAACGACCGAACAAUGGUCACGUCAAAUAGGCAACUUCCCGUGCCGGUGAACCCUAAUUUACUACCGUUGUUCCCUCGCUUUACCGCAUUGAGGCCCGGGAGCUCAGACGACGAGAGUUCGUCAUCGUCGUCGUGAUCAGGCAAAUCUUUUUCGCUUUAUAAGUUAUCUCAGUAGAACAGGAGUCGGAUGAAUUAUUCAUAUUUUUUGUACUUGUAUAAUAGGAAAUCUAAAAGAUUUUUGGAGCUAGCAAAUCCUUUAUAUAUAUAUAUGUAUACAUGAAUGAAAUCUACAUCAUAAGAAAAUAACUCGCGCAGGAAAUCAGUAUAUCGAUUCGUCUUUUGUAUAUUCAAUAAAAAGUUAUGUUCAUUUAAGCUGUGUGUGUGUAGGAGCUUAUCGGCGACGGCGCAGGUGGAUUCGAUAUUGUUGAUGUAUGAGAUAAAUGGAUGCAAGUAAUUUGAUUUGUAGAUAGUAACAUUCUUCAAUGAACAAGAAACCACUCAUUUAACUCAGCAUAAGAAUGAAUGUGUUAGCUGCAGUUGAAUACAAAAAAUAGGAAAUGAAAACAAAGGAUAGCAGUAAUGAGACUCUUUCCCAGAAAAGAAAAGAGUAAUGAAACCAAGAUUGGUUUCUAUGAGCAUUUACUUUAUCCAUAGUAAUACAAUGCCGAUGUGUAGAUCGGCGUCGUCGUCGUCGCGGCCGAGAAUGUUUUCAUAUUGUUUUCCUCCUGGAACGAAGAAUUACUCGUGGAAGCAAGGGGUGAAGUGUUAAUGUUGUAGUCCAAAGGGAAGAACACAUUGUUCCCGUCGAAGUUCACUUCCGCCGAGGGCUCUUCGGCGGGGAAAUAACCAAUCAAAGGGAUCUCUGUAUGGUUCAAACAUGUCUCCAUCCUCGUCGUCGCGAACUUAUCAUCUUCGUCUGCGAAAAGAGUAGUAGGGUAAGUGAAGCAUGGAACAGUUUCGGCACCACCGUUUUCGAGGCUUUCGUCGAAGUGCUUCCCACCGUAGAGGUGCGCAAAGUUAACAUCUUCGUCCGCCAAAGGAGUAGGGGGAGUGAAGCAUGGACCGCUUUCGAUGUUUUCAUCGAAGCACUUCUCGCUGUAGAGGUACGCGAUCCUCCGUUGGGCUCUCUCCAAAGUUUCGUCCAGCAGCUGCAGUAGCUCUCGCAGUUCGACCUCCGUCAUGUCAUCGAGCCGACGGCCGUUCCACCGGGCGAGAAGAUCAUCUGCGGCCGUAACCUUGUUGAGCCUUUUCUGCUGUUUUUGGAUCUCGGAAAGAAGGUAGGAUGACAUGUUGAGGUUGUGCUUGGCCUUCGUCUCCGCGGUGAGGCUCUCAUACUUCUCUACGAGCUCGCGCAGCGNGUUUAAUGAACGUAGGUAAAUAGAGUAUGUAGUUGUUAUAGAUUAGGUGGACGCGACAGCGGCUACUCGAGGAUGUGUGUGUGUGUCGAAUUUACUUGUAUUGAAAAAUAACUUAUAUGUUUUCUGCUAAGCUAUAUAUAUGACUAAAGGACGCGCUCAAUAAAAGAAUACUACAUCUAAAGUAAGUACAUGUAUAUAUAUAUAUAUAUAUAUAUAUAUAUAUAUAUAUAAUUUGUAGAUAGUAGCAUUCUUCAAUGAACAAGAAACCACUCAUUUAACUCAGCAUAAGACUGAAUGUGUUAGCGGCAGUUGAAUACAAAAAAUAAGAAAUGAAAACAAUCGGAGAGCAGUAAUAAGACUCUUUCCCAGAAAAGAAAACAGUGAUGAAACCAAGAUCGAUUUCUAUGAGCAGUUACUUUAUCCAUAGUACUACAAGGCCGAUGUGUAGACCGGUGUCGUCGUCGAGGCCGAGAAUGUUUUCAUAUUGUUUUCCUCCUGGAACGAAGAAUAACUUGUGGAAGCAAGGGGUGUAGUGUUAAUGUUGUAGUCCAAAAGGAAGAACACAUUGUUCCUGUCGAAGUUCACUUCCGCCGAGAGCUCUUCGGCGGGAAAAUAACCAAUCAAAGGGAUCUCUGUAUGGUUUAAACAUGUCUCCGUCAUCUUCGUCUGCCAAAAGAGUAGUAGGGUAAGUGAGCCAUGGAAUAGUUUCAGCGUGACUGCUUUCGACGCUUUCGUUUGAGCACUUCCCGCUGUAGUACGACGUAACGUUGUCAUCUUCAUCCGCCAAAGGAGUAGUAGGGUAAGUGAAGCAUGGAACAGUUUUGGCACCACCGCUUUCGAGGCUUUCGUCGAAGCGCUUCCCACCGUAGAGGUGUGCAAAGUUAACAUCUUCGUCCGCGAAAGGAGUAGGGGGAGUGAAGCAUGGACCGCUUUCGAGGCUUUCAUCGAAGCACUUCUCACUGUAGAGGUACGUGAUCCUCCUUCGGGCUCUCUUCAACAUUGUUUCGUCCAGCAGCUGCAGUAGCUCUUGCAGUUCGACCUCCGUCAUGUCAUCGAGCCGACGGCCGUUCCACCGGGUGAGAAGAUCAUCUGCGGCCAUAAUCUUGUUGAGCCUUUUCUGCUGUUUUUGGAUCUCGGAAAGAAGGUAGGAUGACAUGUUGAGGUUGUGCUUGGCCUUCGUCUCCGCGGUGAGGCUCUCAUACUUCUCUACGAGCUCGCGCAGCGCGUGGUCGUCGGGGGGCCAUGUGACGACGUCUCCCGACGGUCCGUAGCAAACCAAGAAGGCAUUGACGCCGCACAACGUCGACAGUUCGAAGAUCUUCUUCUUCAACCCUUCCUUGCGCUUCCGGUAGCACUCUCGCCGCUUCUCGUCGCACUGAAUGAGGUUUAGACCGAGUAGUUUACAUAGCUUUCUUAGAGGAGGUUGUAGAUUGUAGAAACAGAGAGGAAAAUAUAUAAUCCUAAUAAACGUAUAUGCAGGGAUGUUUAUAUCACUUAACGUCUUUAUAGGUACGUUUUGCUUUUAAGGUAUCCAACAGAAAUGUUUUCAAGAUUCAAUACGUCUAUACAGGUAGACCAAUUUUAGGCAAUCACUUGACAAAUAAAAAAUUGUCAAAAGAAUACUUUACUGAUAAAACGAAAGUGUUUAUAUAGGGAGGGAGGUUUUCAUAGGAGAAGGGGAAGAGAAAGAGAAGGAGAAGCCCGGCAGCCUCGCCUGUUGCUGCCGCUGUGCCCCAGCCUAAGCGGCCGCUGCUUCUCCUCCCUUCUCUUUCUUCCUCUCCUUUUUCUUCACCCUUCUCCUUCUUUCUCUCCUUCUCCCUCUCCUUCUCCCUUCUCCUUCUCCCUCUCCCAAACGGUGGCGGCGUAGAGGAGGAAACGGCCGCUGCUCCUUCUCCCUUCUCUUUUUCCCUCUCCUUCUUCUUCCCACUUCUCUUUCUCCCUCUCCUUCUCCUUCUCCUUCUCCCUCUCCCAAGCGGCGGCGGUAGCGGCGUAGAAGAGGGAGCGGCCGCUGCUUCUUUUCCUUUCUCCUUCUCCCUCUCCUUCUUUUUUUCCCUUCUCCUUCUCUUUUCUCCCUCUCCCUCUCCUUCUUCUGCCCUCUUCUCCUUCUCCCUCUCCCAAGCGGCGGCAGCGGCGGCGGUGGCGGCGGCGUAGAGAAGCGGUCGCUACUUCUUCUCCUUUUUCCUUUUUUUCCUACUCCUUCUUUCGAUCUUGGCAUUUAAGUCUGAUAAUUGAUUAGCACCAAUUCAUCAAAUUGACACCAAUUGAUUUAAAGAGAUUGUCUGAGAUUGUCAUCCAUGUAUAGACGUAUUGAAUACUGAAAACAUCCCUGUUGAAAACCUUAAAAGCAAAACGUCCCUAUAAAGACGUUAAGUGAUAUAAACGUCCCUGCACAUACGUUUAUUGGUAAAAAUUUAAAUAUAAAUAUAAAAAUAUAUAAUUAAAUGCGUUUAUAGUUUUUUUAAAACAGUUUAUUGAAAAGUUUUAAUUAAGCUUUUUUAAUUAAAAUAAAUUUGAGUCAGUUUGCGAGAUGUUAAAAAUUAUUUUUUAUAAAAAAAUUUAUUAUUAGUGAAAAAGUUUUUUCUUGAGAUACUUUUCAAUCCGGUUUGCCGGCAUCAAGUCGGUCGCGUAGUGACUAAUGCCUCUCCGCCAUGUUCUUCAUGAAAUGAGCUCGGUUUUCCUAGAGCAUCACGAAUCGUCAGUUGAGUUCUUUUUUCGUCACUCGACGACGAACUAAACCGUUACUUCUCGUAUCUCAGAGGAUUAAUUCAACGGGUAAUUUUAUGAUCCCUUAAGCUGUAAGGGUUUGUACGUUUUAAAGUUAAAAUUGGGAACCCUGCACCGUCUCAGAGUAAAAAGAAAUGGAAAUAAUGACGUAUUUUUAUUUUUUAAGCUACCUAAGAAAACGGAUUCUAAAUUUAACCCAACUCGAUGCGCUAGUGCCAGAAUAAACAUUUCUUGCCGAGGAAAACAAGAAGAUUUUAGCCUUCUGUCCGGUCAUGAAUGUAUUUCUUGCCGGCGAAAAAGAGAGAUCGUAAGGAAAUGUUUGACUUUUCUACGGCAUCAAUUAAUGAUCGUCUUGUGUACCUUUUACUGUGUUAACUUGCAACUAUCCACGUGUAACGCAUUUGUAUCUUUUCUGUCAAGUAAUUAAUGAAAAAUGAAAGGCUUAGGAUAUUCUUGAAAAAUUAAAGGAAUAUAUUGUAACUCAUCUUCAAAACUUCUUAAAACGGCUAUAAAGGGAAGAUUUAUUUUCAGGUUUAAUUGAAUAAAUCACAACGUUAAAUUUACAAUAUGACAUUUUAAUUAUUAAGAAUCAAGAAUAAAAGUAAAAUUUUCACAUAUGGAGAUUUUACCCGCAUAUUAUAAGUGGAUGGAUAGGAUUCCACCCUACACAAAAAUGAUCGUAGGAAAGGAUCUUACCCACCCACACAAAGCAUAUGGGAAAAAUCCCACAUACACAUCGUAAUAAUAAACAGUAUGAUAUCUGAUUAUAGGACAAAAUUGGAUUAAUAAAUAAAAAUUGAUAACCUAAAGAUUACAAAUAAACAAUAAAGCUUUCGAGUCAGGAGGUUUUAUAAGUAAUUAUUGAAUCUGUUUUUAACGAUGUACCUACCUGGCGUGCUCUCCGGCUGCACCUGGCGAGUGGGUUAUAGAGAACUAUUAUUUAUUUGACAAUAUAUAUAUUUAUUACAAUAUUAAAAAAUAAUCUAAACAUCAACUUAAGAUUCAAUCUAAUCUUAUUCAUAAAUUUAUAUUAAAUUUAAAUCUAUAAUUAAUCUUAUCUUAAAGAUUAAUAUAAUCCUAAUCCGAUGUAAAAUCAUCGAAUCGUAUAUAUGUACACAUGCCGAUCUCGUACCACAGGGUUUUCGAUACCACACAGACUUUUCGGUCCGGCCAACGUACGUAGAACACGUGCCCACAUAUAUUCCCUCUUUUUUCUCCAGAGUCCCUUUUUUUACCGAGGCCAACUUCGAUAAAACAACAUCGUUUCUCAGCCCAUAUUAAAAAAGAAUAAAUCAUUUAAAAUAAAAUAGGCAUUAAAAACAAAACUAAAAAAAGAGAAAAAAAACCAACAUAAACGAAUUUCUGCCCAAAUAUUGUUUUUAGGUUAAAACUGCGAAGGCAACACCUUACAGUUGUUAGCUAUGACUUAAUUGUCGCCAGCUAUAGUCUCGUUCAACACUUAAGAGUUUUAGACUAUAGUCUUGCUCAUGGUAUAAAGGUUGUUUAUUGUAUAUUAUAUAUAAAAAUAUAUAUAUAUAUAUUAUCUUCUUUUUCAAUGUAAUUAUUAAAAAAUAAGGAAAAAAAAGAAAGUUGUUUUGUUUAUACCUACUUUUUGAUGAAAGAAAAGUGUUUGGUUUGUGGAUUUUGAAAAAAGAUGGUUAAAAAAAGUGACUUUUAAUAAAAAAUAUCAAAAUGCACGUUGAUUUGUAAGAGAGCAUGUUUUUUUUAUAGCAGUCUACAAACAACUUCCAACAUAUCGGGUCUACUGUACCGUCUCUCAAGUCGACUGCGCUUAACNAUAAAUUAUGUUUUUAUAUAUAUAUAUAUAUAUAUAAGUUUAUUUAUUAUCAGAAGAGAUUGGUGGACCUCUCGUGCGACCGCGAUUCUUUGGUCGCGGUGAGCCGCAUAUUUUGCUGCUGGAGUAAAAUUUUACCACUUAAUAAAAACACACACAAAAUAAUUUUUCGAGUUAAAAAUAAUUUUUAAUAUAUUUUACGGCAAUCCAGACGCAUCCUAAGCGCAAGUUAAUAGCUCGACCACCGCGAACUACAAUCCUAGAGAGAGAGAGAGAGAGAGAGAGAUGAGUUAUGCGACUCGAAGAGAUCGAGAGAGAUGUAUAUAUAUAUAUACACUACUACAUGUACACGUCCAUAAUAGAAAACUACGUGAUUGAUUGUCCUAAGCAGAGUACAAAAGUUUUGAAAAAUUAUAUGAAAAAAAUUCAACAAAAAGUAUGCCUAAAAAUAAAUGAGUUGCAUGUUUCGUGCGAUCGAAUACGUGUAGAAUUACAUAUUUUACCAUGUCAGAGUGAAAAUAAUAAUAAUAAUAAUAAUAAUAAGGGGAAAAGAAAAAAAAUUACCUUCCUUUUGAAAACCGGGGAUUAAAAAAGUGGGUUUGCUUUAGAUUUUAAAGAGGAGAAAUAGUAGUUAUAAUAAAAGAUUUUUUAUUUUGUUAGAAAUUAGUAGAAAUAGGAAUUGUAUAUUUGGUCUAAAAUAGGAAAUGAAUCGGAAAAGGAAUAGAAUCGAAAUCGGAAAAAUGAAUGGGAAUCGAAAAAAUAAAAGCUCCUUCCAUAAAAGGAAUCAAAUCCAAUCAGAAUCCAAAUUAUACACAAAUUAAUAAUAAAAAAAGAAAUUUACCAUCCAAAUUUGCAAUCAAAAUUUGGAUUCAAAUUGAAACUUAUGAUUUGACCUCAAAAUUCAUAUUUAUAAUAAUUCAAACUCAAGUUCAAAGUCCAAAAUUUAAAUUUAGUACUCAAUUUAAAUAUCAAACAUAUAUAUUAGAAUUUAAAUCUAAACUUAAGAAAUUAAAAAUUAAAACUUGAAUCCAUAAUUCGAACUCACGUUCAAAACUAUAAGUUUUCUACAAUUAAAUAUAAAUUAAAUAAUUGUUGGUGAAAAAAAAAAAUUUUUUUUUUUUUACUCUUUUCCGCAAUGAAAGUUGAUUCCCAGCUUAGAGGGAUUCGGAUUUUUUCCAGAAUGAAAAUCGGAAUCUUAAUCCCUGAGACUGAAAAACCAUUGUGAAAAACGAUCAUUCCGAUUCCCAUUUCAAGCCUCGAAUCACUCGAACCAAACAUGCCCUUAGUAGCAUUAUAAUAUUACUCUAUCAAAAAUUGCAUGACACCUCAUUCCAAGAUUAAAUGAAUGUGCCUCUUCAUUUCUCUGUAAAAAUUCUGUGUCCUUGGUUUGUCUCAUUUUACAAGAACAAACUAUGAGCAUCUUGAUUAUUAUGUAUGGGGUAAACACCUAAGAUUUCAAAUGUAAACAUGGUCGCACUCCAUGCGUUCUAAAACUCGGCGCGCUUCCUCUUCCGUUGCAGGAACUACGUUGCGAAUCCUCAGCCCGUUCUUCAAGGCGUCGCGGCUCACGGUGAAGGUGAAGUAGAAUGUGUUUGAGACCUGCGCGAUGGGGAUGUAUGGAAUAAGAGAUGAACAAAAGUAUAGCAUAGGGGCCUUUCCUACCUCGGCUGAAGCAUCUGCAGAAGUGCUGUUCGGAAAAGCACUAACUGCAACUUUACCGCAGCUGUGUUUGGGGCUCAUAAGCUCAUUUAGCUUCCAAACAUUGGAUAAGCCGAUGCGGCACCAGGUUAUGUACACAACUAGGCAUCAGUCCAUUCACAGACUUACCUCGCUGGUUCGCAGCUCCGGUCUCGUUACGUGAGCGACGACCUCGAUGUUGAUCAAAGGCUGCUCAGGGUUAUCUAGUUGUGUGUACAGCACGCACGAUUUGAAACGUAGAAAGUCUCCCACAUCGACCUGAAGCGUUUGUUGGCAUAUAAUGCAGUUACACCAGCAGAACACAAACUAAAAAAAAAAAAAAAAACUAUUGAGGUCCUUAAGACGGCAUAGCUUGAAUUGGCAGGUUGCCGUGUACUAUUGAUGCAAAAAUGUCGAACUUGAGCUUCGAUUGUUUAAUCCACCCAACUCAGAUUCUAUAUGAUUUUGUUAAAGUUGAAUUAUCGCUAUUUUCUUCUCCCAGAAACAAAAAGUCACUACUGUAGUGUUGUUUUCUAUUCUAACAAAUGUAGUGAAGAGUGAUGAAGUCAAUUUCCUAAUAAGUGUUUUUAACUUGUACAGAAUCUCAUAGCUAAAUCAUAGUCCGGCAUCAAGAAUUGCAUCUGUCAUGAUAAAUGUCAUAUUUUCCCCACAUAAAUGAAAAUAACUAGAGCUUUCUGUAGAUUCAAAGCAAAAAAAGGGAAAUUAAGAAUGGUAUUAUAAGUAAUAACAAUAGUGAUGAAAUCAUAAUAGAUGAGAAACUUACAGGUUUUAGAAAGUCGACGUGAUCCACUUCAAGAAAGCAAGGCAUUCGCCCAACAAAGGCAUACGCAGUCGAAAAAGCCAGUUCGAAUGCUCUGUGCAUCAAAAAACCCCCAAAAAUCCGCCCAUGCAGGUUCCGCUGCUGCGGCUGGCAAAUCAAGGAGUUCUCUAAGCGGGUAUCCUGUAGCAGGAUGCUGUCUCGAUCGGCUAACGCGGGCAAAUCGCAGAAGACGCGGCCCUCGGCCAGUAAACUAUUUAGCUUCUCUUUCUCUCUUUGAGAACUGUGGCUGCUGCCAUUCUCGAUCCCCGCUUUCUGCUCCUCUCUCUUCCUCUUCCUCAGUUUAUCCCUCGCUUCUCUCUCUUGAAAGAGCAACUUUUCUCUUUCCGUUUCGGGUGAAAGGCGGUUUACAGGAGCGGCCUUUCCCGUCUUUGAGUCGCGCGCGACAAACGUGAAAUUGGCCGUCAAAGCUAUAGAGUCAUCUGCCAUGAAAUAAGACGUGAAUGACAUUCAGUUAGCAGACGAAUCAGUUAAGAAACCAAAACAACAUUUCCUCGACUAAUUGACGUUUUUCGAGCAAGACUACCUUCCGGAGGCUGAGUAACUUCAAUUUGAAUAUCAAUGGACGAACGGCCAACAUACGUGACUGCGCCAACUACUUUUAGGUCGGCGUCUACUCGCAGCGGUUUCUUUAGAAUCAUUUUAUCGACCGAUGCGGUGACCAACAGCAGAGGCCUUGUUGUGCUAUCAUCGUCAGAGCAGUGCUGAAAGAAAUCAAAAUAACAUACAUGACGUGAACGCUUGCAAUUUCACAAACUCCAAAGGCACGUUAUAGAUAAAUCGAGGUUUGAUGAAAAAGGAGUAGCAUUAAAAGACGAAAUAAAUAUGGCCUAUAAGGUAUUUACAAAUGUAAAGGAUAAACAGUAACAUCACCAUUCAUACAAAAGGAAUCGCGACAAUUUAUCAAAGACCUACAAGCAAUAAUCCUUACUCCCUUGUUUUCUGUACAAAAUGUACAGCAAUGGGAAUCAAAUCGAGCUCCAUUAGAGAAUCUCCAAAUUCUUUUCUUUUUCCGACAACUCAAUCUCACUAUUUUGAUCAUAGUUGGCGCUGAUCGAUUCACCGAGCGACACUAAUUUGUCGACGAAUUCGUGCAUCUACCAUAGAAAACAACGGGCCUAACACAUUUUUGACUCAGAAGCGAAGCAAAGAAAAAGGAGGAACAUGAACAAGAUACCACAUUUUUAGUUGAACCAUCCCACAGAUCUUAACAAAUCAGUCAAAAAUCUUACCUUUUUCUCUUGUUAGCAAUACAAAUUUACCACGAAACAACAUGAAAGAGAUGAAAUUGGUACCUUCACGGCAAUGGUUCCCGCGAGGGCGUCGAGAUCCUCGAUAAGCUUCCCGAUCCUCACCUCGUUCCAGGGAUCCCUGUACUGCUCCCUGAGUACGAAAUCACUCGAGAACUUGUAGAUUACACUCGUCCUGCUCUGCGAGGGCGUGCGCGUGAGGAGCUCGCUCUGCGGGGGUCCGUCCUUGGAUUGAUCCAGAAGCCUCUCGAAGAUGCUCGAUCGCGCCUCCCACAGCGCGUUGGUGACGGGCGAGUGGUACAUCCCCGGCCACAGGCUCAGCGGCUUCCGGACCGCCGAGCUCGGGUCGAUGUGCUGGUGCGACACGACGCGGAUCGGAGAAGAGGACUGGGAAGGGGCAGAGGAGUCGUCCAUGGUGGAGGAGGACGACGAAGACGACGAAAAGGAGGAGCUUUGGGGGAAAUGGGGGGAUUUAGGGAUAAAGGUUUGGAGGAGGGAGUCAAGGAGGGAUCUGGUGGAGAGGGAGAGGAGAGAGGAGAGAGGAGUCGUCGAUGGGAGGGGUUUCAUGGCGACAAAGAGGGUAGGGGAGGGCGAAGCAGAGGAGCCAUGAGAGUGUCGGUUAGGGUUAGGGCUCCGUCGAUGUUGGAGUGGAGAAGACGAUGGAAACGUGAGUCACGUGACACGUUCCCUUUUUUUUUAUUAAUAAAGUAAAGGGGAAACUUCAAAUACCACCCUUUGGUUUCAUACUUUUUCACUUUAGUACCCUAUGGUUUAAAGCAUAUCAGUUGUGUUUCAUUUUUAUUUUUUUAUUAUCGGUUUCACUAAUUUUUUUUCGUUAAAUCAGUAACAAAGUUAAAACUAAAAAGUAAUAAAGUAAAUAUUAAAUAUUCGAUAAACAUAAAUAAGAUAUAUGAAGUUUUUAUAUAUAAUUUAUUAACGAAAUAUUAACGAAAAAUCUCUUGAAAAGAUAUAAAAAUAAAACCACAGGACACUAACUUAGAUAUACACUUUAAACCACACGACACUAAAGUGAGAAAGUGCGAAACCAUAUGAAAAAUAUUUGAAAUUUUUCCUAAAGUAAAAUAAGCAUUUCACGAUUUAUAUAAAAAAAAAUCCAAUAAAAGAAUUCACCCGGUAUGCAAAUUUUUAAACAUCUUUUUACUAUUAUUAAGUUACGUUAUUUUUUAUUAAAAGAAAAAUUAGUUUAAUACCGAUCCUUUUCGAGUUACAAAGCCAUAAAGAUCAAGCAAAAACAUAACACAAGUACAGUGUCAGCAGUGCAGAUUCAAGUUGACAAAACAUGAAUACACAUUUUAUUUAAAAAAAAAAAAUUAAAAAAGCAGUAAAGGGUAAAAAAUUACAAUAUUAUUAGAAAAUAAACAAGCAGAGCACUGAUCGAACGAAGCUAGGACAAAGGGUGAUUAAAAUUGUAACACUAACAAAGCCAAAAAAGCAUUUUCACAGAACAGGUGCAUGUAUGUUAAAAUGAUUAAAUUUACAAAUACGCUAUAUAUACAAAAGGACAUAAUUAGGAUACACAGGUACACUACCAUAACUCACCCACCUAUUGUAUGAAAAAACAAAAAAAGGCAAAAAAAAAACAUCAUUAGAAAAUAACUUAAAAAAGAAAGCAAAAUGGGGUUACAGCGACGAUUAUGGGGGACGAUGUAUUUGGGAACUGAUUAAAAAUACUGACACAUUUUCAUUCUAUGCUUUCUCUAGAGUGAUUAUACNAUUAUUAAGUUACGUUAUUUUUUAUUAAAAGAAAAAUUAGUUUAAUACCGAUCCUUUUCGAGUUACAAAGCCAUAAAGAUCAAGCAAAAACAUAACACAAGUACAGGGUCAGCAGUGCAGAUUCAAGUUGACAAAACAUGAAUACACAUUUUAUUUUUUUUAAAAAAAAAUUUUUAAAAGCAAUAAAGGGUAAAAAAUUACAAUAUUAUUAGAAAAUAAACAAGCAGAUCACUGAUCGAAUGAAGCUAGGACAAAGGGUGAUUAAAAUUGUAACACUAACAAAGCCAAAAAAGCAUUUUCACAGAACAGGUGCAGGUAUGUUAAAAUGAUUAAAUUUACAAAUACGCUAUAUAUACAAAAGGACAUAAUUAGGAUACACAGGUACACUACCAUAACUCCACCUAUUGUAUAAAAAAAACAAAAAAAGGAAAAAGAAACAUCAUUGAGGAAGAGAAAAUAACUUAAAAAAGGAAAGCAAAAUGGGGUUACAGCGACGAUUAUGGCGGACGAUGUAUUUGGGAACUGAUUAAAAAUACUGACACAUUUUCAUUCUAUGCUUUCUCUAGAGUGAUUAGAAAUUUAAAAUUCAGCCUUCAUGAGGUUUAUUCUCGGCUUAAUGUUGACGAGCUCGAACGGGUGUUCUUGUUCGACAUGGAUGUAGUCUCUUGUUUUCAAAACCUGCAAGCGAAAAUGGAAAGCACGUUUGAGUUAAAAGGAAGAAGGCGACAAAACUCUCCAAAAUGUCCAAAAUUAUGAUGAAUAGGAACUUCGAAAAAUAGAUGCAUGCAUGUUAAAUUCUUUAAAAUUCAACAAAAAAGAAAAACCACCCAUGAGUUCACAAAACUGCAUGUAGGGUUCUCUAGAAGACCCGGUAAUACCGAUUGACGUAUAAAGAGAAUUAGUACUGCAGAAUGUAUGUUAAGACGACAUUAUGGGGACCAUGCACAAGGGUCAAAAGAGUGCUGCUUGGAAUUCUCGGUGCUUUGGCAAGUCAGUUUGUGAACUCUGACGCACACUGACAUGCCCAUGCGCACGCGAGAGAGAGAGAGCGAGAAAGACCGUAAGGAAAUAUGUGAAGGGCUUACCAAAGUCUCAAAGAACAUUCUUGAUGCUUCUUUGCGGGUUUUCCCACUUAACAGGUGGUCCAUGGCCACACUCUUCCUCCCACGCCCGGUCUCUUCAUCGAACAAAGUUUUAAGAUACCUUGCCACGCCCCUACAAAAUAAUAAACCAACAAUUAGGGAGCAUUUAAUCGUAGUAAUUUCAAGAAGAAAAUCAAUACAGAUUUUGUUCCCAAUAUAGAAGAAUUAAAAGGAGAGAAUAUUAAGCAUACUACUAGUGGUGAUUAUAUUUAUAACAGCAGCAACGAAUAUAAUACUAUAUAUGAGCACCUUGUGCGAGAAGACCAUCCACUGUUCUCAAAUGAGUGGAGCUCCUCAGGGUUCGGCAAGUCAUCGUUUGCUUCCUCAUCGUAGUCUCCUUCAUCGUCAACAUUAAGGAACUCUAAUAGACAAACGAAAAAAAUUAAGGUUGAAUAAUCCGGUUGUAAACUUAAGCAUCCAAUACCAGUUUAUCUUUUGCAUUCAUGCCUCUUUUUCUUCUUGACAAUGAUGACAGGAACACUAAUGUCAAUUUUAGCAGCAAUUCUAGUGAAUAUCAGAAUAUGACAGCAAAAGUGCAGAGAUGAGAAAAGUACAUAGAAGAUACAGAAAUUAGAAAUGUUGGUGGUAGCGGCGGUUAUGGUGGCGACAAGUACAUGGAGAUAUCAGAGAGGAAAUGAACACGCAAUAAGAAGAUAACUGUUGGAGGCUUUAUGUUCUCUAAAUUUUUCGCUUUUUCAUAUUUGAUUUUUGUCAUUAACUGGUAAGUCUUAAAAAGUGCAAUGCAGCCAAAAUCUACAAAGCCAGAAAAAACUUGAGUUGCAAAAACAAAAAAAGAAUUGGUACUCAACAUUAAUGGAAACUAAAUCACAUAAAAUAAGGUACAAAGUUAGUAUUUUAGAACAUAAAGAGAAGACUACCUGUACCAACGCCAUCAAUUCCGCUGCAAAAAUCCUGCACAAUCAUAGGAAAGCUAUAUGAGAAAGUGGAUUACAUAGAAAACAAUAAGGAUCACCAGAGACAGUAAAUAUAAGAUAAGCGUUUGUAUUGCAAGAGCUGAGCACGAGCAAAUGCAAUAGACCAACAUAAUGCUUCAAAAUACAUUGUUAGCAUCAAUAGCGUAUUUAAGUCAAUAACUUACACUAUACUCUUUUGGUCCAAAGUUGGUGCCGGUGCUUUCCACAUCCAUGCCACCCUUCAGGUUGUUUUCUUGUAGCCCAGAAUUUUCUCCAACUGCUGAUGUUACAUUUUCGUCUUCAAUAGUGGGUUGAAGAGGAAGUCCUGUAUCCGCUAGAGCAUCUUCUCCCCCAAGGUUUUCCUUGCAAUCAAACACUUUGUCAGCUGCAAUUUCAUCGUGCAACUUGUUACCCAAUUCAUCUUUCAUUUCCUCAACAGCUUCUGAAUAUGUUGGUUCUAAACCUUCGACGACCACAUUCGGACUAGAAAUCGCAUCUCUCAUCAUAUUUGCAGAGUCGGAAGGCAAGCUUACAUCAGCAACAGGAAAACCGCUACUUUCCACAGUAAGAGAUGCCUCACCAUUGACAUUAUUGUCCAAGUUAGCACAAACAUCUUGAGGGAAGUUAACUGUAUCCAUUACACUCAUACUUGCACCUUCAUUACUAAUUGUGCCUCUACCGUCAUCCUCAGUAAAUACUAUGUCCUUGGGAGAAGAGUUCUCCAGCAAAUGCAAUGGUUUGUCAUUCAUCUCUGACUGGUCAACAGAAGGCGGGUUAAGUUCAUUUGAUAACUGCUGUUCCGACAUGCCAAUAUCAAUAGCCUUAUCAGCUAACAAAGCUUCACUAUGAUUUGUAGCAUCAUCAGUUCUAGAACCAGCAUUAGCUUCCUGAUCAGUUAUUUCUGUUGUAGGUGCUGCACAUGGUUGAUCUUCAUUUGAAGUCUGAGCAGUUAGUUCUUUCCCACCCACCCUAACAAUGUCUGAAACCUCAGGCUCUUUUGAUAAUUCAGAUUGAGAAGAGCGCCCCACAGUUACAAUAUCAUAUCUCCGUAGUUGUAAGGUAUUCAGCUCGGCUGAUGCACCUGGAAGGGAAAACACAUAUCAGAUUUUAAGGCUUAAUAUCUUAUGAAAGAAAGCCGAGACUCAUCUUAACGUGCAAGAGAUCAUUAAAAUCUUUAAAAUAAACCAUUAAAGGACUAAACCUUUUGUAAUAACCUCGCUAGCUAAUAUAUCUCAUUUAUUAUGUAAAUUUCCUUAUUUUCAUAUUACAGAGAUGCCAAGUAUAUGCCAAAUCUGACAAAUCUGGAACAGGUGCCAACAGUCUAAAUGAACUGGAGAAAUCAUUAUCCGUAUUCAAACAUUUUAACAUUCCAGCCCUGUAAAUGUCAACGAAUCCAAAUAGACAAAAUCAGCAAGUCAAAUAUGCAAAGCAACAUGAUAUUAUGGGAAGUCCAUCAUGGAACAAGAUGCUGAAAAAAUAAAAUCUCAAAACAAGUUGGUCUAGAAAGCUCACCGCUAAAUAUGGAUUCAUGGAAUAUCUCAUCUUCCAACCAACUUUUCUCAAUCAUCCAUAUAUCAGGACGUGUACAAGGAGCCUUUUUCCGUAUGCGGCGUAUGUCUUCGGUAUUCAACAAUUGUUGGCGUAUAGCACUAAUAAAUGAAAAAAUGAGCCAAUUGCAUAAAACAUAUAGCAGUCCUUAAGUUAUAUGAAGGAUAACAAUUAUCGAAAAUUAAGCAUUUGAAAGCAACUCGCUUAGAGAAAAUCUAGCAAGAAAUAUAUGUCAAAGAUUUGGAAACCUUCAAAUAUAAAAAUAUUUUGUUUAAUGCUAAGAAAAUUGGGCAUAAGUCUCGCUAGAAAAAGUAUAGACUAAAAUGUACAUCAAGCAUAAAUGGUAAGUACGAGGCACCAGAUAUUAUGAAGGAAUACGUACUCCGCAUGUAAGACCAUAGCAUCAUCCACCAGAACCUUCCUCUUGGGCAUGCCUGUCCUUGGGGUCAACCACGGACGUUUUUGGGGACCUGUUUUAGGGGGAGGUGGGCUUGGUCCUAACCUCAACCCCGGGGUCUUUUUCCCAACUGAAACAAAAGAGUCAUGUAUUUAGAUGAAAUAAAAAGUUCACAUAAACAUUCGUUAACCUGCUAAACCUAAACACUAUACCUAGAUAAGGACGUGUGUUUAUAAUGACCUAUCAUACAAAAAUCGCGUAUUUCAUGUCCCGUGCAUGCUAACAUAGGUGAUAACAGAACUAAACAUUUUGAUAGAACUCAAAAAAUCAAUUAAAGUGAAAAAAAAAAAGAAGAAUUGAGGCUGAAACACUUCACCUAAAAUAGAAGCCAAUAAAUCAUCAUCAUCAGGAAUGUAGUCCAUGCUUUUUCCAGCUCGUGGUUUUCGAGCUAUUUUUCCUGUGCUUUCAUUUUCCAAAGCUGGAGUACUAUCCACUAGACGACGUUUUUUGCCAGUAAGGCUGCUGACUCUGUUAGCACUUCCAUCAGAUUCCGUGACUCCUUUUUCAACAGUAACUUGCCCUAAUUCAUUCGUUUGGUUGACAUCAAUGCUUGGAGCUUCAAGCAUUUUUUCAGGCUCAGGAAGUUCAGAAUUUGAUUGCUCAAUUGACUUCUCAUUACUCAAUAAAUCACUUGGUUCUAAAUGUUCUGAGUUCUGGAGGGCCCCAACAAUAGUAGUGCCUGUAGCAUUAGUAAUGCAUGCAUCUUCACCUGCAAUAAUAAUAUAAGCAAUAAAUCAACUUUGUUAUACUCUAGUUUGCAUAGGCAUAGGAAAAAGUACCAAGAAAUAAAACACCCCUUGUGGCUCAAGAGAAAGUUCACUAAUAUGUAAAGGAUUUACUGUGGAUGAACCCUCUUCUGGUUCUUUGUUACCAAAUUCAGAAGCAUUUUCAACCAAGGCCGCGUUUUCCACAAAGCUUGCUUUAUCUUGCCCUGUAGUGCAAGAUUUCAGACUCAAACCGGAGCCAAAUUCAGUAGCAUUGCCAGGAAGAAGUGUUCCAUCUUCUUCCAUAUGACCCUGAUUAGUUGAUGGCUGAGAUUUCUCCUCAAUUGUUCCUGCCAUAGAUCCUGAUUCAGGUAAAUUAUUAGGGACAGUCGAAGGUGAAUUCACCACUUCCGCAUCCACCAUAGACUUAGCAAUAGAAGUCUCUAAGUUAGAAAGUCCAUCCACGGAAGUAAUUUCGGAAUGUUUAGUCUCACCAUUAUCAUUUAAAUGAUCAGUGCCUUCAUUACAAGUAGCAGUUGCAUUAUUAACUUGUUCAGGGUCCAUUAUUACUGCAUUGGGGUUGGCAACAUUGUCAUUUGCUGAAUUGACCAAGCUGUCAGCUUUAAGGGCAUCAUCAUUAACUGAUGGAGAAGAAGCUUUCCCUUGUUGUGGACUCAAAACAGGGCUUCCUUGUAUAUUAGCUGGCAUUGUUUCUUCCAUUAGUCCAGGAGUUGAUGGAGCAUGGGCACAUUCAAGCAAAUCUGGGGACCGAAUAUCCUCCAUAGGGGGGCCUUCCUCGUGAUUAUUUGGGAAAAAGGCUUCAUUAAGAUCAGGGGUUUGUAUAUUGUAUCCAUGCCAUGUAGAGGCAUCAUUAUUUCUUCUAAGAUCCUCCAAAUGGGAAGAAUUAGACUUGUCAUAAGUAAGCUCGGACAAGUUACUCCUAUUUUCAGUGAUUCUGAGAUUCUCGUCGAUGACCAUGUCAGUAGGAGGAUGAGACGAUUGACCUUGAUGAAAGAUGCUGGGCAAAAGUACAUCAAGAGAAACAAGAGAAUUUCAGAAGACCGGGUAAUAUGGACAAAUGAAAACAAUGGACAUACUGAUUGCAGGUGAAAAUAUACAAGAUAUUAGGAAAGACUCUGCAUCUAAUAGUGCAAUUAUAGUUCAACAAGCAUGGCAAUGCAACUUCAAACACAGAACUGUGCCUAUGCCGGAAAAGCUACAGAAGAACAGGCGUUACUUUGUAAAUGAGGUAAUUACAUCAAAAUAGGGAAGGAGCUACAUAUGGCAAGAGGCAAGUUACCCGAGGGUUAAAAAUAUGCUAAUGACUAAAUACUUUUGUAAAAUUUCCUUCAUCAAACUAGAAGUAAGGAGCUUGCUCUUGCUCCUUAUGACAACAGCAACAGCUCUGAUUCCGGUGCACUUCCACCACCAUAAUUUAACUGUCGGCCAUACAUGGUCUUCUAUUUGUUGUUGCCGUGACUGCCUUGCUCUUUUACAUCCUAGAAUGAUAUGCAUUCCUUGAAUAAUGUGGAAAUUAAAAUCUUACUAUAUUGUUCUAGACAUAUACAUUAUGUCUUAAAUUCCUUCCUAAUGAACUUGCUAUUCCUGCUAGAGCGGUUUGAAUUUGGAGAGCAAUAACAAAAUCCAUCUGGAUUAGUAUUCCUUAUACUUCUUAACAUGACCUGGGAAAUUUUUUUUCCCUUUUUGUUCAAAUCGAUAUCUAAGGUACUACAUCACUCCAUUGUUACUCUCUCUUAACCAGGAUUUCAUUUGUUUCCUCAUGCUAAAUAAUCAUCUAAUAUCUUCACAGUAUCUACUAUACGUAAUCCUGCCCUUCAUCCCCAUAUCUAGAUCCUAGCUCAGCCCUUUGCCCAUUUCUAUAUGAGAAGCAUGAAAAUUGAAAGAAACCGACUGAACAACCAAAAAAAAUUAUUUUACCCGUCAUCGAAACCCAAUUCAAUUGAAGGAUGCUGAGAUGAUUUAUCCUUGUCCAAGAAUAAAUCCUGCCAGUAAAUAAUACAUCAUCAGGCUAUUACAUUUGGAGGCCACAUGAUUUGAAAAAGUUGUUUCAUUUUAUAAUAAUAAACAGUACACAUCUACUCAUGCAUGUGCAUGUCUGUAAGGAAAUAAAUAACAAGGAUUGCCAUUUAUUCAGACUUACCUCAUCAAGGUCCAAGCCAAUUUGAGAAGCAUUUCCAUCACCAAAUCUUUCUGUAUGACAAGUUCAUCAUGCAAUUAAUUAAAAUUUUCGAAAGUGUUUGACCGAACAUGAUAACACAAACUAUAUAAAAACUAAAACUAAAUACCAACCAUCCAGCCCAAACAGUGAUGUCGAAUAUCCGGUCUUCUCCAAAUUAUCUUGAAGCGUAAUCUGCUCUUUCGUACUAAUAUGGUGAUCAACAAAAUCACUGCAACAUAAAUCACAAACUUAGAAUGUGCAACAGUUUAGCGUCGCUUCUACAACGUCUUCUCCACUCUAAAGUGCAACAGCCAGACAUUUUGGCAAACAAAAGGGGCUUCCGUUUUUGCAGUGGCAAGAGGCUAAAAUUAGCUUUUGAAGCCCAAAGCAGAAGCUCCACCUGAAGCUUCUAUAUUGUUGCAGAAAGCAACUGGGCAAACAUCCACUAAAGAAACUAUUAGUGCUUUUCCUAACGGGUUAGUCAACAGCACUUUCUGCUGAAGCUCUAUCCAGGUCACAGAGGUCCUUACUAGUGUUCGAUGCAUGAUAAAAUCAGAUAUGUACAGAGAUACUGAAUGUUAUGAGAAAGUGUAUAUUACCCACCCCUGCAAAGCAGCAUCAGGUAGCUCAAAAUCAUCGAGAUGGAAUGUCUCAGGCAGAGUGAUAGAAUGAUAAGGCGCAGUAGAUUCUUCUGGCGGAAGAUCAACUGCAGUUGACCUAAAGGCUUGCUUUAUCUUGAGCAAAGCCUCGCUGCAGUCAUGGAAGAGAUAAUUCACCUUCCGAGAAUAUAUUCUCACCACACCAAGCAGAAGGUGGCUUGAUAAACGAAGUGCAAUUGGAACUUCAGGAAAAAGAAUUGAAUCUGCAUCAAGGAUAAACAUAUUCAUGAGACAAAGAGUCAAUUCUUCAGCCAAUUAAAACCUACAACAUAAAUAUCUGAAGAAACAACUAAAACACAGAAUACAUGCUUGUCAUUGGAGAACAUGCAACUCACAUGGAGAGAACCUCGGAUACCAUUUGUUCCUAAAUGUAAUGCACGACAUAGGAAACAUUAGGCAAUUCCACUUGUAUGUACUCUUCAGACCAUAUAUUUCCAUAGAUAGAAUACAUGCUUGUAAAGCAUUCUUCAGCUUUAUAAUUGAGAACAGAUCUGAAUAUAAAGCUUGGCAGGUUCAAUAAGUCCUUUAAUAAGAAAUUAUUAUAUUGCACAGCUCUCUUCCGGAAAGAAAUCAUACUGUGCUGGUCUUAAAGUCUUUCUUGUGUGCUAAAUUUAUAUUUGGAAGAGAUGGGCAAUCCUAAAUGCAACAGCAUUAACUGUUUGGGAAAAAACUAGUAAUUUGUAGUACCUCAUGUGGUUUGUUAGCGCCAGCUUAUUACUACGCCAUGUGACAAAUUUCAUUGAAAGGGGAUGCAUGCAGAAGGCAUGUGUGCAUUGUGCCGUGUUCCAGCUUUUCAUGCCUACUCGGUAUGUAUCAACAUAUAAACCACUGUGAGCCUUCUAAAAAGCUAGCGAGUAUGGAAGUUUAACACAUUUUUAAUGCACAAUGCCAUAAGAUUUCUUGGGCCAUAAAUGACACAGGCCUGACCAGCUAAGGCCUGUCCAGCUAAGUACACGGAAAGAUUCAAUAUCUUUUUAAUUUGUCCCGUUGUAACUUCCAUUUAGAUAGACAUCUCUUCCAAAUACAAAAUUUAUCUAUUUGAAGAGACACUAAAUCUUUAAUUGAAACAGCAAUAAGAGUCAGGCCACUCGUUCCAAAGUGGCAAUGGCAUAAGGGACGAAGCACUUGGUUGGGGGUUCGAACGCCCUAUCAACUCAAAAAACGAGAGGAGGAAGAACAAGAAGAAAAGAAACCUAUAAAUAAGGAUUCUCCUGAAAUAAGAAAUUCAUUCUGCCACUCUUUUUAUUUCUUCGCUAUAAUAUAGCGAACAUUGUGCCUAUUUGAAACUCGGUGCCUAAUUGAAACUCAACGUUUCUUUCUUUUCCCCCUCAAAGUAUGCAAAAAUGAGAUCACAACUCUCUCAGUAUACAGUUUUGUGGAAUCAAGUUCCUGAAUGUCAAAAAUGGUGCAAUAACAAAAUCAUCAUUUUCCAUCAAUUUCGAAGAGUUCUCUUCUGCUAAAAACCUGGUAGAAUCAACUUGAGCACUUAAUUAAACGAACAGAUGUAUUUUCACAAUUUAACCACUAGCAUUUUAUAAUUGAUCUGCACUAAUAUUUGAAUGAAGUUCAGUCAUAAUAGCUUGUUCAUGUACUAGAUAGCAUCCAACAACUCUAUUGACUAGCUCAUUUCCAUUGUUUGGUUAAGUAACUUAUGAAGUCGAAUAUAUCGAUAUUCAGUAAAUUUGAGAUUUGGCGGAGUUAACUUCUGCGCUAGUCUUCCAAUUGGAUGCUGAACUAAACAAAUUUCCUUUCCAAAUCCAUAAGAUGUAGAAUAUAACAAACAAAUUCUAUGAAAUUACAUUUAAGUGGCAUUUAAUGAUUCCCAAAACUAUCCUACAGAUUUGUCUCGCAAAGACACUGUUUCCUCAUAAGGUGAGUUGUAAUCAAAUUCUCAACAUCUUGAAAGAUUUCAGCUAUAUCCUUGUAUAAGCUCUAUUUGGUAGCUAUAGUUUUUCCGGUCGAUGAAGUCAAUCUGCCCGACAUAACAACUGCUUUUUAACUCUUUGGCUGGCUUAUGCAAAUAUCAUUUUACCCACAAAGUUGCACCACAUGUGUGCCUCUUCUAGGUUCUCAAUUCUUUCGAGCAUGGGGGGUGAUAGUAGAGACAACUCAUCUCUUUCAGAAACACCCAGAAAGGAGAAGUUUUCAUCUCACAAAGUUAUUUUUCACGUACACUAUCAAUAAAUGUUUUUCUAUAAAUUUUGGCAUUUAUCAGAUGCAAAUAUUUUCUGUAGAGCAUAAAUAUAUCUGUUGUCACAGAGAAACAUAUGAUCCACUAGCAUCAUCUUUCUCAUCAAACAUAAGAUUAACGUACUGAUUUGACACAAAGGUGUAGUUGCAUAAAAUCAUAAAAUGUUCCUCCAUGAUACUUCAAGUGAUGAUCAUCAAACAUAGGUUAAACACAACCUACACAAGCUUCUUUUUACUCAAAUCAUACUCACGUUAAUAUCUUGUAAUGCAUAACUGCAAAGAGAAGUUGUGACACCCAUUAUUACACAUACUCACAUAGCAUUCAGCUGUUCAGAUAGUUCGUAAUCUCUAGAAAAAAAAGAAGGUGCUACAAUCAGAGAAACACGAUAAAGGCAAGACAUCAUCAUUAAGUAAGAUCAUUAUGAAGUAAGAUGUACUCUAAUGAAGUAAGAUGUACUCUAAUGAAAUACAUAAUUUGAUUCUAUCCACCACAGUUAUGUCCUCUUGAAAGAAAGGGUUCCGUGGGAUCCCCAAGUAAUUAAAGCACAAUAAGUGCCUUUUGGCAUGGCCAGAGCUUCUAAGAAGUAAUGAAUGAGUAGAGUAUUUUCAAAGAAGCACUAACAAGUUUUCCACCACCCACUAGCUUCCUACUACAGCAGAGUUCAGGCAUCUCCGCUUGAGGCCCAAACACUCAUUUUAACUUCCCACCACAACAAAGCCGCAAACUUUUUCAUCAUCAAACAAUUAGCUUUUUUGCUUCUCAAAUUAGAGGAGCUGCUCUGAAUGCCAGGCCAAACAGGACAGUAAGUUUCAAGCAUAACUAUCAAUAGAAGGUACAAGGAGCGUUACAACAUGGUCGCCAUGACGAAUCUUUUAUUUGGCGGGCACACAAAAUCACCAACUAUGGAAGAUUAUUUAGGAUACAUUUGCUUAAAGCUAUGUUGAGAGGUAAAAAAGCCAACAAAAUUGGAUAAAAAAUAGCAUAUUAACACCUACGAGAUACGAAACAAGCACAACCCUGUGGAAAAGAAAAGAGAAAAAGAUUACAAAUUUAUCAGAUACCGACCUACGGAGACGCCGAUAUCAGUAUCUGCAACUUGAUUCUUCCUCAGCUUCCGCUCCAAAUGAGCUGCGAUCCAUAUCGUCCCCAGAGGCCCCUUCUUGGCCAGAAUAAACUGCGAAUAGAACAUCUUCUCACCCUUUCCGAAACCCUAGAAGCUCAUCCAAGCCCCUCCCCCAAGCCCUAACCCUAAUUCGCACACCUCGGAAAACCCUAGCCCCACAAAAGCCCCACUGAAUCAACCCCAAAGAUCCAACCUUCACCAACCCUAGCUCAUCCCGACACCUUCUCGCACCAAAUCCCCACCUUUCACCAGCUCCAGCUGCGGAAUCGGGCACCAACUCCCCAACCUCGAAUCUCCAGCGCCGGAACCCUAAUUCAACCAAAUUGGGGCUUCGAAACCCUAGAAAAGCACCAAUUCGAGGAGGAGGAGAGGCGGGUAGUGGGAGAUCUACGAACCCCGCGGCGGAGAGGGAUCAAAGUAGUCGCAAUUGAGAAAGAAAAGGGAAUUAGCGCUCAAAAAAGGCAAAAAAAUUUGAGGAGACGUGAACAAAAAAGGGCUUCGAGUUUGGAGUCGAAAUGAGUUUUCUCUCUCCUCUCUCUAACUACUACAAUAAUAAUAUUAUAUAAAAAGUUCAAAAAUUCACGUAGAACCCUCAACUAUAGUCCAUUUCGAAUAGGGUCCUCAACUUCUAAGUUUUUUAAAUUAAAAAUUUUCUUAAAUCAAUAAUUUUAUUGGUCAAUAACCUCUACGUGGCCCAUUAUAUUUCACAAAAAAUUAUUAAAUAACAAAAUUAAUCAAUUUAUUUGACUAAAAAUUAUGUUAAAGGACUCCAAUUCAAAAUUCCCCAUAGCUGAGGGAUCUCCAUACAAUUUUACCAAAUAAUAAAAAGGAAUUUUUGAAAUUUUGAAAUUGCUCGCGAGAAAAUCUCCGCGCCAAAAAAGACGGCGUAAAUACCCCGCCGCGAGUUAUUUAACGAGUCGAAUAACACCCGUUCGAUCCCGAUUAUUUGGGCCGAGUAAUUGAUCUCGACCGUUCGAUUUUUGUGUGUAAGAUGCAAAGCGAAGUGAGUGGUUGUGCAACGAGUUGUCGAUUGUCGGAUUCGGGUCAACGAUUAAAACGGUGGGCCCUCUCGCGCCGUAGAAGAAGAUAUCUACGGCUAUAAGGGCAAUUUCGUCAUAAUGAGAAUUAUCAUCUCUGGUGAAAAUUGUACGGAGACCACUCACUAUCGUAUAUUUUGGAAUGAAUCCCCAACUUAGUUGUACUAAAAAUUAUUAAAAUCGUAUAUAGCUUACAUAAAUUAUAGACCAUUUUAAUUCGGCUAUCUAAAUUUUUAAAAUUUUAUUUUUACUAAAUAAUUUUUUAAUUUAUUUAAUUUGAAUCGAUCAACAGUACUUUGAUUUUAAAAUUUGAAUGCAUUAUUUAUUUUUACAGAUAUAGUUAGUAUAUUUCGUAUAAUGCUCGGAACUAUAAAUUUAUUAAAGUAAAUAAUUAGUUUAAAUUUUAAAGUUGAAGUAUCGUUAACCGACUCUAAUUAAAUUUAAAAUUUUUAAAAAAUAGAUAGAUGAUUCAAAGUAGUUUAUAGUUUAAGUAAAUUUUAUAUAUUUUUUACCAUAAAAAUUUAUCGAAUUUGAUAACUCUGUCGUGUCGUUAUUUAUUAAUUAGCUUAAUUUUAUUUACUGAAAAAUAAGUAAAGUUAAACCGCCAUUUUUUGACUAAAUUGAUUUUAUUUUUUUAUAAAAAAAUAGAAGCUAAAAAGGUGGUAAAAAAAAAGUUUUGGUGUUCGUUUCAAAUGGGCAAUAGUCGGGGGGUAUCCAUACACUUUUACAAUUCUCCUUUGAGGUGGCACGAGGGAAGGGGACAAACCAAUGGAGAAGAGACACGUGGAGAAGCGUGUGGGGGGAUUUUGGCUUGUGGUCGAAAAUGCCCUUUUAUCUAUUUUGGUGGGUUUUUAAGUUUUUAACUGCUAUUGCAGUUUUUCUUUUUUUUUUCUUUUUUUUCUUUUUUUUUUUUUUGUGGGCAUAUCAUAUCAUAAUAAAUGAUUGGGUGGGGUCCACAGAGAACUUUUACAACCUUCCACAAAUUUUCUCCUUUUUUUUUAUCAGUAAAAAAAAAUAAUCUUAAUUAUGUUUUUGCAUUAAAAAUUAAGCUUAUUUCAGGAUUUGUCAUAUUAAAAACUUUUAAUUAGAAUUUAAUGACUGUAUCUAGUGCAAUUGACUAAAAACUCCGCGAUUAUUACUCGAACUCCCAAAUUCAAAUAAUAGUUGUUUGACAUCUUUGGGUUAAUUUACUUUUAAAAAUUGAAUGAAAAUAAUGGCACAUUACAUUUCUCUCUAAAAAAAAAAAAAUUUUUUUUAUUUACUAUGAACAUGAGUUACCACUUCCAACGGCAAAAAAAUAAAUACAUAUUUAGACUGACUUCUAAAUUAAUUUUUCUGAAGCAGGUAGCAAAGCGGUUCGAAACAUUUAUUUCUGUACGAAAUUGAAAUAAUUUUUUUGGAACCACAAGAAGUAGUGUGUCACGGAUUUAGUAAUUUUGUUCGUCAAAACCCGUGCGGCGCUCGUCUUCCUGCUCGAAGAUAGAUAAGUCUAUCCUGAUCUUGCUAGUUCGGACCUCCGCGUUCUCGAGGACUAAGUGCAAGAAAGAAAAAGCGAGAGUGGGAUAGAGGUUCUGCAAAAAAACGAAGUACUCUAUUUGAUUAGAAGUAAGAGUCACAGAUAAACUCUCUCUAUCAUCUUCCUUGUCCUCAGCCACCCCUCUAUUUAUAUGCAAUUAUAUAUUAUUCACACCCGCUAAUAGUUAAAAAAUUGUUCACAUAAGUACAAGGUGAAUUCAAGUAUUAUUCAUAGUCUUUGGAUUUUCGCUAACAGUUUUGAAUGCUUUGAUUGCAGCAGCUAUAUAACCUUUCAUCUCCCACAGAAAGUGCUUAAGUAUUACCUCCUUGAUAGCCCGUUUCAACUAACGAAGUUGGGCCAGAGACUUGGGCCGGGCUGAAAUAAUUUCUAAGCUUCCACAUGCCUUACAGUUGGAAUUGUGUAUAACCUUUUCAUUUGGAAUUGUGUUUCCCAAGGCACUUUACUUUUUAUAUGCCGAAAAAAUAAACAUUCUCCCUGACAAUGUUGUCACCGCAAUCUUAUAGCAUCGAAGAAGAAGAAAAAUAUUGAUUGCACUUUUGAAUAUUCCUAACCUUCUGAAAUAUGAAAGCAAGCGCUUUUAGCCAUCGCAACAACAAAGCAAGUCCAAACAUCAUGCUGAAAUUAGGAUUGUAAUCUUAAAGCCUACCUCACCCAAAUCCACAAGGAAUGGAUUCAGCUCACUUUCCCACAGUAUGUUUUUAGAAGUUACAAUUGUCGGAAUCGUUGGCGCUAACUAUUAAUUCCAAAAGCUCGAGCUGUUAGAAGUACGCAACCAAUUCACUUAAAGCGUACAGAUACAGCCCUUUAUGGCAUGCAAGAAUCGAACCUGUGACCUCUGGCUCUGAUACCACUUGUCGAAUCUUUGGCGCCAACCAUUAAUCCCCAAAGCUCAAACUGUUAGAAAUACGCAACCAAUUCACUUAAAGCGUACAAAUACAGCGCCCACGGGUCUCGAUUGUGACUUGGCCCAUCCGGCCUCACGCCACUUCGAACAUAACUCGAUCUACCCAGCUUCACGUUAUUUCGAACAUGACUCGGCCCAACAUGGCCUCCGACCAUAGGGUAGGACCCAUUUAAAGCAACGGCAAUUAGACAAAAUAGAACAGAAACACUAUGUUUUCUUCUUUUUCUUUUCUCAUUCUAUUACCAGUUGAAAAUUGUAUGUAUAUCAUAUAACUGGAUUGAGUAUACUGAAUUGAGUAUUAUCCAACACUUUUAUCUUAUUGUGUCAGUAAAACCGAAAACCAAGGAAGUAAUCUAUACAGACACUAUUACAUAAUUCAACAUUUUCAUGCUAUCAAAUGUCUCCUCGCGGAGAUCGCGCUGAUCGUUCCUUUUGCUUCCAUUACCUUCCUCACCAGCAGCUUCCAUUUCGUCUCUUCCUUCUUACUUAGAUUCUGCAUCUUCUCCUUGAAAUGCCUGCAGCAAACCCCCGAAAAGAAACGAAAAAAUGAAGUUUGAUCGAAAAUACAUGAAGAAUUAGCUCUAAGUAGAUACUGCUGUAAAAUAUUUUCAUCGAAUUAGACUCCUGGUUUGAUUUAAAAAGAAACAAUAAUACUAAUCUUAGUACAGUAUCUGUUUCGACAGAGCUCGAAUAAUUUUCGAUCUUGGCGCCUUGCUGGUUUCAGCAGCUUCAAAUUUUAGUUCCAGAUGUUGAUCAGAAGGUUUCUGAACAUCUCAAAACACGGCAGAUUUUGGUCGAAAACCUCAAAAUGUUCUGGAUUCAAUUUGAAACUUUCGAAUUACGGCAGAGACUGAUUCUGCUGAAACCGCCUAAAAACACUCAAAUUGAGCCAAAGUUCUCAUCUGACGAAUGCUGAACCUGCACAAGGGGACCUUGCACGAGUCCGGCUCGGCGCACAUGCGAGAGUGGAGCUCGAGGAGCUGCCACAUGCGCUUACAGUUGGCGCAACCGCCCGGGACGCGAGUCCUGCAGCCCGAGAAGUGGCGGACGAGCAGCUCGAGCCCCUUGCAGGCCGGGAAGCCGCACGCGGCCUGGCUGCCCUUGAGCAUCUUGUCGCGGGGCCCGAUCGUCCUGCACCCGUCUCGGCAUAUGUGCACCAAGGCCUCCAUUGCUUCAUGCAGUUGCACGUACACUUUCCUCUCUUCCGCCUUCCUCGCUCUCUCCGCCUUUCUCUGCAUUUCCUCCGAAAACGAAUUCAUAGUCGUAAUCGAAACCUCUAGAAAUCCGAAUGCGAUAACACGACGAAUUAAGAAAGCUAUGAACUCACAGAAUCUGUCUCCACAAGGGACUCCAGAAGCUCCUGCUCUAAACUCCGGCUAACUUGCUUCAUCACUCUCCACCCUUCCGACGCGGAGACGGUCUUAAAAUCUUUAACGAUGAGACGAGUACACAGAAGAGAGAGGCGCGGCGCAUCGCAUUGCCUAGCUAAUUGAAGCACGUCGACGACAUUAUCGGUCGUCAGCAGCGCUUGCUCGAGUUGGCUGACGCAAACCUUUUUGAUGCACGGGACUGAAAACGUGUGCGACAGCACGAGCAAGUGAAGAACGUAGCUUUUCAUUGCAUCCCGAUCGAAGCUACAUUACCAACACAAUGUUUGAAAGUGAAUUCAUGAUCAGAAGAUCACACCGAAACAAGCAGUAAGGCGAAAAAGAAGGAUCGAAAGCGUACCACGAAGAAUAGAGGAAUCUGAUAAAUACUCGCGCAGCUUCUGAAGGCACACCAGGGAUUCUGAUACAUCUGAAACCGCCUUUCGCUCUCGGUUGCUCUAACAUGCUUCUUAGAACAGGAGAGUUUAUGCCCUGCUGUAAAAGAGUUACUAACAUGUGUCUGUAGAUACCGCAAAAUCAGCGAUAAGCAAGAUGAUCGAAAACGAUUACGCAAACACAUUUGAUGUACUCACAAGAACACUUGAAUGGGCCAAGAUAACGCCGUCGUCGUCUGUGACGACGCGAACGUCAGCUUCGUAUCCGUCGUAGAACAACUUGUCCCACAUCCGCCUCGUUUCGUCAGGCGCGAAAUUACACCCCUUCAGCUUUUCGGAGAAGCUAUUUCUGGCCUGAGAAGCUCCUGGCAGUGGAGGUGGUUCAGGAAUGUUGCUGACAGAUUGAGUUUGAGUAGAAGUACACGCAUUCGGCGUGGCUAAAAACUCGUCAGACACACUCCUCUCGAAGUGUAAUGUAAAUGAAGAAUCAAUUGAGUGGGUGUUCGAGAAGAGCUGCGACGAAUCGAGAUCGAAACAUGCCAUCAACUCUUGUUACUCUCUACUUCUCCUGCGAUUCGGAGUGCGCGAAAGCUUCGAAUUAAGUCACUGAAUUAUAUAGGCCAUAUAGUACUACUGCUUGAGUGCAACAUAGAAGAGUUAAAAUAAUCAAAUAGAUGACAAUAUGGAACAAUAAUAUGUCCAUAGAAGUACAAAUGAUUCAUAUUAGUGUGAAUUAUAGCAUGCUCAAAACAAAAAGUAAGAGAUAUUAUUAGCUUCCUAGUAUCCAAAGAUAAACACAUAUUGAAUUUUUAUCUCUACAAUUAAUAUAUAUAUAUAUAUAAUGGAGUGUAGCAUUCAUAAAAGAGCAUUAAGUAUAUGUAUAUGUAUCAAGAAUUACUCAAGGAAGAGGUGAAGUGAUACUAAAGUUAUAAUAUUAAUUUUCCCCCCUUUUUUAUCAAAAAAAAAGAGAAAUAUAUACUUGAAUGAAAUUGAUAUUAAUUUUUUAUUUAAAAAUUGCCCAACAUAGAUUUUCCAUUAAUUCUCACUCCACACCAUGCACACAUAUUGGCAAAUAUUACCAAAUUUAAAACUAAUUAUUGAGCACGACAAUAAGUAGAAACACCAAUCAAAGAACAUGUACGUAUAUCUCUAGCUACUCUAUAUAUAAUCCUUCCUAAAUUCACUAAGUUUUUAGAAAAAAAAAUUAAAAAAAAAACUACAUAUGAAAUACCAAUAAAAACAAUAAUCAUAAAAGCAAACAAGAAAUCAGUUACUUAACUUAGUACACACAAAUUUUUUCUAAAAAAAAAAAAAAAAAAAAAACAGCUGGGAAGCCACAAAGAGAAAAUUUUAAAUAUCACUUAAUAAAGAAACAUUUAAACUGAAAUUUAAAUAUUUUCAAAAUCUUAAUUUGCCAAUUGAAUUAAAAAAACAAAAUUUCUUUGUUCCAAAUAAAGAAGUAAAUUAAAGUCCAAAAUGAAUAAGGAUUUACCUCGAAGGUGUUGUUGGAUUUGGAGAGAGAGAGAGAGAGAGAGAGAACGAAGCUUCAUUAUUUAUUUCUAGAUGUAAAAAAAAUAAUAAUAAAUGCAUGGAGGACCCCAUUGCGUUUGCAUAGGUCAUUUUCAAUUGGACUCUUUUUUUUUUCCUUUUCUUUUUUUUUGAAUAUUUUUUGAAUAUUUUUUUACUUUAGUUACAUAAAGUAGUUGUUUAGAAAAUUUAUCCAAUUUAAUAGCAGCCUUUUUGGAAAGUAAAUGCAACCAGAUCAAGCCUCAUUUAAACAGCUCCUUUACAUUUACUUUUGAAUAUAUAAAUAUUAAAAUAUCUUACUUUUUUCGGUUUAAAUUUUUGGAGAACACAACGAUUGUCUUAUCACAGAGCAGGAGACUUUAAGGUCGAAUUUUAUCUGAUCUUUAAUCUCACUAUAUUUAAUCCGAGUUCAAAUUUUACUUUGAAGCUUAGUCUUUUUUAAAUUUUUUUGUUUCACUUACACUUACGGUUCACGCGAGUGAGAGAGUAUUGAAAUUAUUUUACAUCACCUUGAUAUCUAUAACAAUAAUAAUAAUGACAAAUUUUUUAAAUUGAGGACAUAUUUAUUUGAUAUAUUAAAUCUAUUCAAAUCCGCUCAGUAAAUAAUGAUUAGCUUAUAGACGUAUAAAACCGUAUCAAAACUAGUUAACUAAAAAAUAACAGUAUCUUAAAAUAAAAAUCUAUAAAUUGAUUGAGUAAAUAUUGGCACUACUCAAAUCAAAGUAAGUGUUUGAAUAUAAAUGAUUUAAAAUACUAUAGUUUGAGUUUUUAAUGUUAAAGAAUAUGAAUUAACCGUUUUUAAAGCGGGGUUAUAACAAGCACGAUGAAACUUAAAUUCAGAACCUCCUACUUUUAUACCGUAUUAAAAUAUAUAAAAAAUUAUUCGUAUUAUUUAUAUUCAACAUUGAAAGAAUAUCACUAUCCUUACGGUUGCCGAAAAAUUAAUUACCAACUAAUUGCAAAAUUUGAGCUCAUCUUUCAUUCGAAUACUUUUUUUACCAGAAGUGACAUGAAAGUAAACAUCCGUAUUUAUUUUUAAAAAUGUCUUAACUUUAUUUUACAUAUAUAUAGAGAGAGAGAGAGAGAGAGAGAGAGAGUUUGGCUCAGGUAUUUUUAAAAGCGCAAAGCAUUUGGUACUUGAAAAUCUUAUUUUAUAAACACUAAGGACUUGAUGCUUUUAAAAGUAUAGAAAACUCAAAUCUCUCUCUCUCUCUCUAUAUAUAAAACAAAAAAUGGGGACCUUAUUUGUUUAUGUUCCCUACAAAUGAGACACAGGGGUUUAAGCCAAAAUAAAUAAUAAUAAUAAUUAUUAUUAUUAUAAUACUUAUAAUAAUUAUAAUUAUAAUUAUAAUUAUAAUUAUAAUUAUUUUAUUAUUUAUUUAUUGAGAGAAAAAGAACAACAUGGAGUGGUGGAGACGAAGAGACGAGGCGAGGGCGAGUGGGACGCGCCGGACAUCACGUGGAGUAAAGCGAGCUGUGACCAAUCAGCAACCGACGCGUGGUCCAAUAAGAGACCAAGUUUUCACGAGCGGUGGAUCGUGGACCGGGGCGGUGGGACGCAGCAAGUCCUUGCGUGGGCCCGGUGCAUGCCUACACUUCAUGCACCGAGUUCCUUAAUAUUGUAUUAAGUAAAGGGAUAAUUGUCUAUAUACCCCGCAAAACUUCAGAAAUAUCUUAUUUACCCCUUUUUUUUCUUUCAAAUAUACCCCUCAUAUUUUCCUCCGUUAUUUUAAAAUAUCCCUAUAGUUACGUUAAUUUGGAUUAAAGAUGAGCUAAAUAUCUACUACAGUUAAAAAAUAUUAAAAUAUCUAUUUUGCCCUUAGCUUAAAGAUAAAUAAGAAAAAUUGGUGAUGGUGAAAAAGUAUAUUUGAAAAAGCAAAAUAGCAGAUAACAGCUAUUUUAAUAGUUUAUUAAUAGAAUUUAACUCUAGAGGUAUAUUUGAAAUAGAUUGGAACGUAAAAAGAAUAUUUUGAAUAUUAGCCUUCUAAAAAGGAUAAAUCAGAAAAUCGAAAACUUUUUUAAAGAUAUAUAAGCAAUUACUCUUAAAAUAAAUAUAGAGAUCUCAAAUUUUUUGGAAACCCAAAUUUCCAAAAAAAAAAAAAACAAAAAGGAAUUUAAAUUAAUGUACCAUUUUUACAAAUCCAAUCUACGGACUCCAAUAAAAUUCAGAAAUAAAUAGUGAUUCGAUUUAGUAAAUCGACAAGGCGUAUUAUAUCAAAAAAAUUAUAAAUUUACGAAUCAAAUAAUAUUUUUUUUUCUUUAUCACUGAUUUUUAAGGCUACUUACUAUUUAGGUAACGAAUUUCUUUUUCUUCAUUUUUUUUUCCCAACAAUGUAUUUUUUUUAUAUAUAGAUUUUUACUGAUGAAUUGUCGAUGUCAAAUUAGAUUUAGAUUUUAAGAUACUAAAUAAUUAAAUAUUAAAUGUAGUACAUGAAAUUUGAGUGUACACCUGGUGCAUGAAAAACUUUUAGUACCAUGGGAUCGAGGGGUUGGAGAUUGGAGAUUGGAGAUGGGAUUUGGGCCCACCACCACUUUGACUAAUCUUGUGGGCCCUAUGAAAGCCCCACAAUAUAAAAUAUAUACAUCCUAAAAUAAAUAAAUAAAUAAAUAAAUAAAAUCUCUCUUUUGUUUUCUUUAUUGAGUUUCUUGGAUCUCUAACUUAAGUUGUCACCAAUCUCCACUUUCAAUUAUCUCUUUCUUUUGUUUUCUUUUUUUUUUUAUUAUCCUUUCUUUUGUUAGUUUAAAGUGUAUCAAUUUAAUAUCCCAUGAUUUUAUUUUUCUUUUUUUAUUAUCCCCUCCACUAAUUUUUUUUUGUUAAAUCAGUGACAAAGUUAACACUAAAAGAUACUAAAGUGAAUAUUCGAUAAAUCUAGAUGGGUAUCUGAAGUUUUUUUUGUAUAUAAUUUAACGAAAUGUUAACGGGGGAGCCGAGGAAAAGAGAAAAAUGAAACCAUGGGGUAUUAAAUUGAUACACUUUAAUCUAUAGAGUACUAAAGUGAGAAAGUGCGAAAUCACACGAGUGGUAGUUGAAUUUUGAAGUUUACCCUUUUUUUUUUUUUUUUUUUUUUUAACUUUUACCAAACUUGCUAAGCCAGAAGAAACAUAAUCUAACUAGCUUGGAGUAGUACUUUUUUAAAAAAAUUUAGAGAUGAUUCGAUAAAAGGACCAAACUACAUAAUAAAUUAGAAACAAUUCUUUCUCAUUUAUACUUCACUGCUUUGAGUAACAAAAUUACAAGUAUUGUGGCCUCAUCAUGAGAUUUAUAUAUAUAUUUAUUACCGUGAAAAUGAUCACAUCAGUAAAUCAUUGUUAAUCGAAUCAAGGUACGUAAUACAAGAUAUGAUUUACAUUCAUAUCGACAGAAUAAGCUUCUUCGUCUUCGUAUAAAGCGCAAAUAUGAUAUCACUUUCAUUUCCUGUAAAGUACAUGUUAAUGCGAAUUAGUUAAUCAUUUUAUGUAGGAAAUCGCAAAAUUGAGUUCAUUCGACGAUACGAAGCUUUACGAUACGUACCAAGGAAGCUUGAAUGUGUCCUUCCAUCGUCCUUGUUUAGCGCAAUGGGCGUAUAUUUUAUCCAGUCGAAUGAUUACUUCGGAAAACGUCGGCCUCACAGCAGGCUGGGAGUCCCAGCAUUCUUCAAUUAAUCUGCAUUCAACAGAAUAUGAAUUCAGAAUUGUACAUUUACAGUUAAAAAUUGUGAAAGAAUAAAAGAUACUGUAACUGAAGUAAAUCGGAGCACAAUACUACGAUAUUACAUUGUAUCUCAUGUUCUGUUCGGUUUCAAAACCGCUCGCACUGCUGAAUAUUUUCACACUGCCAAUUCGAUUUGAUUCGGAGCUUGAAUAGCGUAAUUUGGUGAAGUUGAGUUAUAAUGCAAUUACAGGUAUUAUUUAGAGAAGAAUAAUCCUGUAUUCCAUCUCAAAUACAACUAUGAUGGCUUGUGCCAUUAAUGUGUUUACUAUCGAACCAGCUCGAAACACACAUUUUGAGAGAAUUUUGACUCUUAUUUGUCAAGUUCGAAGAUUCAGAAAAGCAAAGAUGAUAAUAAGAAUUACAUACUUGGAAGCGUAUACUGAUGGAUCGACAGAGAUUAAGUGUAUGACAUUUUAAGUCGAAGCAACACUACAUUCAUGUUGAUGGUACUUUUCAUGCCUCACUUUUUCAUGUAAUAGGGAAAAGAAGAUAUAAUUUGGAUUAGUUUAUAAGAAAACUUACUCCUUGAGAUCUUGAGGGUAACUCUUCAAUUUGUUCUUUAAUGAUGGUCUCAUCCCUUCGAAGCAAAUCAUUUUAGUUGCCUCUUCCGGAGAUUUUGAGUGGAAAACCGCUGCUCCUUCAAUCAUCUGAAACAAGUCAUGAGUGGCCACAAUAUUUAGCAAUAAUAUAUUAGAGUCAAACUGUAAUAUAGUAUGCAAUGCCAAAUUCCAGGGACUUUCUACGAAAGAACAAUAAUAUGAUAAAGAAAUGGUACAAUAUCAAACUUCAAGUAAUGCAUGAGAAACCAUUUAACUUACGACAUCAAUGUAAGGGUUGUAGAAAUUAUUUGGAAGUAACCUGUUAAAUGUAAUAAUCUUUCUACACUGUUAUUCUGAUGACCUAAUUGGUUCUUCGCUACCUAGAAUGUUUUAUUGAUUUUAAGUUUAUUAUGCUAUGCAUUCUCUUGUUUUUCUCAACGCAAGAAGGCGUUGCUUCAAUCUGGAUAAUACAAUUGCAGUGAAUGAAAGGCUAAACUUUCUAUGAGUGUAAAAAAUCAUUAACAAACCUCAUAUAAAAUGAGACCGAAAGAGAAUGCAUCGACACUUCUGUUGAAGAUUUCAUUCUUGUAUACCUCCGGAGCAGUGUAAAGACCUACAGUGAGGAGAUGCUCAAUUGUUCAGUUGAAGAACAUUAAGAUAAAUUAAGAUUCCUUAUUUGGGUCCGUAAACAGAUCAACUUACUAGGGCUCAGAGAUUCCGGGUGUGCUAAUUUUACUUUGUCGGGUGAAAUUUUCGAUAACUUGAUCAAACCAAAUCCUGCCACCUUCAACUGGCCCCCAUUAUCCAGCAAGAUAUUUCUGGCACCUUACCAAAAUUUCAAAUAGUGAAGCGCAGAACGUAGCCCAAUGAGAAUUUAAUUUGAUACCUAUUUUAGAGCUUAAAAAUUUCAACUUUUUUUGUCCAGUCAUCUUACUUUGGCUUUAAGUCGCAAUGAAUAAUCGGGUCAGGUUUGCAGUGAUGAAGAUAAUUCAUGCCCCUGAAAAUAAGAAACACCAAAAGCUUCAGUAAACAUUUGUUUUGAUGUUGAAUAUACUUUGUAUAUCAGCGUAGCAUAAAAAGUAAUAAAUGCUUGCGUAUGAUGCAGGCCUAAAUAAGAAUACGCCAGAGAUAGUACUGUAGCAAGUAUUUUAGCUGCUUAGAGAAUAAAAUUACUAAUUCGUGGACAAGUUUAUAUGGACAUAAAUGUACAAGUACCUAAAUUUAAUUGCAGAAAAAAUGCUCGUGAAUAUAAAGAAUUGAUGAGAAUCAGUGUAGAAUUGUAUGUCAGACAUGCCUGGCGAUAUCGAGAGCAAAUUUCAGAACCUUAUGAGGCUGCAACUUCCCUUUCUUCUGAAGAUAGCAUGCUAAAUCACCCUGAGAUUAAAAAAGAAAAGGAAAUCGAUCGUAUCACGACCUUGAAAUAAAAUAUUGAAGGGCCAAAAGAAUUAUAUGAAAGAGAGAGCAAUGCUACAAGGACUAUAUUGAAUUGAAUUUGACUAAUGGGAACCAGAAUUUACUUUCGGAUGAUACUCUGAAACAAUCAUCAUGGGUACAUUUUGAGUGACGGCUCCGACAAACUGAACAACAUUGGGGUGCCGCACCUUUUCCAACAGUGUUAGCUCAUGCUUAAAAGCAUUUCUGUACAGAAAAAGAAUGACAUUUAAGAAUGCCGAAUCUGAAACUUCAAAACUAAACGGUCGGUUAUUGAAUUAUUCUCGAGACAAUUAGAUGUAUCAACAAGGCAUUUCCAUCUUUGCUUUGGUACGGCAAAAGAUCAUGACACAUGAAAUAAAGAGGAUAUGAGUUGUACAUGCUCUCUGGAUCCGAAUAGCAUUGUUUGUCGAGUAUUUUGACGGAAACCUUUGUCCCGUUCCACUUUGCGACUUGGUAUGUGCCCUGUGAAAGGUCCAAAAGAUAAGAUGGGAACAACAUUACCAAUCCACUGUAAAGAAGCUGUAACUAUCUUUCACCGUUGACGGUAGUGGGAUUCACCAAUACAUAACAAUGUUUUAGAUGACAUAUGGGUUGUACCUGACUAAAAUUUUACUAAAUGCAGCUACACAUUUGUUGAAUAUGCGGGAAUGGACAUAAACAAGUGCAAAUGAACACAUUAAUGGGUAUAGAGAAUGGUGUGAUACACAUUAACGGAGAUAUAGAGAUAAUCCCGACCUUUAAACACAAUCAUCAACCAACCACAUACCAUCGUCUUUUUCCAUUAUUCAGACAUGAAGUGAUAGGUAGAUAAGAAUAUACCCUCAUGACCUCUUCACCUCGGCGGAAUUGAAGCUCUCCGGGGUUCAGCUCAUACUCCGGGACCUCUCGUGGAUUAGAAACCACCAUGGGAGUCUUCCUGAUUUUCUGCAAAAGACGCGAUCGAAUGAAUACCAACAAUAACCUUAUAUGCACGGCUUUCACCAUAAGCAAAUGGCGUGGUUUCGACAGGAAUUUAGAAGCAUUACCGGAAGUUUUGCUCCUCGAGAUUUUAAUAUAUUGUAGACUUCGACAUGUCCAUAGUACUUGGCAUCAGCUGCGGCCUACGACAGUGAAACAACAUAAAUCAUAAACUCCAAAAUGUUAACUUAUACACAUACCAUAAUUCUUCAACAUUUCAAAUUUCAAUUUUUUCCAUUGAAAAAGUUCCUUUUGGGCGUCUUUUUUUAAAUUCAGAUCUAAGAAUAUGGAGAUCCUCUAAUUUCUGAAAACAUGAGGAUAUACAUAAACAUUAACAAGUAUAGAAACAACCCAUCUCUCGCAUCGUUACCGUGCUCCCCCACCGAUCUCUGGCAUCGAUAUUGGCCCUCCAGCUCAGCAGAAGCUUGACGACGUCGAAGCGCCCCUCGCACGCGGCGAUGUGGAGCGCCGUCCUCCCGUCGAGAUUGAUACUAUUCACGUCGAUCCCUUCCCUUAGGAGCUCCUCGACGCCCUUGGCGUCGCCCUGGCACGCCAUGAACAGGAGCUGCAUUGUCGAGUCGAGGUUCUCCGGCACCGUCAGCUCCUCCAGCGCGGCGCCGCCCCCCGCGGCGGGGCUCCGGCCCUGCUGCCGGUUCGGGUCCAUUGACGAUUGCCGCCCGAAGGUGAACCGGACCGCCUUGCUCAGCCUCGGAUCGAAUGAGAGGUUCCGCCGGAAGCCCAGCUUGCCACUCUUCUUAAUCGAGCCCGUCGAGAAUUGGCGCCUGAUCGCGCGCUUCGCGACCUCCAUCCCCACCCCCGAUUUCUCGACUUCAACACCUCAAAUCCGAAAAUCCUCGGGAUAUGAAUCUGAAACCUCGAUCACAUCUUCCCGACGGCGAAUCAAAGAAGAGAAGUUAGUAAAAAGUAGUGAAAAUUGGAUCUUUGUUACAAAAGGGAGCCCGGUUGGAAGGGGGAGAUUGGGAGCUCGAAAUGGAGCCCCGGGGAACCCUAAUUGGGAUCGAGAACGAGGGGAAGAGGAAGAGGAAGAGGUCGAGAGAGAGAGAGAGAGAGAGAGAGAGAUUGAGGGGAGGUGAGGAGAAGAAGCAGGGGAGGGAGCGGAGGGGGAAAGGGUUCGUGCCCUAAAAUUAAGGAGGCUAUAAAUGCUUUUGGAAAAAUCGCGGUGGGGAAAAGCAACGGGCGUUUGAAAAAAUGGGGAGCGGUUUUUAACGGUCGAAGGAGAGGGUUCGGUGUUUUGUCCCAAACACCAAACACCGUGAAACAAACACACCUAUAUACAUAGCAUUUAAAAGGCCUAUUUAAUUUUAAAAAAAUUAUAUGAAUUUUGUAAACAUAUUGUGUCGAGAGACAAAAUUAAUUAAAAUAUUACACUAUUUGAACAUACAUUGGUCACACUAUUUUAAUGAAUGUUGCAUUAUUUGUGGUCGUCAUUCUAUAUUUAUUUUUUAAUUUGCACGCCUCCUCUUUUUCACACAUCAAACAACGAGGAGAGAGCUAAUCGAACUUUAGAAAAUUUUUAAAAAUCUAGGCCAAAUUUAUAAAAUUCAAAAAGACGGUUCAAAUUUGCAAAAACGCACAAAAUCAAUACCCUUUUUAUGUAAAAAAAAAAGUUUAAUUCAUAACAAUAAUAGAUGCUUAAAAUUAAUGAUUUUUAACAAGCGUCCGCUAAGCAAACUUCAGAUUUAAGGGCCAGAUGAUAGGAUUUUAGAAAUGCAGUGUAUGAGAUGAGCGUAUACAAAGUGCACGACUGCGCACGGUGCAAUCCCGCCGACCAUUCCAAUAGGAUACAUUCGAGACCUUUCAGGGUACCAUUACGGCGAGUUGAGCGAAGGAGCAUUUGCGCAAAUGUAUAUAAACUAUUUUCGAGAGUUUAUAAAGACAUAGAUCCAAACUUCGGAACAACAUACAUUUAACAAUCUGAGCAAUGAUGAGUUUGAACUUCGAUUGCGCACUUUACGAUUGUCGCUUUUUACAACAUAAACAAAGCUCUACUCCCGUGAGACGCAAACAACCUUUUUGCCGACAUUCUUGCCGGAAAACAGCCCGACGAAGGCGGCCGGCGCAUUCUCCAGUCCAUGGCUCAUGUCCUCUAUGUAGACGAUCUUUCCUUCGCGGUAGUACCCGGCCAUUCGAUCUAAGAAUUCGGGGAGCAAAUGGAGGUAGUCGCUCUGGAGGAAGCCCUGCAUCCUCACGCGCUUCGUUAUGAGGCAGAAGAGGUUGCGGAUCCCCGUGGUUUCGGAGGCCCCGUGGUACGAGAUCAUCCCGCACACGGCUAUCCGGCCGUGCAGCCUCAUGUUCAGCAGCGCUGCGUCGAGCAUUUCUCCUCCUACAUUAUCGAAGUAGAUGUCGAUGCCGUGCGGAAAGUAGCUGAGUAUCAUUGAAAGAGUGUCCAAAACUCAGAUGAUAAUCGAAAGAACUAUAUGGAGAACUAGAUAUGAACACUGAUAAUGUGAUAAGUACAUAUUAGUUCGGGGAAAUAACAGGAAAACGCCUCUAAACGUAAUGACUUUCACUUUGUCUUCCUGAAAUAUUUAAGCUAUUUUUACCCCCUUAAAGUACUGUAAAAUUUGAUCUCUUCGCUUUCUUUGUCACAGUUCAAUGGGCAAAAUGUAGGCUUCAAAAUUUCAAAAUAACAAAGGAGAAGCUGCGUUUCGCCAAUAAGCUUUUGUUAUCACAAGGAAUAGUUUUCUGCAUUUUACCUACUGCCUUUUCUUUCAGAAACAUAUUCAGCAUACUGUGCUUGAAAGUUAGCUUUUUAUAUUCCAUAAUAUAUACUAUGCUAAAAGCGAGAGGGGAAAAAAGAAAAACGAGAAAAAACUAACCGCUUUAAGGCUAAAUUCAAGUCGGACUCCUUGUAGUUGAAAGCUUCAUCGAAUCCAAGCUUGUUUUUCAGAAGUUCAACCUGAUAUAUGUUCAAUCAUUAGCUCGAGAAUAGAUAAAAAUAAAGUAGUUAUGCAAGCAACUUUUACUAAUGAAAAGAAAAAAGAAAGAAAAAACAGAAACCUUCUCGUUAGUGCCGGCACUUCCAACUACAUAACAGCCGUGGAGCUUUGCGAGCUGACCGACAAGCUGGCCAACGGCUCCUGAGGCAGCCGAGACGAAAACAAAAUCACCUUUCUUUGGGGAACAAACCUCAUAGAAGCCAGCAUAAGCUGUAAAGCCCGGCAUACCUGCACCAAGCUGGGUUUGCUAAAAGCAAUUGUAAACUUAAAAAAGGACCAAUAUGUAAUUACGAAUCACUUUACAAAAUCUUUACAACCCAAUAUCCAGGUAAAUAAUUUCGUGUGCGCCAAAGCAUAGUGACAAAAGUGGAGCUACGGUGGAAAUGUACAAACAAUAUCAUCUUGUGAAUCGUAGCUAAUUCACUUAUUUACUUGUUUCAAUAUAAUUAUAAUACCUUAAGUAUUUUCCAUCAUUUUUCAUCCUUUUUCUCCUACUUAUAAAGGCAGUUUGUGUAAAGCGAAAUGAUCUACUUACGGGCGGCGUUCACAAGUUACAAGUAACCUUCUAAGCACCUGUUUAACGAAAAAAGAAGCACUACCAUAUUAAUCUAUGUCAGAAUUUUUAGCUUGCAUUUUAUUUUCCGUUGCCUUACGUUGUGCCUCGGAUAUCUAUUGAUCUUAAAAAGAAAUUUGUACUGAUAAACUCCGAAAUGGAAGAAGAAUGGACUAAGAAAGCUACCAACCAAGAAGACCGACAUGAUAAGAGAGAGGAACAUCGUCGACUUGGAUUUUCCUCAGCUGGUCGGCCUUUAGAACUAAACUAUAUUCUUCCCAACCAGUAAGUCCCGAAACCAAGUCGCCAACACGGAAAUUUGGAUUAGUGGAGUCGACUACUCUAGACACCCCGAAGCCUUCUACGACCUUCAAAGACGCAAGAACAAUCGAAUGAAUAUAUUAAAACCUUCACAAGAAAUAUGGCAACUGUGUAUAUGGUGAUUUGAGCAGAGAAGAUAUGCAGUUCAAAGUAGUAUUAUGCAAGUAAAAAGUAUAACAUAUGAAUCCUUUUUUGGACAUUCUAUGUUUACAAAAGUUAAUGAGGCUGGGACGAAAUUAUCACCGAUCAUCACAAUUUAUCAUUACAACACAUGAAUCCUUGUUUUGACAUUCUAUGUUUACAAAAAUUAAUGCGGCUGGGAUGAAAUUAUCAACAAUCAUCACAAUUUAUCAUCACAACACAUGAAUCCUUGUUUUGACAUUCUAUGUUUACAAAAAAUGACAUUUUUAACUAUUCAUUCAAGGGCUACAUUACAAAUUUGAUUAUCAAAGGGCACAAACAUACUAAUCUAACACUCUAAUAAUUAGUUAAAUUCAUAUAAAAGAAGAAUGAUCAUUAAACAGUUUCCCCUCUAUUAACCCAUUUCCCUAUAUUUUAACGUGAACGCUUUAAUCCUCUACUUUCAUAUAUCUGUUACACUACCAUCUCAUUACGACUAAAUUGCAAAAAGCAAAAAUUUAUGAACCAAAGUGUACAACUAAAAGUACAGAGACCAAUUUGCAAAAUGAGGACAACACAGGGACCAUUCGCACAUUUUACCCAUUUCUCUCUCUACCUAGUUCACAUAGAACCGAAAAAUCACAACAAAAUCCCAAACCCCCAAAACCCCGAACCCUAGAAACCCAAAAUUGAGCCCUAAUCCGGGAUCAAAUCUGAGACGCAUCACCAAAUCGACGAAAACGAAGGGGGCCGGGGAUUCGCUCACCGAUCCGGGUUGGAAGGGGGGGAUGUAGGAGUUGUAGUUCUCCCUCAUCCUCCCACGCAUGUAGGGAUCGCACGAGAGGUAGAGGUUCUUCACGAGCACGGCGCCGCCCCCCUCCGCCGCCGCCGCCGCCGCUGCGGGGACCUUGAGCGCCGCCGCGCCCACCGCCACCUCCAUGUCCUCCUCCUUCGGGGCCCCCUCGAUGAAGCCCUUGAACACCACCUUCGUGUUGCUCACCUCCGCGGCCUCCGCCAUUGUUGCGCGAUCGAGUUUUUGGGGGAAAGUGGAGAAGGAGACGCUUGCGGGGUUUAGAGGAGAGAGAAAGGGAGUUUGUUGGGGGUGAUGGUUUUUGGAUGGACCCGGUCCACCACAUCAUCCAUGGACCGCUAAUUAGCACACCAUUUGUUAUGAAUAAUAAUUAAAUAUUUCUAACAAUUUUUUUUUAUUUAUUCAGAGAGACAAAGAGAGGAUGGAUCUAAGUACAAUUAAAGAGUAAGAUUUGGUUAACAUUACUAUAAUUAAAAUUUGACGAAAAUAUUAAUAACUAUAUAAAUUUCAUAACAUAGGCGCGACAAAAAAUUAAAUAGUAUGCAUAUCUAAAUAAAAAAAAAGUAAUAUAGUUGUAAAAAAUAAUUAUCUAAAAUAAAGUAUCGGUAGUUCAAUAUUUAUGUUAUUGACUAUAUUUUGAUUUUUAAUUAUUUAGAAAAAGUUUAAAUUUUCACUAACUUUUGUUGCGAAAUAAAUUAUUAGAUUUUUACUAUAAAAAAAAUAGAUUUUGUUUGAUACAAAAUUCAAUUAGUAAUAUAUAGUACAGGAGCUAUUCAUAAAUUUUACCCCAAAAAUAGCCGGUCCAUGUUUGACAUGGUGCACCAGGUCCUGGUAAUAAUUCCUAGUAGUAGAAGGGUAGGGGGUGAGUAAAUCCGACGUGGCCUCCGUGGAUCCGCUAACGCGCGUAAUUAAUUGGCCGAACCUGUUCGAACACGGAACAGCUAAAGCACCCGUACAUAUUUGGACACGUGGCAUGUUUGCUCGAGCUUACAGGGUCGGGUCCAUGGUUGAAUCCGACCCGAACCACAGUGCGACUGGCCCGACCCAAUCUUGCAUUAACACUAGGCUCCGAGCUCAAAUUUUGUUUUUUCUAAGUAACUUUUGUUCAUAUUUCACAAAAUAUUAGCAUUUUUAUUUUUAAAAAUUUUCAUUCUAAAGAUAAAAACUCUAAAAAAUAGUAUUUUCCAUUAAUUUUUCAAAAAUUAGUUAUCUAAUUAGCUUAAAUUGUCUCGCGCAUCAACCAGAGCGGUUAUAAUCGUGCAUCAACGGAAUCAUCAAUAAUGAUUCGAAAAUGAUUUUAAAGAAAAUUAAGGUUCAAAAAUAUUUUCUAAUAAGUUAAGGUUCACAAAUUUGACUAGUAGUUCAACUAAUGUUAUGUUGAUACGCUUUACAAUUUAAUGUAUGCAUUUAUGUGAAAGUGGACUUCACAUUUUUUCCUUUUCUUUUUGAACUUGUUUUCCUCUUCCACCUUAUUCUUUUUCCAAUUAGAAAUGAAAUUUCCAUUUUUUUAAAAAAAAUUAGCUCAAAAGUAUGGGAAACAAUGAAAGAAAUUAAACAACAUAUUAUAUAUAUUAUACAUUUGUAUAUUUUACAUAACAAGCCCAAUAUAUAGGGAAUUAAGGGCUUAGCUUAACAAGCCAACUAAUGCAAAGUAAUUAAUCUCAAAUACUAACUAUCAAAGACAACUUGGGGGAACUACAAAUCCAGAUGAGGUUCCAUAAGCAUGUUUGCAAUACGAUUGCGCGCGCUGGACCGGAUACGUGAGCUUAAUGUCUUGCAGACUGAUCCCGCUGCACGGGUUGCUCGAGCUGCAGUCGAAGUUCACCGCGACGGGGGUCGCAGACGUCCCGUGGAUGUCCGAGUACGUCACGUCGCUGAUCUUGAUGUUCGAGCUCUAGAACAAGUUAAAAAGAUUCGAUAGUAAAAGCUCAGAGCCUUUUUGAAAGUUCAGAUACUUAUUUCAAAAUGCGUUUAUACGCACCUGGUUAGGGCAACCUUUGCUGUUGGGACAAUAGUUCUGGUCGAUGAUUAUCGGGUUCUCGACGUUGUUCAUCACGGCAUUAGUGAAAACCACGUCUCUCACAUAACCUGGUACACUUGUGCCCCAUGUUUUGAUCCGAAGCCCGUUUUGUGUACCCGAGAACACGGUCGUCGUCACCGUUACGUUCGAGACACCUCCCGCUUCAGCUCCUCCUUGAUCUUUUCCUAAGCUCCCAAUACUGUAAAAAUAAAUAAAUAAAUAAAUAACUGAAGUGUUUAAUUAAUAUAUAAGAUGGAAUCAUGGGGUAUAAUUAACUAAUAACACAAAGUACCUAAUGCUGUAGAAUAUAAUACUGUUUGGAAAAAAAAUGUUAUUUAAGUAGAGUUGUUAGAAGAAUAUAUCUGACCUUAUCCCAUGACCGGGCCCGCAUAUGACGCGCUCGAUCCAGAGAUUGGUUGUGUGGGGCCCGAUCGAGAUGCAGUCGUCGCCGGUCUUGAUAGUGGCUUGUACGAUCGUCACCCCGGUCGACUUUUGCACGUGUAUGCCGUCCGUGUUGGGGCUGUUCCCCGGCGCCACGAUGUCGAUUCCCCGCACCGACACGCCGGUGCACCCCAAGAUCACCACGUGGAACAGCUCGCUGUUCAUCGACGUCAGCCCGUUGAUCUUCACGUUCCUCGAAUCGCUGAUCGUCAGUGACUGCAAGUCACAUGUGUAAGGAUAAAAUGGUCAUUUAAAAAAGUUCAAGAACUGAAGUAUUUAAGUAAAAAGUAUAUUACCGCGGCGCCAGUCGGGCAAUUGUUGCCGGCGUGUUUACACCGCCACAAAGCCGCCCCUCGACCGUCGAGGGUCCCGCCGGAGAUCAAAAGGCCGUCGACGUUACUAAAAGUGAUCCAGUGGCCUGACGAACCCAAUCCGGUGUAGCCCGACGGCGCGACGAUGGUCCCCUCGACCCAAAACUCGACCGCCGUGUUCUCGCAAGGGCCGGAGAAGGUCGCCAAGCCCAGUAAGUAGUUCCCGGUGGGGACGUGGACCGUCGCGGGCCGUGACGAGCCGCACGCGUCGGCCCAUGCCCGAUGGAAGGGCCGGGCCGAGUCCGUCCUUCCGUCGGGCCGCGCCCCGUAGUUUUGUACAUUGUAGACUACUACUGCAUUUGACACAUGAAACAAAGAGAGAAGCACUAAAAACUGCUUCAUGCAGAAGCUGUUUUGAGAAGCCAUAAAGAGAGAGAGAGAGAGAGAGAGAGAGAGAGAGAGAGAGGAUAUGGUUAGUUAUAUUAGUUUAGUGCAAGGAUAGGGAAGUAUAAAUAAUGCAAUUGGUGUGGAAAAUUGGCAACCAACCCAACCCACAGGUGGGGAAAUUGGUUUUAGGUACUUUUUCUAAAAGGAGAAAGAUUAAAUUUUUAUCCAUAGUUUGAAAAAUUACUGGUAAAAAAGCACCUAAUAAGAAGCUCUUCAAGGAGUUGAAAAAUGAGAAGUGCUUUUGAAGGAAAGCUUAGAAUGGUGGUUAAUUAAUUUGGUGGGUCUCAACCCCUUCUUUAGAAGCAGUUUAGUAGAUAGAAAUGAUGAAGGGUUCAACUACAAAAUGAUUAUUAUUCACUUAUUUUAUUAUGAAAGUUUAUGUUAAUUUGUAACAGCUAAUGAUUAAGAGGAAGUUAAACAACCAAAUUAAAUGGGGUCUCUGAGGAAGCUCUAAGGUCAUGAUCUUAGCAAGAAAAUGAAAAGUUUAUAUUUUCUUUUAUUUUGGCCAAAUUGAAGUUUAUGCAGCUAAGUAUAUAUAUCUGCAUAGUUAUAUUGCUUCUCGAAAUAGAGAGGUGUUACGGAUUUUUCAAAUUUGGGUCAAACUUUGGACUUUGGAUAUAGUUUUCUAAUUCUAAAAACUAUAAUAAACUAACUAACUAACUUUUGAAGCAAAAGUCUCAAAAAUAUCUAACUUAGAUUGAGGUAAUUUCAUUCCCAAUGCUUUUUUUAAUUUUUUUUAUUUGAAAAGCUAAUCUUCUAUGUAUGAUUAUAUUAUAUAUAAAGGAUAGGUUUAAUUGGAGAAAAUAUAUAAUAUAUAGAGAUGGCAUUAUUGCGCAAACAAAAAGGACAAAUUUAACAAUAAAUGCUCCGAAUUUAACCGAAACUUUUGAGCUUCUUUUUUCUAUUUUUUUUCCCUUUUCUUUUAACUCAAACUUUAAUUUGUUCUUCUAAGAACCACAAAGUGGUUAUUUCACAAAUUAAUAACCCAACUACCCACUAAAAUUAUAAAAAAGAACACAUUUGGCUACAUAUUUAUUUGGUAACAUAGUUUUUGUACGUCCAUUUUGGCGUGAGUUACGGUACAAAUUUGGUAAAAUAGUGGACUAAUGUUUGGAGGUAUUAGUUAAGAUUAAACCUAAACUUUUGACCCAAACAAAGUCACCUAAAAGUGGAGCCCGUAGUGCAAAAAUUUUCUACUAAUUUUGGUGAAAAGACACAAAUUUUACUCAAAAAAGGUAACUAUGUAUUCAUAGGUUUAGCGUUACGUUGAACUAUAUAUAUAUAUAUAUAUAUAUAUAUAACACGUCAAAUCGUUUAGAAAAAGCUUAAUUGGUUUAAAGUGGGUUCGGUACAUAACAACUUAACCCGAAAUUGGUCUCUUUCCAAUUACAAAAUGCUUGAGAAAUUUGAAUUUGUGAACACUUUUAAAUUUAAAAAUUUGAACACAAAAAGAUGCGGACAUAUAUGUGAUUAGUCAUUUUGUUUUUGUUUUUUUACCAAAUGUAAUGCCGUUAAAGUUGGGGUGAGAUUUAUAUGAUAUCAAAGUGGAAGCUACGUUAAGCACUUAAUAUUCAUCGAUCCAUGUCCCUGUCACAAUAUUUUUUUUAAUUUUUUUAAAAAUAAUUUAUAUAUGUUUGUGUUAAAGGAUUAAAACGUGGGCCCAUGAGACUAAUGUGCUAAUUAAAUUUGUUUAGAUAAUUCAUUAAAAUACAAAAAUUAGGCGAGCAUUACCCAAUUAAUCAAAGGUAAUAAGAGAAAAAAUUUAUAGAUGUUGCACUAAAUUCAAAUAAUAUAAAGGUCUAUAAACUUUUGUGUUAGAAAAUUUAAUUAAUUACGGUUGAUUAUAAUUUUUCUACCUUUCAUAACCACAAAAUAAGAACAUUUUUUAAUAUUAUAAUAUUUUGGUUAACUUAUUUGUUACUCAUCAACUAAAUCAGUUGAGGAUAAAAACACCGAAUAAAUUAAAUUUCCACGUUAUGAUAUCAUUUCCUUAUUCUCCGUGGAAUAACAGUUAUAUUAUAUAUAUGCCUAUAUAGCUUUCUCAACACGCACACGUGCAUUUAAAUUGCAACUUAAUUAUAACUUAUUGUUAUUAUUAUUAUUUAUAUAUAUAUAUAUAUAUAUAUAUAUAUAUAUAUAUUGAGUUGUGAGACAAAAAGCCCCAAAGGGAUGGAUGGUGUAGUGAAAUUGCAUUGCAAGUAUGCACCCGGUGCACGCACCGUGCACCGCAUCUCAAAAAAUUUAUUGAAUGUAUUCUAUAAUAUUCAGAAUAUUUACAUAUUAAAAUUGUAGACAAAAACAUGUAUAUACAAUUGGGAGUACCAUAUAUGUAUGCCUAGAAAUAAAAUUUUAAAGUUAGAUAAUAUAAAUUAAAAUCACAUAUUAUUCUGUGAUAGCUUAAGCUUUUUUGACGAAAAAAUUGCUUGUUUUUGCAUUUUAUAGACUAAGAUAGCUAUUUUUACAUUUUCUUUUUACAUUUUUAAACUUAUAAUAUAUUAAUUCAAAUCUAUAUUUUGGGCCUCUAGAGGUAUCUCAAACUUAGUCAUGAUGGAGAACAUUAAAUAUAUAAAUUAAAAUAUUAUUCUCUUAUAGCUUAAGGUUUUGAAGAUAAAACGACUGCUUCAUACUUUUUAGCAUUUAUAGCUUAUGAUUAAUGUAUCAUAGCUAUAUAUAUACACUUUCAGAUGUUGAAGAUCAUAUUUAUCAGAUUAGAUUCAUGAUACUGCUCAUCAACAAUCGAGCAUAUUGCAUAAAAUUUGUGGAUACACGGGGUCCACGCAAUACAUAAUUUCUUAUAUAAUGAAUUGGAAACCACCGAAUCCUCCCCGCGUAUGGCGGGGCACUUCCUUGGGCCCCACCUCUUUCUUUUUUUUCUUCUCUCUCAUAUUUUUACCCACACAAAUUUUUUUUUAUUAUUUUUACUAUAGAUAGAAAAAAUAAAAUUUCAUAUAAUUUGGAACCCAAAAAGGCCUCCCCUUAUUAUGGGGUUGUGGGAUCCAUAAAUUUUUUGAAAAUUUUUUAGGAUUAAUUACAUAGUGCUGUCCAAACUUUCUACCAUUUUUUAUUUUGGAUUUUUUUUUUUGCAAUUAAGUUUUUAAACCUUUUAAUUUCAUUGCGAUAAAAAUAGCAACCGUUAAAAAAUAUUUUGGAAUUAUUGAAAUUAUCGUCCCAUCGCCUGUUUAAUCUUUUUUUUCAUGCUAAUUUUGAUUCCUAAAUUUUAUAUAUUUUUUACUUUAGUCUCCAAAAUAUAAAUGAAUUGGUAACCCUAAAGAAGGUCUCUUCUUAUUUUGGAGGGUUGUGGAGCCCACACAAUUUUUUAAAGAAUUAUUCGUGCUAAUUUUGAUAUAGAUAAUGUGAAAUUUUAAAUGGAUGUCUUGAUGCAUGCGCAGCUUAGUUAUAUAUUAUUAAUAUGUUACCCACAAUUUAGGUAUACACAAAUUUUUUUGACAAAAAUAAAAUUAUCUAAAAUUUCAAAUAGAGAAUUUCUUAUCCUUCAAUUUAUUUAUGUUAUCCCAUAUAUAUAUAUAUAACCCAACCGAAGCCUCCCCGCGUUUGGCGCGGGGUUUCGGUGGGUCUUUUUUUUUUUUUAAUUCUCUUUCUCACUCUCUCUCACACACUUUCUUUCUUUCCCUCUCUCUCACUCUCUCUCACACACCCUACAUCUUUUCUCUUUUUUUUUUCUCAAUAUUUUUUUAUAGUUAAAUAUUUUUAGAAAAAAAUAUACUUUAAUUUUAUUUUUUAAAUUUAUUCUUUAAUUUUUAAUUAUUCAAUACUGAGACAAAUAAUAUUGAAAAAUAUUAAUGCAUAAUAGGAAAAAAAAAUGAUGUUAAUAGUUUUUUUUUUUUGAGAAAUGGGUAGCAAGCUAUCUGCUUCAUUCAAAAUGAUGUUAAUAGUUAUAAUAAUUUACUGUUAUAUUAUAUUUCCGCCACAUCACGCCCGCCGCAUCGCGCGGGGCUGAUGAUGAUGUAACACACAAAGGUGUGAAGCUACUUAGGUUAAAAAUGGCCCUCUCUCCAACCAUGAGCAUAUAUAACAUGGAGGAGUAAAGAAGGGAACGAAUUGUUGUUGUAUUCUUAUAUAUAUAUUUUUUGUCUCUAUUCUCCAAAUUAUACAAACACAUUGAAAAACUUCAAAGCAAAUGGCUUUACCCAUAUUAUACACUUUAACUGUCCAUGUUUGUAGGCGAAUCUCAAGCUAGUCUAGAUAGAUGGAGGUGGUUAAUUUGUUUGGUCUCAUUGUUGUUUCCGUUUCAGCAAUUCUAAUCUUUAGUAACGUAUUUGAAAAAUUUUAUUGCAGCAGAAAGCUGAAAUGAGAUUCCAGUAUCAGAAUGAUCGAUUAUCUUGGUGGCUGGGGGGUUAGUUUGAUGGUAUUCGAGCUUAAAUUAUGUAAAAAUAGAAUUCAAGUUUGGAUCAUCUGAUCUGCCACGAUCGAUACCAUAUGAAACAAUUGAUUAUACUUAAAAUGUACACGAUUAGAAUUAUAUUUCAAUAUUUCUGUAUUUCUUACCGGUGUUAGAGCCCGUUUGGUAUUGAGGUCUAGAAUUAUAUCUCAAUAUUUCCAUAUUAAACUAUAUACUCAUUGCAAUAUGAGAAACACAAUAUUACAUAUGAAAAUAAACAGAAUAUUAUGUAACGCAAUCUUUCCACGAUCCCAAAUGCCAAGUCAGUGCUUUUCCCAUCAAAAAAAUUAAUAGAGGUAUCUAAAUUAUUGUAUAAUAAAAAGCAUUUUAUUUAAAAGCACUACAACUUAAUAUAGCAACCAAACAUGACCAAAAUCAAGGGGACUUGUUUUGUGGCAUAUGUCUAGGGUGGGAUGAGGAGCACAUUUUUCUCCUUGAUUUUAGGAUAAAGAUGAAAACAAAAAUAACAACCAACCCAUCUCUCUAGAAGCUCUAUAUAUCCACACAAUCUACACAUGCAUGUAUCCUAACUGCCUUUAACUAUAAGAUUCUUUUUAUUUAUCCAAUAUUUUAUUUUGAUUUCCAAAAUUUUGUAUAUUCUUUUUAGCAAUCAAAACCCUAACAUUGGAAUGUUUUAAUCAAGUCCAUUUAAUUGAAAAUUACAAAAUUUCAUGUCAACACCAAACUGUGAUUAUCACGUCAGUAUUAAACCUUAUUUAUCACGUGAUAAUUUUUGCAUGAGUAAAAAAUAAUAUAUAAUAAUAAGGGAAAACUUUAAAUACCCUCUGUGAUUUCGCACUUUCUUACUUUAGUACCAUGUGGUUUAAAGUGUAUCAAGUUAGUAUCCUGUGGUUUCGCACCUUCUCACUUUAGUAACAUGUGGUUUAAAGUGUAUCAAAUUAGUACCAUGUGGUUUCGUACUUUCUCACUUUAGUACUCUGUGGUUUAAUAUUUCGUUAAAUUAUAUACCUCGAAAUGGAUAAUAAAAAGAGAAAAUUGAAACUACAGAGUACUUACUUGAAAUAAAAAUGAAACCACAGGGUACUAACUUGAUACACUCGAAACCACAGGAUACUAAAGUGAGAAAGUGCGAAACCACAGGGUACUAACCUGAUACAUUUGAAACUACAUGAUACUAAAAUGAGAAAGUGCAAAACCACAGGGAGGGUAUUUGAAGUUUUUCCUAAUAAUAAUAAUUAUUAUUAUUAUUAUUAGUGCAAUAUAUUUCAAAAUUCAGUAACUAAAAUAUUUAAUUCCAAACUAUCUAAAAUAUCUGAAUAGCAUAGGGACUAACAUAAUCAUCUAAUUUACUCUUCUGUUUAUCUAGUUUGUUACUUAAUUAUAUCCAUUAAUCUAGCUAUUAAUAUAUCCUCAUAAUAUCCCCUUUGUGAAAAGAAUACUAUCAUUUUGAUUCAUAUGUAGUAAUUAUGCAGUGAUUAUUAUUAUUAUUAUUAUUGUUUACUUAAUUACUAUGGCCAACUUUGUGUACUGCUGCUUCUCACUUCUCCUGCUGCUGUUGAUUCACCACUGCUUCCCCUCAGCAGAAGCUGCAGCAGUCUACAACAUCACGGAUUUCGGCGCGAAGCCCGACGGCCAGACUGACUCGACGAAAGCGUUGCUCGACGCCUGGGCGGCAGCCUGCGGCUCUGCCGAGCCCGCGUCGACCGUCUAUGUGCCCGACGGGUUCUUCACCGUCGGACAGGCCGUUUUUACCGGGCCCUGUAACACAAAUGGAGUGACUAUCGAAUGCGACGGAACGCUCGUGGCGCCGUCCGAUUACUUGGUUCUUGCGUCCGCGGGCCAGUGGCUGAAGUUCGAAAGGGUCGAAGGUUUGUCGAUCUUCGGCGGGACCAUUGACGGCCACGGCUCGUCCUUUUGGGCCAAUAAGGCCUCCGAUAGCGGUUGCCCUAAUGGGGCUCCGGUAAGUGAUCUGAGUUUUAAAUUUUUUCGCCUGAUCAAUAUUGUUGCCAAUAUUAUAAAUACCCUUACAAAGUUUCUGGAAGUGCGUGCACUUGUGAUUUGAUCUUUGAUCUUUGAUUGUGACAUGCCUUUGCAGUCCUUGUACGUGGCAAACUCGAACGACGUCCUGAUCAGCGGCUUGCGGUCGGUCGACAGCCAGCUGUACCACAUUGUGAUCGAUGGCUGCGAUCGCGUGCGGGUGCAGGGCGUCAUGAUCACCGCCCCGGGAAACAGCCCGAACACCGACGGCAUCCAUGUCGAGGACUCGACGAACGUUACGGUCGCCGAAGCCCUCAUUCAGACCGGCGACGAUUGCAUCUCGGUCGGGCCCGGCACAAGCAACUUGUGGAUCGAAAACGUCGUUUGUGGGCCGGGCCACGGCAUCAGGUGUGUGUGGAUUGUAUGAUUUUUUUUUAAAAAAAAAACAGGGAUUACCGCCGUCUCUGUUGCUUUAAGAUUCACGUCGCGGAAUUGAUUGAUUUGACUAAAACCUUUCUAAAAUUUGAAUAAGUUUCGUAGCGUUAUAAAUGCGAAAUAAGUUAUAUAAAUCAAAAAAUGAUAAUUAAGUUCAAUAUAUCUGUUAUGUUAGUAACAAAUAUAUAAAAUAUGGUUAAAUUUUGGCACAUGGAUAUGGGCACAGUAUCGGAAGCUUAGGGAAAGGGUACGAGGAGAGAGGUGUCGAGAACGUCACCGUGAGGUCGACGGUGUUCACCGGGUCGAUGAACGGGCUAAGGAUCAAAACAUGGGGGAGACCGAGCGACGGUUUCGUUCGCGGCGUCGCGUUCGAGCACGCACUCAUGCAGAAUGUUCGGAAUCCGAUUAUCAUCGACCAAAACUACUGUCCCAGUAACAUCAAUUGCCCUGAUCAGGUACAAUCAUUUGAACCCUAACAAUUUUUUGUACCAUAGUUACGGUUCAUUAUAUAUAUAUAUUUUUUUUCAAAAUUUAAAUAUUUUUCUGUUGUUGUUUUCCCUCCAGAAUUCGGGGGUGAGUAUUAGCCAAGUGCAAUACACGGAUAUUCAGGGAUCAUCGGCGUCGCAGGUGGCGGUGAACUUCAACUGCAGCGCGAGUAAUCCGUGCAGCGGGAUCGAGUUGCGGGACAUAAAGCUUGAUUACGACGGCAAGCCUGCGGAGUCGAGCUGUAUGCAUGCCAACGGCACCGCUUCUGGCACCGUCGUACCGCCCAGUUGCUUUUUGUAGUACAAAAUUAUAUUGCUACGUAGCAUGAGAAAAUAUUUUAUUUUGUUUCUGUACGUAAUAGUACGUCAUAUCGAAUUGCGUAUCUCUACUUAGAUCCAAUACCAUUAAAGAGAAAAAGUUGGGCCCAAAAUAUAUACAUAUAUUCUUUAUCGAAAUCCGAGUUGGGCCCAAAAAUAUGGCAUGGAUUUUGCUUAUUGGUUGUGUGUUUUGGGCCUUAGAAGGGUCUAAAAAUCUAUAAAAAGUGUUAUUAAAUCAAUCUUUAGGUGUUAUCAUUUACCCUUCUCUCAUAAUUUCAUCAUUUAAAAGAAUUUAAAAGAUUAAAAUAAAAUUGUCAUUAUCAAUGUUUAUCUUUUAUAAUAGGAAAGUGAUAUUGAAAUAUUCUAUGAAUAGUCUUCUUUUAUUAAUUAAAAUAGUAGGUAAAAAUGAAUAAGUUUUCAAGAACAGAGCGAUGCUACUUAUACACCCUAAAAGAGGGUAUAAAUUUAUAAGAUAUUGCAUUAUUGAUUUAUUUUUUUUAAUACUAAAAAUUCAAAGAGUUUUUAAAUUCUAGGAUGGAGGGUUUAUAAAUCAUGCACCCUCUUUUUAAUUUGUUUUUAUCAAGUUUUAUAGCUAAAUUGAACAAUCAUGUACAAGAAUAAAACUUUAAUAUCUGUUAUUAUAUUUCCAUCCAAAAAUUUUCUAGUUAAAUAUUAAAAUUUUAAAAAAUAUUAAAACUCUUAUAAAGAGAAUUAUAAUUUUGAAAAAACUUCAAAAAAACCCCAUGUGGUUUCGCACUUUCUCACUUUAGUACCCUGUGGUUUAAAGUGUAUCAAUUUGCUCCCCUGUGAUUUUAUUUUUAUCUUUUCGGCGGCUUUUUUCCUUAAUGUUUCUUUAAAUUAUAUACAAAAAACUUCAGAUACCCAUUUAUCAAAUAUUUACUUUAGUAUUCUUUAAUUUUAACUUUGUCACUGAUUUUAAAAAAUAAUAAUAAAAUUGAUAAUAAAAUGAGAAAAACGAAAUCACAGAAAGACAAAUUGAUACCCUUUAAAUCACAGGAUACUAGGGUAAGAAAAUAUGAAACCACAUGAGUUUUUUUUGAAAUUUUUCCUAUAAUUUUUGAAUAAAAAUAAGCUCACACUGUUUUUUUUGCAAGUGGAAGGUACUUUUCAUAAUUUAUUAAGGAAUAUAAUAAUUGAUAAGUGACAAUUAAAAAAUGGACUUAAAAAAAAAAUGCACGUGCUAGGCAUGGUAAUUAAUGAGCUACUGAUGUGGCAAAGCUCGCCUACUAAGUUUGACUUUUAUUUUAUUUUAUUUUAUUUUAUUUUAUUUUUCUUUGGCAUUAUUUUCACAUCUCCUAUCACAUUACCUAACUCAUACACUCUCCUAAUUAAUACCAACAUCAUUAAGAUAAAAAGAUUAACAUUAAAUCAUCUUAUAAAUAUUUAUUUUUUCAUUUUUUUCUAACUUCCGAAAACCUAUAUUAUACCAUCUCAAUAUUUCAAAUUAUUGCAUUAGCUCCCGCUCCAUCACUACUCUGUUAAUUUUUUAUAAUUUAUACCAAAAUUAUACUUCAAAAUAGCAGAAAUAAAUUAAAAUUUAUUUUUUCUUAUAAAAAAUUAUUGCCCUCUCCAUUAACACAGCACCUUUCCGAAAAUAUUAUUGAAAUUUUAAUGAAACAAAAUGUAAAUUUUUAAAAGUCAGAAGGAAAAAUAAAAUAGCAAGUACUUACGGAAGAAUUUUUUUUAAUUUAGCCAAAUAUAAAUUACUUAUAGUUGAUGAUGGAGACAANUAUCUAGCAAAGCAAAAGCUUCCACCAGUGCAAUUGAAGAAGAGCCUCACACACAAAAAAAAAAAAAACAAAAUGUCAAAAAUGAAGGGGAAAAAUGUAUCAAGCUCACUAAAUUUUAGCUCUAUUAUAAAGUUAUUUUAGAAGUUUAAUUUUAGUUAAUAGACUCUUUAUUUUGUUAUAUAUUUUAAUAAAUAUAUAAGUAAUUAAAAUUGUUAAUCAAAAAGUUAUUUUCAUUGUAUAUCUUGCACAUAUUCUUAUGCUUAUAAAAUUUUACAAUAUAAAAUUUAACUUAAGGAAUGAAGCAGAUAGCUCGCUACCUAUUUCUCAAAAAAAAAAAUUACAAUAUAAAAAAAAUUAUUCUCUUAAUUAAACUAAUAAAAUUAUUUCUAGCAUAAGAAAAUUCUUCUUGAAUAUAUUCCAAAUUAGUUUUUUGUCAUGUGAAAUAUCUAACUAAUAAGAAGUAAUCCAUUGAUUUUACAUGAAAUAAUAUUUGAAAAUUUUUUUUUCUAAUAUUUUAAUUUAUUUAACAUAAGAUUUAUGAUUAAAUGUUAUUAUAAGAAUAACUUUGAAGACCCUUAUCUGGAAAAAUUGGACCCUUAGGUAUCGAAAAUAUCCUUACUAAAUUUCAUCCCGUUUGGCAGAAUAGCGGAGAUAACUUUCGUUAUCCCCGCGUAUCCCCCGAACGAGACGGGACCUCCAAAUUUGUGAAGAAAAAUAAAAGAAAUUGCUCAAUGAUGAAUGUUUGACUCCAACUUAACCAAACACCAAGAAAAACAAAAAGGAAAAAAAGAGUCUCCCUUAACCCCUCAACUUUAGAAAAGGCCAAAUACGAAAUAACUAAACUUCAAAUUCAACAUAAUGCGUCAUGUACGAAUAGUAUAUACUCUCUCUUUAUUUAUGAAAAAAAUUUAAACUAUGAGCAAGGACACAACAUCAUUUAUAUCUGCAACCAAUCAAAUAUACUUUUAUGUUUUUUUUUUAAAAAAAAAUUAUUUUAAUUACUUGUUCUCUCAAAAGGAGAAUUUAAUUGGCUUGAGAUAGAGUAAUAUAGUUCCUAUUUGGGAUAAAAUUUUAAUGGGAGCUCUUUGACUGCGCCACGAUCUGAAUCUUAAGAAAAAUAAAAGUAAACUCUAAAAAAAAUAUAUAUAUUUCUUAGAUUAGAAAUAAAACUGACACGUAGCAAUAAAUCAGAGGGGGUUGCUUUCAUUUUACUACUAAUUUGGUACCAUUUGCGUGUCGUGCCCCCACCAUUUUCUCUUCCUUUUCUCUCGACCUCUUGAGCUGACUCUCGUUCUAUCUCCGCACAGUUUGAUGGUGAUGGGUUAUGGCCGCCUUCAUCUGUAUCUCACAAGCCAAGGCUACCCCACCAUAUUCCACAAACGCCACAUGUUUUUGGUGCAAGGCGAAGCAUAAGUAAAAGCGGUUUGUGUUGUAAUCCAGUUUAGUUAUUUACUAAAAGCGAAUAUUUGACCUCCAGACAGACAACUCACCAAACUAGAGAAUUUAGAACUGGCUGUGAUACCAUAUCGGCACAUAUUUCAUUCACAUCUGAUCAAGCUAAAAAAAUGGUUGAAUCUAUAAUUCUAUCAGCGUUUUAUAAGAAAGUAAUUUUCAUUACUAAUGUUCAAGUUGGAUUAAUAUUUAAUAAAAUUGGAUUUUGUGUUCAACGGGUUUUAAAUCUAUAUAAUAAUAAGAAUUCAAAGCAUCCAAUGAAUAUGUUUAUGUAUUAAACUUUAGAUAGUAAAACUAAAAGUCAUUAUCAAAUAAUCUACUAAAGUUUGAGAUUAUUUCUCCACACACACACAUAGUUUUUUUUUUUAAAAAAAAGAUAUUAGUGAUCUGAUUUUUUAGAAAAAGGGUAAUAGUUUGGGACACAGUUGGCUUAUUAAACAAGCACAAAAUAAAUACCAACAAGUGGGAGUGCAUUUUUUUAUUAUUAUUGUUCUCUUGCUACAGGUGAUAGUAAAAGUGUGAGAAAUAAAGUGCAAACAAGGAGGGUUCCAUUUGCCUACUUUAAAUACAGGAAAAAAAAAAAAAAAAAAGGAGAAAAAAAGAAGAACAAGAANNNNNNNNNNNNNNAAAAAAAAAAAAAAAAAAAAAAAAAAAAAAAGGAGAAAAGAAGAAGAACAAGAACAAGAUGGGAUUUUGAGCUCUGGAUUUGUUGGGCUUCUGCAUUUCAGAUAGGAAAAAGGUACCCCUUUUUAUUUUGGCUCUGAGAAGUUACUUAUUAUAUUGUUGGGCAUGUUGGAUUCAGUGUUUCAAUCUACUUAGAUCAGAUGGGGUUUUGUUUUACUUGUUUUUUUGUGUGUGGGUAAGAGAUAAAGCUUCUGUUUUUAUUUUUGUUUGUUUGUUUUUUUUUUUUUUUUUUGCAAUUAAGUUCUUUUGGAAUGAUCAUAUUGGUGUUCAUAAAGUUGGGAUUUUUAGUUAGGGGCAAGAGAAAGGAUCUCCCACAAAUUUUGAUUCAAGAGUGCUUCUUCUUGCUCUUGUGAUUUUUGUCAAAUUCAAUGCUGUAGAUGUAAUUAAGAAGGGGCUUCUGAUUUUUUUUUUUUUUUUUUGGUUUUCCUCAGGUUGGGAGGAGAAAGAAAAAGAAAAAAAAAAAGAGGGGGAUUUUUUGCUUCUUGGUGAAGUGAUUUUGCUAUAACCAUUGUUGUGGAUCAGUGGAUGUAGGGGAAGCAUUUAUGCUAAUUUUUAUUCCUGGAUCACUUAUCUUAAAAAGAAACAAAAAAAUAAAAAUACUCCUUUUUGUUGAUUUUGGAUGUAGUUGAAACAGUUUCCAACAUAUCAAAGCUUCAACAUCUUUCUGAGGGUAAACUAAACAAAGGAAGCAGCAAAAAUCCCUCCUUUUUGAGCUCCUUCGGAUUCCGAAGAGCUGUCGAAUUCGCGGAAAAAUGGAGAGACAGUCGAGUUUGCGGCUCGGAGUAUUGGAUAAGCUGCAGAGCUUCAGAAUGGGCUCCAUGGAAAAGCAGAAAAGCUUCCGGUCGCGGACGAUGGAUAAGCAGCAGAGCUUCAGGGAGAGGAAGAACAAAGAGAGCCCCGGAAAGCGGGGAGACACCGAACUGCACCUCGCGGCGAGGGCCGGAAACGCAGUCCAUGUGCAGAAGAUUCUUUCGGAAUGCAGCGAGGAUUCGUUGAAGGAAUUGGUCUCCAAGCAGAAUCUGGACGGCGAGACCGCCUUGUACGUCGCGGCCGAGAAGGGGCAUGUGGAGGUUGUGCAUGAGAUUUUGCAGGUUUCGGAUGUUCAAUCCGCGGCCGUCAAGGCUAAUAACAGCUUCGACGCCUUCCAUAUCGCCGCCAAGCAGGGGCAUCUCGGUGAGCCUCGAAAACCCCUCCUUGUAGAUUCCGAUCGUUCUCGAUAUCGAAUUACGAACCAAUCAUCGAAACUAUAUAUAAUUGGGUGCUUCCUUUCUUUCCUUCGCCUCUUGGAUUUGCAGAAGUUUCAAAGGAGCUCCUGUACUCGUUUCCGGCGCUGGCCAUGACCACGAAUUCGCUGAAUUCCACCGCCCUCGACACCGCCGCCACGCAAGGCCACAUCGAUAUCGUCAAUCUUCUGUUGGAAACCGACGCAAGCCUCGCCAAGAUCGCGAGAAAUAAUGGGAAGACUGUUCUGCACACGGCGGCGAGAAUGGGCCACGUAGAAGUGGUGAAGUCUUUGCUAAACAAGGACCCGAGUAUCGGCCUGAGGACGGAUAAGAAGGGGCAAACGGCGUUCCAUAUGGCCGUGAAGGGCCAAAACGUCGACAUCGUGCUCGAAUUGCUGAAACCCGACGCCUCGAUUAUCCAUUUGGAGGACAAUAAGGGGAAUAAGCCGCUGCAUAUUGCGACCCGCAAGGGCAAUCUUAAGGUCGGUGAAAGUAUUCAUACGGCGAUCAAUUUCAUCUUCUCUUGUUUGUUGUACUGAUUAUCGAAUGAGCUGUUGAUGCAUCUUGAAUCGUCGACCGCAGGUAUUGCUGGCUUUACUAGUAAUUGAGGGAAUCGACAUCAACGCGGUGAACAAAGCAGGCGAGACGGCUCUCGCCAUUGCAGAAAAAUGCGGCAACGAAGAGAUCGCCGCCAUUCUACGAGACGUCGGCGCCGUGACCGCAAAAGAAAACUCGAACCCGCCGAACCCCGCGAAGCAGCUGAAGCAGACCGUGAGCGACAUAAAGCACGACGUCCAGUCGCAGCUCAAACAGACCCGCCAGACCGAAAUGCGGGUCCAAAAGAUAAAGAAAAGGCUCCAGAAACUCCACAUCGGCGGUCUGAACAACGCCAUCAAUUCCAACACGGUUGUAGCCGUUCUCAUCGCCACGGUCGCCUUCGCUGCCAUUUUCACCGUUCCGGGCCAAUUCGUACAGGCUCCGCAGGAAGGCUACACUCUCGGACAAGCCUACAUAGCCAACAACGCGGGCUUUAUCAUAUUCUUGGUUUUCGACUCGUUGGCCCUCUUCAUCUCUCUCGCGGUCGUGGUGGUCCAAACCUCGUUGAUCGUCGUGGAGCAGAAGGCGAUGAAAAGGAUGGUGUUCGUGAUGAACAAGCUGAUGUGGCUGGCGUGUCUCUUCAUAUCGGGCGCGUUCAUUGCGCUGACGUACGUCGUGGUCGGUCAGAACGGGCUGUGGCUGGCAUGGUCUACGUUGGCGAUCGGCACCACAAUCAUGCUGGCCACGUUGGGCUCCAUGUGUUAUUGCAUCGUCGUUCACAGGAUGGAAGAGAAAAACAUGAGGAUUAUACGAAGGGCGUCGAUGAGCCAAUCGCGCUCGUGGUCGCUGUCGGUGGCGUCAGAUUCUGAGCUACUGAACAGCGAGUAUAAGAAGAUAUAUGCGCUGUAGAAUAGUCGUGUUACCGUCAUUCGACAUGUACAUAAUCAGCUCAGAAAGGCUAAAGGAAUAAAGAGUUAGCGACUACGGCGGGAGAUGGUAUACAUCUAAGCAGGGAUUUUGCUGGUGAUACAGAAACCGGAAAUUCGUAAGCGAUACGAGUCGCGAGGAAUUGUAUGGAUCUCGAGGCGGUCGAUCUCUCAUUUUCGCACCCUCGCACGGGCCAGAGCUUCUAACCAUCCUUAGAUUAUGGUUUGAUCUGAGAAAAAUUUGGCAUUUGAUAGCUCAGAAUACAUGCGAAAUAUACGCGAAAUGCGAUUUUCUAAAUUGUACCCUGCUAUUUUAAUGUUAUUAUAUAAUGUUCUAUAAGUGCUUGAGUCGAUUUAAUGAUCGAUAAAAUGGAAUUUUCUAUCUUUUAUGCUUAUGAGGUUCUAAAUUUUCUUGUAAACUUUUGUUGCUUCUUAUGGUGUUGGCUUAUUCUGCACCUUUGAGAUCACAGAAGUAAUUUGUUUUGCUUAGCAUGAUCCGGUGCUCAGAAAAUUCUUGCACAUUGUACUGUUUAUAAAACAGUAAGUUUAUCUUCAGAAAUAGUGAUUGAUCCAAGUACGACUAUUGGUUGUUUUGAAAUAUAUAAAUCAACUAUUUGAAUUUUUUAUUUAUCAUAUUUAGAAGGCUAAUAUAAAAUGUAUUUUUUUAAGGUUUCAAGUGUUUUCAAAUAUACUCUUAGAAUUAGAUUUUAUUAGUGAACUGUUAGAGAUAAUUGUUAUGUAUGUAAAAUUACUAUUUUACUUUUUUAAAUAUAUUUUUUUACUAUCACCGGCUAUUCAUAUAUGCCCUUAGAAAAAAAAAAAAAAGGUAUUUCUAUAAUAAUUUAUAUUAUAGAAAUUUAAUAAGUGUUGAACAAAUGUUGAACUAAAAUAGCACAUAAAAUAAUACAUAAUGCGCACUCUAGUGGUAGCUUUUCUCCUAGGCUUUUUUGUUGGCCCCAUUGCAUUAGCUACAAGUGACAGGACAAUUGCCGUAACAUAUAAAAAAAUUACAUAAAUUAUCCUUUCACCAAUUAAAGUACCUUUUUCUUUUUACAUUUUGGUGAGUAUUAAAUUAUUUAUCAAUGUGGUUUGGCCCCUUAACAUAACAAUAACAAAUAAACAUGAAUAUUCAUACAAAUUGGACCACCAUAGUCCUUUGUAGGAACAUUGAUUGUGGUUGUGGUUGGGGGUAGUUUGUGAGAAUGGUGUAAGAAAAUAUAUAUAGAGAGAGAGAGUUGAACUGAAAUAUUAUCAGUAGCAAAUGAAUUUCGUUGUCAUCUAUUUAUUUUCGAUGAUAGAGCCUACAAAUCGACGAUCAGCAUUGUUGACCAUGAUCUAUACCACUUGAAAUAUCUAGAAACUAAAUUUAAAAUCUUUUCGACAUCAUUGACCUAAUGAUCAAAGGGUUUCAAAAUUUAUAAUUUUAAUGAUCGAUAUAAGAUCUUUUCUCUUUUAAUGGCGUAAAGAUAUCCAAAUCAAUUAAAUUUUGGUUAGAAAAUUAUUUAAACUAUUUAGAACAAAAUCUAUACUCUUGAUCUUCAUUACAAAACUCCUAUCAAUAUUCAUGUUUAGCCAUUCAUUUUUGUAUCUACUUGGCAUUCCAGCUCAACUAUAUAUAUAUAUAUAUAUAUAUAUAUAUAUAUAGAGCUAGGCUGGUAUACUAUCGGUAACACGAAGACCUCCGUGCUAUCAAGUUGUUUUUAAUGAUGCGACUUCCAAAUCGACGAUCGGCUCCGUUAGACUUGAUCUACUCCAUUGAAAGUAUUUGAAAACUAACUUUCAUAAUUUUUCGGCAUUAUUUAACUAUCAAACGAGUUGUCUAAAAAUGAACGGCUAAAAUAAAAAUCUCAUAAAAAAUGAUGAUAAAAAAUUUAAAUUUAAGAUCGGGGAUACUGAUCUUACUCUAAAUAGUGAAAAAAAAUUUCUAUCAAAAUUUCAUCAGAUUUGGAUUAUUUUACACCGUUAAAUUCACAAACGCGUUACAUCUACCGUUAAAAUUAUCAAUUUUGAGACCUUUUGAUCACUAGCUAAAUGAUGUCAAAAAAUUAUGAAAUUUAAUUUCCAAAUAUUUUUAAUGGUGUAGUUCAAGUCUAAAGGAUCCGAUCGUCGAUUUGGAAGCCGCAUCAUUGAAAACAACUUGGUAUUACGAAGGCCUCUGUGCUACCGAUAGUAUACAAGCCUAGCUCUCUCUCUCUCUCUAUAUAUAUAUAUAGUAAAUAGUAUUGUUUAAUAAAGCAUUGUCUAAAUAAUGUCAUUAAAAGCAUUUAAAUUAUUAUUGUUAGAGAAUUUUUUUUUUCUAAAUUGAUAAUCAGAUCGAGUAGUAUACAGAAAUUUUUUACACACCUAUUUCAUAAGAAAUCUAUAUCCACAUAAGCAAAAGAAUUUGGGGAUUGGCGAGGGGUAAAACUCCCAAACAUGUGACACAAAAAGGCAAAAAUGUAAAUGAAUAAAUAAACUAAUAAUAGAUAUCUCCUGCAGAAAACUACGAAGAAAUUAUUAACACAUAUCUCCCUAUGUACCUUUAACACUCCCAAAUUAUAACCCCACCUUAUUAUAUUCUGUUCUGAGUUGAGCUCUUACGCUUUUAAAAGCACGAGAGCAUUUGUGCUUGUAAUUUUUAAGUCAUCUAAUCGCCUUAAGAUUCGAACAGUAUUACUAACAGUGUUUCCAUUAAAUCUCUUUUACUAAUACUGUAUAAAUUUUGAGACGAUCCGACGACUAAAAAAAAAAAAAAUUAUGAGUACGUUGAGCUCUUGUGCUUU
rnacentral:lncRNA from 1 species